rnacentral:lncRNA from 1 species
UUUUUUUUUUUUUUUAUGUUUGGUUGAUCAAUAAAAUAUUUUAAAAAAUAUUUUUACUAGGAAAAUAAGUUUCUUAAAAGUUAGGAAAACACUCCUUUAUGGAAGUUUGAAGGGGAGUUUUGGAGUAACUGGUAAAGUUGCUGUCAUGUGACCAGGAGGUCACGGGUUCAAGCCUUGAAAACAGCCUCAGGCAGAAAUGCAAGGUAAGGCUGCGUACAAUACACCCUUGUGGUGGGGCCCUUCCCCAGACACCGCGCAUAGCGGUAGCUUUAGUGUACCGAACUGCCUUUUCCUCGAAUACACGUCCUUCUAUAUUGAUUGGAUCCUCUCUACUCUUCAACACACCUCAUCUUCACCCCCCACACCCACACACCCUUACUUCCCUACCUCUAUCUCCCAUAAUAUUUAUCUAAAUUAUAUGCAAAUGUUUUUAGGAUAACAUUUUUACUUACGUGCCGAACACAAAAAUAUAAGUCGAGCAACAAGACAAUCUUUAAUAUGUACUCUUAAAAUAUUUUGCCAAAUAUUCUACUAUACUGAAAAUUAUUUAUUUUAUGUCAAGCAAUACAUCGAGUAACUUAAUGCAACAGUAAAAACAAGACAUGUAGGUGGAUUGACUCGUCAAGUUCUUUCUGGAAAUUAUUACCCUUGCUACUUUCUUUGUAUGAUUUUCAUGUUUCUAUCUGAAGAAAAUACUCAACAUUUAUUAAUAUAUUAGUGUGUGUGUGUGUGUUAUUUGAGGUACAUUUUAUUGUGACCACCAAAAAGGAUCCAAAGCUAAAACGUUAGUCUGGCAAAAUAGAGACUGGCAAUAGUAUUGUAAUCUUGGAUCCCAGCAUUUGUACAUGAUUGUCUGCACCAAUUCAUGACUUUGAGGCCAACAAUAUUUUUACCCUCACCUCUUUAUAAUUUUUUUUUUUUACGUCUUUUAAUAAGAGAUCUUUAUUUUUAUAUAUAACGCGACUUGAAAAAGACACGAAGGAAUCUUUAAAUCUCGUGACUUUCAUUUAGGCAUAAAACAUAAACAUGUUCUUUGAUGUGGCCUCAGUUGAUACAUAUAUGUCCUUCAUCUUUAGGUGUGCGGUGUGCAUAAGUAGACACUUAAAUUUAUUUAAAGUUGAUACACACGUCCUACGUAGCAUCUACACGAUAAUUUCACGCAAAUUGUCAUGUAGAAUGUUUGCGUCUAUUUGUUCAACUUUAUACAAAUUUAAAUAUCUAUUUAUACACACUUAAAAUUGAAAGAUAUCGUGUCACUGAGAUCAAAUUAAAGAACACAUAUAUGUAUUAUGUCCGUUCAUUUAUUUAAAUUAUACUCUAAAUGGUUAUGUUCACUCAUUUCUUCAAAUGUUUUUAAUUGACAUGACUUUAAUUUAAAUGCACAUCUAAGUGAUUUCGUAUGGUACAUGAGACUACCUGUUGAACGGUCAAUGACAUCUUAUUUCGACUUGAGUUGUGCAGCAAAUUAAUAAUGAGAUAUUCUUUGAUCUUUACUGUAUCACUACAACAAUAAAGAUUUUUAGCGAUAAUAAAUUAAAUAUGCAUUUUAUCAAAGAACACUAAAGUUUCUAUCGGCAUUAAUUAAUUAUCAUUGGAUCUAAUGCUGCUAUAACCUUUAGGAACAUUUAUAAAAAGUGCUAAAAUAUGAUUGCCACCAACAAUAUUGCCUCUAAAACUUAAUUUAGCGACAAUUAAACUAUUGUCAUUAAACAUAUUUUUUGGUGUAAUCUAUGUGCUUUUGACAGUCUGCCAUAAGUUGGACACCACAAAAAGAAAAAAAUUCAAGAACUAUAUAGGGAACCUAGCUACAAACUAGAAAAGCAACACAUUACAUCAUUUUAGAGAUAAAAGGGCAACUACUUACUACUAUAAUUUUCACUAAAGCAUUUCUAACACUUACUAGUCUAUAUAUUGGAAGCUCAACUUGUAUAGGAGGAUUCAUCUUUUGUAUAAAAAUAGAUCAAAUUGUAUGAGAUGAACUAGGUUCCCUAUUGUCCUAAAACUCAAGAGGUUAGGUUUUAGUGCUCCUCCAUGUGACAACAACAACAACACACACACACAAAAGAUAGCCUCAAUUUGUAUGAAGGCAAAUGGCCUAUCUCAAUGAUGUAAUCGCUAUAAUUGGAGAGGCAGAGCUAGAAUUUUGAGUUGUCGAAGUUUUUAUCAUCAUUUACACAUACUAAGUGAAUUUCUGUUAACAUAAAUACAAGAUCUACGUCAAAACUACUUUGCCAAAAUCGCAGAGGCAAAGCUCGAAUUUCGAGUUGUUGAAGUUUUUACCAUCAUUUACACAUAUUAAGUGAAUUGCUUAUAACAUAAAUACAAGAUCUGCGUCAAAACUAUUAUCCUGCCAAACUCAUAAUCGACAUGCUAGCUCCACCCUUGAUUAUAAGAUAAACACCUAAAAUUCUGAGUUUUAUAUCUUUCUCGAGACAAGAUAAUUACAUAUGUGACUAGACUAGCCUAGCUAGGGCUUUACUCUUCUUCCUAUAUCUAUUCUACUAAUUAUAAUGGGAUGUGUGUGAUCAAUAGGCUAAGCUUAGCAAAUUAAAUAGGCUAUCUAUAUUAGAAUUGUAGGGAUAAGCUUAGCCUAAGAGGGACACCUUAAGCAACUUGCCCUAGGUAUAUUUGGCUCAACCUAUUUAAAAAUUAGAUUGAUAUGUAGUCAAAAUUAAUGCAUGACAAAUGUUGUUAAAAUAUUUUCAAAAGAUAUAUAUAUAUAUAUUAAUUUUAUAUGUUAUAUAUAACUAUAAUAAAAAAUAAUUCUUUUUAUAUAUUAGGUACUUAUAUAGGGGGGGAAGAACUAACAAAAUAAAAAUAAAAAUAAAAAUAAAAAUUGGACGACUUGAGUUAUGACCCCCUUCUUAGCGUAUUUCAGCCCAAGUAUUGUUUUGGCGAGUAAUUGAUUCACUUAUCAACUCCAUUUGACCCGCCAAAAUUUAGUCAAUCUGCUCAUUCAACACCCCUGAUAUGAAUCAUAUAAAUUUCAUCAUACUCGAAAAGGAAGAAUAGUGAACUCAAACUUUAAUAUUUCAAUACCUUUAUUAUUUAGCAUAUUAGUCAUCAAAGAAAGGUUAAUAUUACCACUUGAAUGUGUGGGCUAGAGGGCAAUAUGAUGCAUGCACGAAUUGGAGACCGUCGAGAAUGUUAUAUACUCCCUUGUUCAUUUUUAUUUGUUACUAUUUCGUUUCUCGAGGUCAACAUCAAACUGUAUAAAUUUUGAUCAAUAUUUUAUGAAAGGAUUUUUUUUUUUUAUCAUAUUAAUAUGUGAAGAUUGUAAUUUACAGUACUUUUCGAAUAGUUUUAGACCAUUUAAAUUUUAAAUUACACUAUUAAAUUAUAUAUCUUAACAUAUUUGUCAAAGUACGUACAGUUUGACCUUAAGAAACAAAAUAAUAUAAUGACAAGUAAAAAUGAAUCGAGAAAGUAUUUAAUGGAUUAGAAAUUCAAUAGUGCAAUUAAUGUAAGGAGGUUAACACUUAAUUUGCGAAAAGCAAUAAUCAUGACCAAUUAGAUUCUGACACAUCAGUAUAUACUUAAGGUGAUCAUGACGCAUCACUGACACACCAAUUAAAGUUGAACCAGGUUGAAAAUUUUGUUUGAACUUUUUAUCCUUUAUUAAAAGUCUUUGGUUUAAACUAAUUAUUUUUCACUGUUUUUUCUUAAUAUCUAAGAGUUGAAAAUUAGUUAAAUAUAUUUAUAAUAAAACUCUUCCUUAUUGAAAGUCAUCAAAAUUAAUGAUAACUAAUACUUUUUCAGUUUAAAAAUACUAAAUCAACUAAAUUUGAUUUUAAGAAGAUUUAAAAAAUCUAGAAAUAAAUAUAAAUUCGUUCGAAUAAGAAAAUAUUAAGAAGUGCCAGAUUUAAAAAAGUUUUAAGUACGUAAUAAGAGUGUAAUCAAUAAUUUUGUAAAGAUUUAACUUUAAAAAUAAGAAAUUUUUUAAAUAUAUAUAUAAUCGUAAUACAAAUAUAGUUCAAAUUGAUGCAUCUUUCUAAAAAAAAAGAGGUGGUAUAUGACAAACGUAAAAGUGAUGAUCCAUCAACCACUUGAAACUUCUGAUAGUAAAAUAUAUAUGUAUGUUUGUAUUUACAUUAUUAUAAGUGUAAAAGAUUUUUGAAGAGUGAUUUGAACUUUUACACUUUAUUAAAAAAUUUAUAAUGGACAAAAUCAUUUAAUUUUAAAUAAUCAAAUGUAACAUAUGCAAGACAUGUACGAUUAAACUAGUAUAUAUCUAUAUCUAUAAUCUAUUAAAAGUGUGAAGAUGCUUAGAAAAGUGAUUUGAACUUUUUGCUUUUCAUUAAAAAACACUUCUCUAAACAAAACUGUUUUUUCACUAUUUUUUAAUUUAUUAUUUAUUUAUUUUUUAUUAUAUUACCUAAACUUCCUAAAAUAUAUGAGACUACUAAAAUAUAUGGUAGGAGAAUAAUCAAUAUUUUCUUUCUACUAGACUCCCCAAAAUAUAUGGAACUCCUAAAAUAUAUGGUAGGAAAAUUGAUUAAUACUGUUUUCUUUUCUAUCGUUCAAUUAGAAAAAUAAUUCUAAAAUAGGACUCUAUUAAGGAAAUACUUCUAUAAAUAUUGAGAUGUACGUUAAACUAGAGAACAAACCGGUUUGCCUAUUGAUAGAAUAUGAUUGAUGCUCAUCUAGCUUGACUCGAUUGCUUGUCUAGAUUGAUGGAUGCUUGAUUUUCUAACCCUCAACUUCUUCACUGUUUUUGUCAGCAUAAUAGAAUUCAACAUGUGUGUGUAUAUAUAUAUAUAUAUAUAUAUAUAUCUUCUUUAUUUUUAUUCAAAAUCAUUCUUUAGGGUCAAAAUUUUCACUCAGACAAUAAUUAUUUAGAUCAAAAUCGAAGCUUUGUGAUCACUAAAAUAUUAUUUUUUUAUAUUUAUAGGUCGUAGAUGAAUGUUGGUUGGCUUUGAAGAAUUUCUUGUGUAAAGGUUAGAUUUAACUGUAUUAUUUUGAUAUCUUUAUUAUCUUAUUAUUUUAUUUUAAUUUACAGAUACUAGAUGAAUGUGGCUCGGCUUUGAAUUUUUUUUUAGGAAAAGGUUAGGUUAAUUGUAUUAUCGUAAUAUCUCUAUUAGUUUGUUAUUUUGUGGUAGUUUACAGUUCGUAGAUGAAUCUCGAUCGGCUUUGAGAAAUUUUUGUGUGUAAAAUUUAAGUUUAAUUGUAUUGUUUUGAUAUCACUUUAUCGUAUUACUUUGUUGCAGUUUAUAGGUGAUAGAUAAAUGUUGGUAAGCUUUGAAUUUUUUUUAUGUAAAGAUUAGGUUUAGUUGUAUUAUUUUGAUAUCUCUAUUAUCGUAUUAUUUUGUUAUUGUUUAUAGGUGGUGGAUGAGUAUCGGACGACUUUGAGAAAUUUUUUGUGUGUAAAGAUUAGAUUUAAUUGUGUUAUUUUGAUGUCUCUAUUGUUGUAUUGUUUUGUUACAAUUUUUAGAUGGUAGAUGAAUGUCGACCGACUUUUAAGAAUAUUUUUGAUAAAAGUUAGGUUUCAUAAAUAAAUUCUUCAUCUUUAUAUACUCAAAAGAUAUUAAAUUUAAUUAUUAUGUUCAUCUUUAUUAUCUAAAUAAAUAUCCUAUUUAGUAUAAUGUUUGAACUUAUUAAAGUGAGUUACACGCGCCUUGGGCGUAUACCCAAAACUAGUAUAUAUAUGCAUGUGUCUGAAAUCAUCUCCAUCAAUUUCUUGAAUAAUGGAUAUUUAUGUUGUUUAGUAAUCUGUUUGCCCUACUUUUUAGCUGGCCUAAAAAAGCAGGGCACUUUUUAUACUUAAUAACUUUUUUGGUCUAACUUCUUACAUCACACAUUUAUUAUAAACAUCUGUAAUUUAAUUUAUGAUCAUAAUAUUCAAAAGUCUUUUUAUACCGAGCUAAACUAAGAUAACUAAAUUGGAAUACAUGGGUAUAAAUUAUAUGUCUCUUGAUUUGGUUGGGUUUUGCUAUUCUUAUCUUCAUUCUAGUCUACUAAUGGAAAGUGUGGAUCCCAAUAUAUUCUCAAUUUGAAUUUUGACAUUUCCAUCAUACUCUAAAAGAAAAAAUAAUAGACCCUACCUUUCAUAUUUCAUCACCUUAAUUUAACAUAUUUCCAAUUCAACUGAAAUCAGUAGCUUUGGCCUAGAUCAUAUAUAAAUAUUAAGACAUUUGGUAGAUAUGUUCAAAUGUUAGAUUUUGAACCAAGUUAAUUAAGAGCGUUUGAUGUCACGAAUAACUUAUAAAGUUUCAAAUCUUGAAUUUAUCUCAUCCUAGAGGGACACUAUCGACUCACUGACCAGAUAAGAGUCAACCGAGAAUAUUGUGUUAAAAAGACCUAAGGAGGAUCCUAUCUUAAAGGAGAAGGAUGAGAAUGAGCUAGCUAGCUUUAGGUUCGGAAUUGAUUUAAAGAAUUGGAGAUUCGAUAAUAUAAUGUUCAGAGGUCCUGAAAUAUGCUAAGAUUUACGAAAAACAAUAUAUUACGAUAUUCAUGACUAAUAAUUGGAUCCUGACAUACCAAUUGAUCGAUAUUCGAGACUAUCGUAAGUGGACUUGACCUAUUGAAUCAUGACUACAUCACAAUUAUGUUAUUCUUAAUGAAUUGAUUUAUCAUAUAUGCAUCUAGAAAAAAAUUCUUUGAAGAAAUCAUGCCCAUUUGUGAAUAAUGAAUACAAAUAAUUGGUUUCUUUAUUUGGUUGAAAUUUAUUUCUAAGUAGGAGGAUACUUUUAGAAAAAUUUGCUUGUAUCCACUAGUUUCCCCAGGCCAAUUGCAUCAGCAUAAUAUAUAAAGACUGGUUUAUAUUUUUUUCUCAUAGACAACAUCAUUGUGUCCAUGAUAUCCUAUUUGACCAGUGGCGGACUCAGAAUUUAAGUAUAGUGAAUGUUUUAAUAUGUUUUAUAUUUAUUUUUAUAUAUUUUUUAUGUAAUUAUACUUAUUCUGCGUCUAAUUUAGUGGGUGUCGGAACACCCCAAAAAGAGAACGUAGGUCCGCCCCUGUAUUUGACAAAUAAUAAUCUCAAGUUUAAAUUUCAUCAAAGAUAAGAAAAAAAAAUUAUUCAGUGAUCUUUUCAUUAUCUGUUCCAGUUUUGAUAAAUAGAAAUAUUCGAUAUAAAAAUACUCGAUAUUUGUGCCGGAGGAAAGUAACGAAUAUCCAAUCCAAUUAAAUAAAGUGCAGACAAAUUAAUUCAAACACGAAGAUUAUUAAUUAAAAAAAGAUAAGAGUAUAUCCCAUGUCAUUAAUUUGAACCCCACUGCAUGCAGAGAGUCUCUUGAGAGACAUUCCCUCUUAGAUGGAUCUCUUAAUGAUUGAAGUAUUUAUUUUGAAUACUAUAAUUUUUUAAGAACCAAUGGAAGGAGCAAAAACAUAAAAUAUUAUUUUAAAAAUAAAAUAAUGGAGGUAUAUAUGCUGAUAAAAAGGAGACAAUAACUUAAAAAAGAUAAAUAUGUGAUUUUAUUUGCUCACCCAAUAAUCGUUUCUUCCAAUUAAGUCCAUUCGAAUUGAGUUCCACAUAGCCUACCAUUGCCAUUCUUGGGCUUAUAAUAUGGACAUUCCCUGUGUGUCAUUCACAUCAUCUCUUCCAUCCUCCAUACUUAUCUCGUCGAACCAUUAUUAGUUGUGAUAUCAAUUGUUGGAUAUACUAUUGACAUGAUAUGAUAUAUAUUACCUACUUUCGACCAGUAUUUUCCAAAAUAAAAUUUAGAGAUUCACUGUAUGUCAUCCACAUCAUCUCCUCUAUUUCUAUACUCAUCUCGUCAAAUUAUUAGCUUUGAUACGGAUUUUUGAAUGAAAUUGGUCAAAAGGUACUUUUAAUUAACAUGAUAUAGUAUCAUCCAUUUUGGAUUAAGUUUGCAUGAUUUUCUCCAAAGAAUCUCAUAUCAUUAAGAGUACGAAAAAGGGUCAAAAAUAUCCGUGAACUAUUCAAAAUGAAUUAAAAAUACUUUUCGUUUAUUUUUUGGCUAAAAAAUAUCCCUCUGUUUGUUUUUUUGACUUAAAAAUACCCCUCUGUUAAUCUUUUGGCUCAAGAAUACCCUUCUCUCUAUCAAAAUGCCACCAAGCACACCACGUAGAUAAAAAAAAUCACUUAAUCAGUCCACGUCAGCAUAUACGUGGAAAAUCACUUGAUUUAAUCCACCUAACAAUCAAACCAUUUUAUUCUAUUUAAAAAUUCAAUCCGAUCCAUAUUCAAAAAACCCGAACCAAGAGGCAAAAUUCAAAUCUUCAAUUUUUUUCCAGAUAUCAUCCCUUUCACCGCCUUAUUUCAUUAUUUUAUAUUUUCAAAGUUACAAGACUCACUCAAGCAAUUCUUGAUCUCAUCAACUUGUGGUUGUCCUACAUUGCCACUAAACUUUCACUCUCCAAAUUUCAAUUUCGUCUCUGAAAUAUCAUUCCACUUACUACAAUCAGGUUCCUCAUUAGACAAAUGUAGAUAGGACAUCCAGUAGCAAUCCGAGCUCUGGGAAAUUGAGUCAACUAUUUGAGGAUCUAAUUGUUUAGGGUCAACCCGAUUAAAAUUUAAUUCUUUUGGAUCAACAAUUUAAGGACUUAAUUAUUUCCUCAUCUUUCGCCUUGAUCAAUCCGAAAUAUCUAAACCCAUCACAUGAAAAAUAAGCAAUCAAAUUCUUCAAUUUUUUUCCUCUUGGGUCGGAUUUUUUUUAAUAUGGGUGGAAUUGGGUCUUUUAAAUAAAAAAAAAUGAUUUGAUGGUUAUAUGGAUUAAAUGGAGUGAUUUUCAUUUGUGUAUGUUGACGUGGACUGGUCAAGUGACUUUUUUUAUUCAGGUGGCGUGUUUGGUGGCAUUCCGUUAGAGAGAAGGGUAUUUUUGAGCCAAAAAAUUAAUGGAGAGGUAUUUUUGAGCCAAAAAAACAAAUAGAAGAGUAUUUUUGAGCCAAAAAACAAAUGAAGGGUAUUUUUAAUCUAUUUUAAAGAAUUCAGGGGUAUUUUUGACCCCUUUCCGUUAAGAGUAUCACUUCACCUUGGCUAUAUUUAAGUUCAUUUUUUUAAGCAACCAACAUCCAAGACAUUAUUCAGACUCCCAACACUAUUUACAUUGUGUUAUUCUAGUUUGUAUGUUUGUCUUUUCACUAGUUGGUUCCCAUCACUUGUUGAUGUUGUCAACAUCAUGUGCUUAAUUCUUAUAUAUGUUUCCCAUUAGAUGUCCGGUACGAGUAUUGGAAGAGUCCGACUAAUUUAGAUUCGUGCCGCAUAGGGUUCAUUAGGGAGAAGCGCUCCCUAUAAAGGAUUUUUUCAUACUCAAGGCUCGAACUCCAAACAUGUGAUUAAAGAAGGAACAAUCCCAUCCACUACGCCACAUUCUUUUAUGGUUAUUUUUACCUUGUUUUCUUGUCAAUGUACAUUUGCUGCUGCUUUUUUUUUUUCCCCCCUUGGUAGGCAAUAUUAACAGUGAAUGAAUUUAGGUUGUGCCCCAGGACUUCAGAAUUGAUCCAAUACUACAAAAGAUUCAGAAUAUUGUUUAUAGAAAAAAUUCUGAAAACAUAUGCUGAUGGUUGAGAUUGAAAGUGUUUUCUAGGGUUUAUAUCUGCCUUCCAUUGAUCUCUUAGUGUUUUGAAAUUAGUUGGCACUUUGAUCUAUGUAAAUUGGUGCUAUAUAGUGAAUUUAUUAAAAGUUUGUUGUCAUGGUUUUACUUCCUCCAUUUAUUUUUACUUGUCAUGCCCACGAUUCAUAAAUUAAGAAAACAAUAAUUGAUAUGCCUAUUUUACAAUACACUACUCUGUAUUAUGUUUUGAAAAAUGAUUUGGAGAAUAAAUAACUAAUACUAAGGGCAAAACAUGAAUAGAUAAACGAUUGUUUUUUCCUAAUAUGUUAAAAGUACUGAUAAAUAAAAGUAAAAUUUUGUUUUCGAAACAGUGAUGAGUAAAAGUUAACGAAGUGAAUACUACUUAUGCUAUCAUCACCAAUUAAUUCAUUGAUUUAUGUACCCCACCUAAAUAGAAUAUCAAGAACCCCUUUAGAUUAAAAGCAACUCAAGAAGUUGGCAACUAGGGAUAUUAAUUACCACCAUAGAAUGUGGUAGACAAGUAGGAUUUCUAGCUCUAUUUUUAUUCAGAGGUUUCGAUUUUAAAUCUUGGAAAUUGGUUAUUUUGAUAGGAAGCGUUUCUUUUUUAAUGAAUUUUAUGCAGCGUGAAUAUAAAUUAGUCGAAUGAGUGAAUAUCGACCAGUACCAAAUAGUUAUUAUACCCCAAAAGUAGGGAUAUAUAUUGAUUGAUUAUAACUCAAUGUUUCCCCACAAGACCUAUGGGAUUGGAUCCAAAGCCUCUCAUGGUAGACUGCUAGAAUUUUGGGUGAUAUUUUGAAGACUUUUGAUACCAUUGUCAUCUCUCCUUUAUUAUGUCACCUUUCUUUACCUAAGGGUAAAAAAAAAGCAGUUCGAUACACUAAAAUUUUCUUACGUACGGAUUCGAGAAAGAGUCAAACCACAGGGGUUUAUUUUAAAUACCUUAACCUUAAUUUUUGUACGAGGUAGUUUUCACGGUUUGAACCUGUCACCUCUGAUUCAUGAGACAACAACUUUAUCAGCUACGCCAAGACUGUCCAUCCCACCUUUCCUUAUCUAUAAAUAGAAAUAUAUGUAUUAUUGUGUAUCAGACAGGAUAGGAUUUCACGUGAAGAUAAUAAAAGGAAACAUCUUUUUUCUUUGCAAGAUUAUGAUCACUCAGUGAAAUCUUGUUCAUGCUAGGUCAAUUUAAUUAGGUUCUAGCAACAUAUUUGAAAAUUAAUCAAAGUGUGUUAAUUACUAGUUCUAGUUUGGUGGCUAGCCUAACCUAAUUAUUUUCCUCCAAUUAGUGCUUAAUUGGUUUCACUUUCUUAUGAAAGAUUGAAAGUAACAUCUACUAUAUGUUACUCACUUCAUGCUUUAGUACUCCUUGUAGUAUUUCAAUCUUAAGUAGUCCGAUCUCUCCGUUUAUUUUUACUUGUCCAUAUUAAUAAAAAUAAAUAUCUAAUAAUACUUAUUCAGUUUGAAAACCCAUUGGAUAAUUUACCCAUUUGUGCGCAUUUUAACUUUGAUAAUAUUACAAGCAGCUAUAGCUAUAUUAUCACAGAAUAUGUUUUAAAUGAGUAAAAAUAAAAUGUUGGAAUUCCACUAACCAUCGAUGAAAUUUUGAAAGCCAAAUUUAAGUUUGUCCACAAACCAUAAGAAUAUAUUCGACACCAAAUUUAAAUAAAGAGAAUUUAUUUUAUUCUCAGAGCUAAAGUUUUUAUUUUCGCCCUUUUACCUUCUAUUUAUAUCUUACAUCCUUCGUCCAAAAAUAUUUAUCAUGUUUUACUUUUAGAGAGUCAUACAUAAAUUUUGAUUAAAAUUUUAAAAUAUAUAUCUUUCACUAUAUUAAUAUGAGAAUAAUUGCAAUAUAUAAUACUUUUCAUAGUGUUUUUAAAUAUUUAACUUAUAAUUUUAGAAUAUUCAACGACUCCGAUUCAAUUUAACUUUAAAAUUUAGUCAUUCUGACUCUCAAAAAAUAAAAUAUGACAAUUAAUAUGAGACGGAGGGAGUAUAAAGCUGUCCUAACAUUUCACAUGCUGUGAAAAGACCUCUUAAAAGUGGAUGUUAUCCAAUUUGGGACAUAAAAUAUCAAAGGUACAAGUGACUACUUUUAGCAAAAUUGACAUAUAGAGAAGAGGAAGGAACAAUGGGACAUUGUAAAAGUUUUUUGAGUUUGGUGGGACAUGUAAUUGAGUUAGUUAAUGACUAGUAACUCAAUAGGCAUAUAUAUUGUGUGUCAAAUGGCAAUACCAAGUUGCUUGGAGUCUUGGCCCUUAUGGGACUUCAAACCAAUGCUUGUGUCUUUGACAAGUGGACCAAUUGCAUACCACAUCUAGAGGGGUUUGUGGCAAAAAAAUUAUAAGAGUUUUAAGUUUUGUGGGACUAUCAGUUAAAUUUGAUUUGCUAUUGUAGAUAAUUCAAUUUUUUAUAUAUGAAUUGAAAAAGAAAAAAAUUAGAUAACUUGUGUAGAAUAUUUUGUACACUGACAGUGUACAAAACUUAAAUUCACUCUGACUCAGAUGCAUGUUUUGAGUUUGACACACAUCCUUAAUAAACCACUAACUCUUAAAAACAAAAUGUAAUUUUACCAGCUUACCUAAAGUUUAUACAUCUUUUUAAAUUGGCAUUUAUUACAUUUAAAACGAAGCGUUAAUUAGACAUUAAUGCAAUACAUGAACAUAUUAGGAGAAUUAUUAGGACCAAAAUAUUCUUGAAGGCUUAAACAUGCACUUAAUUAAAAACGGAGGGAGUAUAUCGCAUUUGUGUUUCUUUAUAAUCGUAGUGAUUCUUGAUUGACUUCAUAAAGUAUUUGAUAUUUUUCACAAAUGUAUGUAAUAGCAUAUUUAAAAGGGAUAGGACAUAAUAAUUUUUUGAACUAUGAUAAAAAUUGUAAGUUAGACAUGUAAACUAUGUGAGGAUCAUAUUAUUCUCCUGAACUUAAUAUUUUUGUUUGUUUAAUAUCUGUUGUGUCAAUUAAGAUGAUGUUAUUGCACAUUUAACUAUUUAAGUGCACUCUUACAUUGAUUUUUAUAUCUAUUAAUCUGAUUAAAGGAUAUAAAUAAUACAGAAAAGUCAAAAUUUAGGAAGGUAAAUCAGAUGAAUUAUUAUAAGUUCUCGAACUUAAAUUCACAAAAUUUUAAAUUCUGAAUCCGUUUUACCUGGUGGCACACACAUGGUACUAACCUAUGGCCAAGAACAUGCAUGAAUAGUGCCCAUCUUAACAAGGUGCAGCCAAAUAUUAAUCAUUCUUAUCUUCUAUGUGACAUAUGUGACACCAUAUAUUUUGACUUGGAAUCUAAUAAAUCAAUUGGUUUGGGAUAGAAUUUUGAAAUCUAUUUCAUAAAGUUCAAAUUUUAGAUUCGCCUUAUAGGCAUAUUUUAUGAAAGAGAUACUCUUGACCUAAUGUUUCAUAAACUCCCAUCAUUACUAAUUAUAAUAGGAAAGAAUUUAGAACAUGCAUAUAUAAAUGUUCUUCUUGCAUGAUAACUAGCAUAUAUGUAUAUAGAUGUAUGAACUGAACUUUCAUGUAAUUUUUUUUUUUUUUUUUUUUUUUGUGGAAUUAUGUGUGUAUGUUUGUUGUUAGAUAAUGACAGCAAAUAGAAGAAUUCAUUGCAACCUAACUUAAGUGUCAAUCACAUAUAUUUGGACUAAUAAUUAAGCCACAAAUUUGUGUCUGAUUUUAUAAUGCUUAUUGAACUUAAACUAAUUUUGGAGGUCAUAGUCGUUUAACAAUAUGGUGCUUAUAACAACAUAUUGUGGGAUUAAUACAUCCAUAUAUGUCCACAAACAAAGAAUAACAAUAACUAUAUAUAUAUUUGAGUUCCGAAUGAGUUGAGAUUGACUGUAUGAACGAGUUGAGAUCGAUUGUAUGAAUCUCAUUAUGAAAAUUUAUAGUGAAUUGAUAGAUUUUACAUUGAUUGUCAAUCUAUAACAAUUAUUCUCAGCUCACAUGAGCAUAAUUGUGUACAAACGAAAAAAAGAACAAUAAAAAAAAACCUUCUAGUGAAAAAGAAGUAUUGAACAUAUUUGGGGUGUGUUUAGUACAGAGAAAAAUAUGUUUUAAUUUUUAUAUUUGAUUGAUUAAAAUAUUUUGAAAGAUAUUUUCCUUUUAUAAAAUUAAGUUUAGAAAUAAAAAAAAUAAGUUCUCUAGUGAAAGUAAAAAAACAAUUCAACAAGUGACAUUGCACACUGGUUGUCUCCUCCCGCAUUUCCCUCCCCUACCUCCUACUCCUACCCCCUCCCGUAGUGUUUGCGAAGACAAAUUAUUAAUGUUCUUGACAUAAUAUUUUAAAAAUUAUAAAAAUCACUAUUUUUCAAGAAAAUAUUUUUCUUCAUACCAAAAACACCCUUAUGCUUAAUUUUUGUUCCAACAAGAUCCUUCAAAUAACAUUGCCUUUGAGUACACUUAAAUGAAAUUUUAGCUCUUUUAUAAGGAAAUCAAGUACCAUUAACCAUCUGUCUAUAUUUUACUUUCUGAUCAUGACACUGUAUAGAUAGAAUAUGUUGCAUUAUUAUUGUAUACAAGACAAAAAAACAUUAAAAAAUAAUAUAUAUAUAUAUAUAUAUAUAUGCACGUGAAAAAUAUAGGAGGAGAAGACCAAUAGAAUGACUAAUUAUAAAGACUUUAGUCAUUGAUAAGUAGUUUUCCAUUCUGUAUAUUGCAGUUCUUUGCAUGCAUGUGCUAGCAUUUCUAGUAGUUUGAUGGCUAGAGCUAGCCUAGACAUUGUUUGCUAAGGGAUAACAAUAGGGCGGAGCGGAGCAGGAUCGACAUGACAUGACAGGACAAAUCUUAAUCAGGGGCGGAUCCAGAGGUUCGAUUAUGAUAGCUAAGCCUAAUAGAGUAGCUUUUGCUUGUAGCUUAUAUGUAUUAAAAAAUCACUAAGUAUUUUUAAAUAUUUGAUCGUGAUUCCAACUAAUAUUAUAAAGUAAUUUAAAAUUAUUGUAGAAAUUCAUAAAUUUCAGUUUCUGAAUUUGUCUCUAACCUCAAUAGGCUAGGGCAAACCAUAGACGAGACAAAGUGAGUGGUUUUUCAAAAAGGAGUAAAGUUUCAUUCUUAGACUACGAUCUUUUCAAUAGGGCGGGGAAAGUCGGGGAAAAUUUUGAAAAGAUGCUAAACGGGGCAGGGCACAGACACGUAGGGCUCCGCCCCGUUUACAUCCCUAUUGUUUGCUCCAUGGUAGUCAUGAAGUGAAAGAUUGAAAGUUACAUCAAAGGGUUUUGCUUACUUCAUGCAUGAUUUAUUUCUUGAAAAUGAUGUUACAAAUUUGAAUAUUACACAUUGAAAACUUUGUCUACUUAGUUAAUAUGCACCCUAUUAAGCAAUUAAGUAUAGUUUCAGUUUUCAUUGGAGAACCAACAGUAUUAUCUUAGGAUUAGUUGAUAUCAAACAUACACAAAUUCGCCCUAUUAAGCGUGUUCGUCCCGCUCCCCAGAUCCCACUUGUGGAAUUUCACUGCGUAUGUUAACGUUGUUGAAAUGUGCUAGACUUUGGUACCAGUUAUUUGGUUUUUAUGUUAAUGUUCCAGCAGCAAGCAUAUUGUUUGCUAGACUUUGGUACCAACUGGAUUUGUAGAGAACACCAAAAACUAUAAUCCUAUAAGGAUUGGGUCUUACAAUUUUUCUAAAGGGAAAGUUACACAUUUGGUCGCUCGACCAAAAAUAAUUGAAGUGACUAGCUAACUAUACAAAAAAUAAAUUGCACUAGCUAUGCAUAGAGUUGUCAAGACGAGCUAGUCCACGUAGACUUUUAAAAUUUGAAAUCCAACAAAUUAGGUGAAGUGAGCUCAUCAUUUUAAUGAGCCUUAAAAUUGCUAGUCCAACCCAACACUAUGCAAAUUACAGGUCAGGCCGGACCAUCCCUUUUUUAAAAAAAUAAUAUAUUUUUAUAAAUUUAAAUUUGAAGUCUAAUAUAAAAGUUUUAACAUUUAAUAUUUACAAAAUAAUGUUAUAUAGUGUUUCUACUUGCAAAACAUUCAGUGACAACUUUUUGUGGCGACUAUAUUGUCACUAAAACUUAUUAAAAAAAAUAAAAAAAAAUACAGUUUUAUUGACAACAUUUUGUGGCGACUACAUUGUCACUCCAAACUUACAAAAAAAUAGAAAAAAUAUAUUUUUAGUGACAAUUUUUGUGUCUACUUUGCUAUCACUAAAAUCAAUACAAAAUUCAGAAAAAAUAUAGUUUUAGGGACAACAUUUUGUGGCGACUUUGUUGUCCUAAAACUUGUAAAAAAUUUGGAAUAAUAUAGAUUUAGUGACACCAUUUUGUGGCGACUAUAUUGUCACUAAAACUUAUAAAAAAAUCUGAAAAAUAUCCUUUUAGUGACAACAUUUUCGGGCGACUUUGUUGUCACUAAAACAUACAACAAAUUCGGAAAAAUAUAUUUAGAGGGUGUUUGGAUAAGCUUAAUUUUUGGUCAAAAUGACUUUUAAGCCAUUUUUAGCUUUUGAAAGUGUUUGGUAAUUUCCAAAAUUGCUUAAAAAAGCAAAUUUUGGUUUUUUAAAAGCCAAAAGUAAAAAGUAGCUUUCCUUAGCUUUUUUUUGGGGGGCUUAUAAGCCAAUUUAAGUUGACCAUGUAAAUGACAUAUAUAUCCCUUGUAAUUGUCCCUUAUUCCAAAUAUAUCCUUUUGUAGCCCUAAUUUUCUUUUACUCUCUAGACAAAAAUACACCUUGUCGCAUGUGAAAUUAGUUGUGCUACUUCUGGUAAUUUAGAUGUUCAAAUAAAUAUUUUGCUUAAUUUACCUUUUUUUUUUGCUCAGCAUUCAUUAACUAAAUAUCACUCAGUACAUGGAUUCAUUUGAUAAGCUCGGCAUAUAUAUUAAUAAGAAAAUGAAGUGCCGUCAUAAAUUACACCUUAAUGAUACGAAAUCUUAACGUAACCAUGAAGAAACAUAUAAUCUUUUAAUAUAUAACUAUCUUUUUCAAACACAUUAAAACAUUCAAUACUUAAACUCUUGAAAAAAUAAUUUUUUAGCGCACAAAUUAAUAGUCAUUUAUGAAAAUAUUAUAUAUAUAUAUAUAUUAAUUUUAAUUUGAAUCAUUUUAGCAAUAAAAAUAAUAAUAAUCAACUCUAAUAUAUUAUUAACAGCUAUAAGGGUAUUUCAGACAUUUUGACAAAAAAAAAUGCUUAAAAGCACUUAUUUACCAAACACAUCAAUAACUUUUUUCAGUUUCAACACUUUUACCCAAACACGUAAUUGCUUAUUUUAAAAAUAAGUUCAACACUUUCAAAAAGCACUUUUUAAAAGCCAUUUUUUUUAGCUAUCCGAACGGGCCCUUAGUGACAGCUUUUUGUGGCAACUUUGCUGUCACUAAAACUCAUAAAAGAUUCAUUUUAGCAACAACAUUUUGUGGCGACUUUGUUGUCACUACAACUUACAAAAAUUCGGAAAAGUGACAACAUUUUGUUGUCACUACAACUUACAAAAAUUUGGAAAAUAUGCUUUUUAGUGACAAUAUUUUGUUUAGCGACUUUAUUGUCGCUAAAACAUAGAAAAAAAAAACUGAAAAUAUACUUUUGUGAAAACAUUUUGUGGCGACUUUGUUGUCACUACGCUAAUAAAAAAAUUCGAAAAAUGUACUUUUUGUGGCGAUGCUAUUGUCACUAAAGCUUAUAAAUAAUCUAAACAAUAUACUUUUAGUGACAACAUUCUAUGGCGACUUUUAAAAAAAAAAUUGAGGGUAGGGGAAUGGGAUUACAACAUGGGGAAUCGAACCCUCACCAACAAGCUGAGAGUUCAGGUAACUAACCAACUAAGCUACUAAGAUUCCCGAUUGGCGACAUUAUUGUCACUAAAACUUAUAAAAGAUUAGAAAAAAAUAUACUUUUAGUGACAUUUUUUUGUGGCGACGAUGUUCUUACUAUUUGAACCUUUUUUUGACAACAUUUUGUGGUGACUACAUUAUCACUAAAACUUAUAAGAAAAAAAUCAAAAUAUAUAGUUUUAAGGACAACAUUUUGUGGCGACUAUAUUGUCACUAAAAGUAUAUUUUAAUAAGCCGUCAAGUGACCACUCGAGAAGUUUCGCCCCAAACUUUUUUUGAUGCCCGAGUCCACCCUGGAAUCAUGGGCUCACUCAUCGAAAGUCGUAAAAAACUCACAAUUCCUGCCAUUUUGCCCAUUUGACUCCUAACCCCGACAAAGCAAUCCAAACCAUUUAAUAGGACGUUAGGGGACCACUCAAGUAUCUUUGCCCCAAAUUUAUUUCGAAGCCCAAGACCCCUCCCCCCCAAACCGUGGGCUAACACCCAUCGAAAGUCACAAAAAAACUAUAAUUUCUGUCGUUUCGCCAGUUUGACUUGGAAAAUGCCUCCUUGAUCCCACUAAAGCAUUCAAAUCCAUUUAAUAGGUCGUCAAGGGACUACCUAAGAAGUUUUACCCCAAGUUUUUUUUGAAGCCCGAGCCCGCCUCUCAAACCGUGGGCUAACACCUACUAAAAGUCGCAAAAAAAUCCACAAUUCCUAUUGUUUGGCCCAUUUGACUUGAAAAAUGGCUCUCUCUGCCCUGCCAAAGCAACUCAAUCCAUUUAAUAGAUCAUCAGGAGACUUCCUGAGAAUUUUUAGCUGUAAUCUUUUUGGAGUCUAAGCCCACCCCUCGAACUGUGGGCUAACAUCCACUAAAAGUCGAAAGAACUCACAAUUCAUGUUGUUUUUCCUGUUUGACUUGAAAAAUGUAUCCCCAGACCCGACCAAAGCAAUUCGAUCCAUUUAUUAGGUCGUCAGAAGACUGCCCAAGAUGUAUUACAUCAAAUUUUCUUAGAGCUCGAGCCCACUGCCUAAUCAUGGGCUAACACCCACCGAAAGUCAUUUUGCCUAUUUGACUUGAAAAAUGGCUCCCCUGGCCUCGCCAAAAAUACCUAAUCCAUUUAAUAGGUCGUCAGGGGACCACCCGAGAAACUUCACCCCAAAUUCCUUUUGGAGCCCGAGUCUACCCCCCAAACUGUGGGCUAACAACAACCAAAAGUUGAAAAAAAACUACAUUUCAUGUUGUUUCACCCAUUUGACUUUUAAAAUGUCUUUCUCAGCACCGCUAAAGCAACCUGGUCUAUUUAAUAAACUAUUAGAGGAUCAUCCGAGAAGUUUCACCCUAAAUUUUUUCUGAAGACUGAGCCUACCCCUUAAAUUGUGUAUUAGCACCCACCAAAAGUCACAAAAAACUUGCAAUUUUUGUUGUUUUGCCCGUUAGACUUGGAAAAUGGCUCCCCUGACCCUGCCAAAGCAACUUGAUCCAUUUAAUACGGCAUCAGAGAAUCAUCCAAGAAGUUGUGGCCAAAUUUUUUUGGACUCCGAGUCCACCUCUGAACCUUGGGCUACCACUCACUGAAAGUCGUAAAACCUGCAAUUCUUGUUGUUUCGAUCGUUUGACAUGGAAAAUAACUCCCCAGACCCGCCAAAGAAUCCGAUCAAUUUAAUAAGUCAUCAGGGGAUCGCCCGAGAGGUGUUGCCCCAUAUUUUUUCUAAAGCCCAAGCCCACCCCAUAUCCGUGGGCUAACACUGACCAAAAGUCACAAAAAACUUGUAAUUUCUGUUGUUUCGCAUGUUUGACUUGUUAAAUGGCUCCUCCGACCCCACCAACUCCAUUUAAGAGGUCAUUAGGGGACCACUCGAGAAGUUUUGCCUAAAAUUUUUUUGAGGGCCAGAGCCCACCCAUCGAACCGUGGGCUAACACCCACUGAAAGUCACAAAAAAACCGCAAUGUUUGUUCUUUUGCCCAUAUGACUUGUAAAAUGACUUCUCUCAUCCCGCCAAAGCAACACGGUGCAUUUAAUAGGCCAUCAGGAUAUUGCAUGAGAAGUUUCUCCCUAAAUGUUUUUUGGAACCUAAGCCCAACCCCUGAACCAUGGGCUAACACUCACAAAAAAUCAUUAAAAAACACUCAAUUUUUUUGUUUUGUCUAUUUGACUUGAAAAUGGCUCCCCCAUCCCGUCAAACCAAUCCGAUCCAUUCAAUAGGUUGUUAGGGGACCACCUGGGAAGUUUUACCUCAAAUUUUUCUAGAGCUUGAUCCUCUGCCCCCGAACCAUGGGCUAACACUCAUCAAAAAUCACAAAACAUCCUAUUGUUCCUGUCGUUUUGCCUGUUUGGCUUGGGAAAUGGCUUCUCUUUCCCCGCUAAACUAACCCGGUCCAAUUAAUAGGCAGUUAGGGGACCACCCGAGUUGUUUCGCCUAAAUAGUUUCUGGAGGCUGAGCCUACCGCGAAUCUUGGGCUAACACCAAUCGAAUGUCAAAAAAAAUCUGUAAUUCCUGCCAUUUCGUCUGUUUCACUUUGAAAAUGGCUUCCCGACCCCUCUAAAGCAACCCAAUCAACUUAAAAGACCGUCAGGGGACCGCCCGAGAAGUUUUACCCUAAAUUUUUUUGAAGCGCGAGUCCACCCCCCGAACCAUAGGCUAACACCUAUCGAAAGUCACCAAAAACUCGUAAAUCUUGUCGUUUUGCUUGUUUGACUUAGAAAAUGGCCCUCUCGGUCCCGACAAAGCAAUUCAGUCCAUUUAAUAGGCCAUCAAGAGACCGCAUGAGAAGCUUCGCCUAAUUUUUUUAAAGUUUGAGCCCAGCCCAUGAACCGUGGACUAACACCCACUAAAAGUAGCAAAAAACUUGUAAUUCUUAUCGUUCCGCUUGUUUGACUUGGAAAAUGACUUACCGGCCCCGCCAAAGCUACCAAAUCCAUUUAAUAGAUCUUCAAGGUACCUUCAUAGAUGUUUCUCCCUAAAUAUUUUUUGGAUCCCGAGCCCACUCCUCGAACCAUGGGCUAACACCCAUCGAAAGUUGUAAAAAAAAUCACCAUUUGACUUGGAAAAAUGGCUUCCCUAGCCUCGCUAAAGCAACCCAAUCCAUUUAAUAGGUAGUUAGGGAACCGCUCAAGAAGUUUCUCCUCAAAAGUUUUCAGAGCCCGGGCCCACCUCCCAAAUCGUGGGUUAACACCCACCGAAAAUUGUAAAAACUCUAUAAUUCUUGUUGUUUCACCUAUUUGACUUGGAAAAUAGCUUCGCUGGCCCUGCCAAAGCAACCCAUCCGUUUAAUAAGUCGUUAGGGAAUUUUUCGAGAAGUUUCACCCCAAAUUUUUUUUGGAACCCGAGCCCACUCCCCGAACAGUGGGCUAAUACCCAUCGAAAGUCGUAAAAAACUCGUAAUUUUUGUCGUUUCACCUAUUUGACUUGGAAAAUAGCUCUCCCGGCCCCACCAAAUCAACCCAAUCCAUUUAAUAGGUCGUCUGGGGACCGCCCGAGAAGCUUUGCCCUAAAUUUUUUCAGAUCCCGAGCUCAACUCCAUCCCCCGAACCAUGGGCUAACACUCAUCGAAAGUCGCAAAAAAAGCCCACUUCUCUUUAUUUUUAGGGCAAUGCUCAUAAAUAGCAUACUUAAGGCCCUAAUUGUUGAUUUUAUAACAACAGUUUCAUAAUUACUUUUUGUUGCAACUUUUUAUUUGUAUUUUUAAAAACUGGUCCUUUUAAAAUACAUAUAUAACUAAUUUUACUUCUCUUAAAUAACUUAAUUUGGUUGAGAUAAAUAUGGUAUAAUUACCAAUUAAUUAAAUUUGAAGAAUCCUUUUUCAUUAAAACAACUUCAUUCACGUGUUUUCCCCAUUAAAGCUAAAGAAUUUCGUUACAGGUUAACAACACUAAAAGGAAUUUAAAUUUCCGUUUUCCCCAUUAACGAGUUCAUCAGGAAAAAUAUCAAGCAAAAUAAAAAUUUAUUGUUCAUUUUUUCUGAUCAAUUUCUGAGCAAGCAAAGUUGUGUUUUUGAAAUCGAACCAUUGUUUUUGUUGAAUCAAAUUCGACGGAAUCUUCUUCAAAAUCAACAGCAUUAUUAAGAUGAAGCUUUAAUUUGUCUGAAUCAAAUUCAAUUGUACAUUCUUCAGUUCAAUUUGUUCGAAUUCAACUAUCAGUUGCAAAUUUAACCAUCACUGUUGUUUAAGGUACAUAAUAAUUAAUAUUUUCCAGUUCAAUUUUUUGUUUCAACCAUUACUGGAGCUCUUAUCCAGUUUUUAUGAAAAAUUUAUAACCGAAUUUCGAGGUAGAAGCACUGCAUGAGUAAAUUCAAUAUAUAUAACAAAAACCUUUGGAAUUCAACUAUUUGUUGCAAAAUUUCAGUUUAGGAGUUGUUUCAUAUAUUAAAAUUUCAGUAUUAGAUUAUUUAUUUGAGGAAAGUUUGUCGUUAUUUUGAUUGUUUUAACAAUUGAACAAAUUGUGAAGCUUUGUAGAAUAUUUUCACUUUAUUGUAUAACUAAUUAUGAACAUAUUUUAAACAAAUUUCAAUUUGAACUUUAUUCAAUUAUUUUCUGAAAUCCUAGAUCAAUGAAUGAUUGAAUUCAGCUGUUGAAUAUGAUGAAAUUCUAUUGACACAUAUCAAAAUACAAAUUAGGUAUGCUCCAGAUGUAAUUUUGUUAUGUUUAAUGUUAACAUUGCAUAUGUAUUUUUGAUAUGCUUAAUGUUGACACUGCAUAUGUAUUUUUGUUUAAUGUUAACUGUAUAUGUGAAAAUGCAUUUCUAUUUGUAUAACUGUAUCUGCAUAUGUAUUUUCCUCCAGAUGCUUAAUGUUAACUGUAUAUGUGAAAAUGUAUUUGUAUAUCUAUUUUGCUUCCGUUGGAUUCAGAAGUUUCUGUAUUUGGUUGAAAACUUUUGUUGUGCUUAUAUUUUUGGUUUAAACAAAAUUUGUUUAAAGCUGGAACUAUGUGUUAUAACAAGUGACAUUUGACACAUAUGUAUAUUUGUUUAUUUUUUGGUAAAAUCAAGUAGAAAUGGGAAGCAUACCAGUCCUUGUGAAGCACUCUGGUCGAUGGACGCAUGAAAAAAAACUACGAAAAAUAUGUCACUGAUGCUAUACUUUUGAGCACAUCAGCAACAUUCGUAGAGAUGCACGAUGAUUUGACAUCUCACUUAAGUGUGGAUUUGACCAGCAAACGUAUUCUAGUGGGAUAUCAAAUCACUGCUAAUGCAGGACAGAUAGAAAUACGUAAUGAUAUGGGUUUAAAGGUAUUUAUUUUGAAGAAAAAAUAGACACAAGACAUGAAUUGUCUUCCUUUAUAUGUAAGUAUUUUGGAGAAAGUUUUAGGAAGCAACUUGGCAAGUUCAUCUAUAUGUGUUGCUGAAAAAAGAACCAACUGUAAAAACUUGCAAACAGUGAUAAAUACAACAAAUAAAGGAGCAUUGGUGGUUUUUAAAGAUACACAAGCAUUAAAUGUAUUUGAGAUGGAUACUGAUGAGGUGAUUAUCUCAGACCCACAUCACAAGCAUGUUGAGGAAGACCAGGUUUACUUGAGAAAAAAAUUUAAAGUCAGUCAUGAAGGACUAUUCAAUUAGGGAGAAGUUUCAAAAGCGAAGUAAAAGGUCAAGUAAGAAAACGUACGUACAUUCUAUAUCACUCUGAUCUUCUUUAAUAUUAGUUUUAUAUGUAUUUUGAAUGUAUUAAAUGAUGUUUAAUGCAGGUAUACAUUAUUUUGUAAAUCAAGAAACUGCAAGUUUUUAAUGCGUGCAUCAGGAAUGGGAGAAGCUGAAAUAUUUAGAAUAAGAGAAUUCAGACCUCAACAUACAUGCCCGGUGAAGGACAAGAUCUAUCCAAAGGUGCAUGCUACUAGUAUGUUGGUAGGUGGUAUGGUUAAACAUAAAUUCAAAAUCAUAAGCGAAAAUACAGUGCGACGGAAAUAAAAAAUGACAUAAAGAAAGAUUAUGGUAUGGAUUUGACAUACACUUUAUGUUGGAGGGCUAAGGAAAGAGCGUUAGAAGAGUUGAGGGGUACGCCAUCAGCAUCUUACGGGAAACUGGCAUCAUACUUAUAUGUACUGAAUACUAUCUAUCCAGAGUCACAUAUAAGAAUGAAGAAGACAGAUGAUAAUGCGUUCUUGUAUGUAUUUAUCACUCUACAUGCAUUCAUUAAAGGAUUCAAUCAUUGUAGACCGGUGAUAGUUGUUGAUGCUAGUCAUCUGAGAGGAAUGUAUACUGGGGUAUUUGUAAUAGCAUGUACAAUGGAUGGAGCAGGUUAGUAGCAUUUAUAAAUACAUUGUAUAACUGGUUAUAUUUUUUUUUUGUAUUUAUGAGUAUCACCUGAAAAUACAUAUCUCCACUAUAUAUAUACAUACCUGUACAAUAUUGCAUAUAUUUUCAAAUUUUCAUGAAUGAAACAUGCAAAAUUGUUUAUGUUUGAUAGUAAUGUGAGUCUAUAUUUUAGUAUAUGUAAUUGAUGUAGACACAUAAUUUUAUCCCGUCAAAAAUUAAUCUUACUCCGUUGUCACACACUUUAACCCUACUCUAUUAUUUUCCCACAAAAUGUCAAUAAAUAACCACCUCAUCAUUUUAUUUAUUUAUUUAUUCUUAUCUUUAUCUCAAAUAAUAAUUUUUAAAAAAUUUUGUCUUCUUUUAAAACCUCUCAACAACCCCUCCAAUUAGAAGAGAACACCUAACCACCCUCACCACACCAUACCCCUACCCCACUCACCCCUGCCCCCUCUCUUUUUUCUUAUCCAAAAAAAAUACACUAACAAAUAACUUCCAGGAAGUUUCCUUGAAAUAGAUACCCAUACACCCUUCACCUCUACCCACAAGGCCUCUUAAGAUUUUUCUUUUCUCUUUUUGAAAAUAUAUGCACCACUGACCAUACAUAAACGGAGAAGAGCAGCUCCCAUUUUUUUUCAUUUUAGGCAGGCUUCACUCUCAAUUCAUUGAAUAUACUCACACACCCCCCCUAUCGGGAUGGGGAGAAGGAUCUAGUGAGACGACCAUUGGAUCCCGUUCGAUCUUUAAGUUUUUUUCCGGUGGGGUUUUAAAUUCCCAGCGAAAUUGUUUGCCAAAAUUAGCUUCGGUACGUUGAACGGAUCCGACCCAGUAUCGAAAUCCCUGAAAUCUCCUUGUUUCUUUUGAUUUUCAAGCGAAUCUGGCCCGAAAACUACUGAAAUUCACCGGAAUCUAUUUUGGGUUAAUCAGUUUUCGCAUCUCAUUACCAAAAUCGACCUUCGGGUUCAUCGGGUUUUGGGAAGAGAUCUGGUUUUUUGUUCGUCUCAAUCAGUUUUGAAUUUCAAAUUCCUAGAUAUCGGAGUUAGAGUUCCUCACUGUUGAGGUUCUAUUCAGAAUUCUAAAGUCCGGACUUUCUUUAACAUUGUUACCAAUGAAAUUGGCUUUUCAAAGGUCCAUCUCUUAACUCUACUCUUUUAAUAUCUCGGAGUUGGUUCAUGUCAUGAUUUUAUAGUGUAGUUUUUUUGAAUAUUUUUAGUAAAUGUAAUUGUCGUUGUGGAUAUAAAUGACUCUGUGUGCUUGAAUGUUUGAAUUUUCAUUGGGCGUAUGUAUUUGAUGUUGGUUUCGGAUUCUGAAAAGUGAUUUGAUAAUCGAAAAUUUGUUAACCAUUAGUUGAGGAAUUUGGGGCGGAAUUGAGAAAUUGAUAAAAGAUAAAAAAUGAAUUAAAUUAACGUUGGUUUAUUGUGGAUUUUGUUUAAUUUGGAAUAAAGCUUGAAUAUUGUUGAAUUGGAUAGUAUCAUGAUUAGGUCAUCGAAUGAAUAAGAAAAAGUAGGUUCGGGUAGGUAAAGAUUUAGGUGUAAGUGUUUUCUCGUUGAAUUAUUGAAUGCUUGCUAGGCGUGUUGAAAGGUUUGAUUUUAUUUCUUUUUGGGAUCGAAUGUAUCAUUUGGCCGAGAAAUGCCCCGAAGUACUUGUAUUAUUUUUAUCUGGGGAAUGCCCCGAGGUAUUUUUACUCAGAGGAAGUUCGCGAUGAAGGUUCGAGGCAUCGGUUGAAGCAGUGGAGCGUAGUAUAGGAUUAGUCUAGGGUAGAAUAGAUUUAUAUUUCCGCAUUAUUUAUUCUUGGACUGUAUAAUUUGGACUGGACAUUAUUUUGGUUUUGAGUUUUGUUUGAUUUGUUUGUUGAUUGUUUUGCAUGUCUGUGUGGUUUAUAUAUCCGUAAUGUCAAAUUAGCCGAUACGCUCUACCAAGAGACCGUGGUCAAACCACGGGAUCGAGGGGUGCCUAACACCUUCCCCUCGGUCAACAGAAUUUCUUAGCCGAAAUCUCUAUUCGCGGAUCAGCUUUAGAGUCAAAUUGUUUUGAAAAGAAUUUUCCAAAGGUGACUUGGCACACCGGAUUAUGCCAAGUAGUGACUUUGAAUAAAAAUUGUAAAUAGUCAUUUUUUGAAACAAAUCUUCAUUUUGUCACUUAAUAAUGAAAACCCUUUCGAAACCUAAAUCGAUAUAUUUUGGUGGUAAAAAAGGGGUGUGAAAGCUCUAGCGACUCUGCUGGCUACUUUGUUCAGAAUUCGAACUUAUUUUGGAGUCGUAUCGGCUUUGUUUGGCACUAUAGGUGUAUAAACAUUUUGUUUGUGUUGUGUUAUGUUAUUGUUUCAUCAUUGUGGAAUAUUUUUGUGCUCUUUGUGUAUAGUAUUUAUCUUAUGUGUUACCGCUUUUAUAUCUGGCAUCAUGUGUCUACCCCUAGGCCUUCUUUCUACAACAAGUCUGUAGUACACGUGUUGUACACGACCUCUAGUUGAGUCACCCUUAUUUUUUUUGGGGGAGCCAUCGGUGUUAUGGAGUAGGUGGAAAACAUAACAGCCAUUAUCGAUCAUACACUCCCCCGAAUAGCCUUGUUAGUGAACCCCAACGUAGUUCAGCCUUUAGGUCAUGCUUAUGUGCAUCAUAUUGAGUUCUAGCGGGACCCACAUGACCCUUUGUAGGAGACUCACCUCUAAAGCAUCCCUACGUGAUAAAUGUUGCAUCUUUGAGGGUAACGUGGUCAUUUAAUGAACUGAUUUGGGGAAAACAUGUGUUAGAAGUGAGGUGCAUAGGCAAGAAAUGUUGAAAAAAAUAGAAAAAAGUGAGUCGAAAAGAAAGAAAAAAAAAGUGUCAUAGUUUAUUUUAGAGUUCUUUAUGGCUUUUGUUCUUCACAAUCCAAAAACUCAAAAAGAUUUUUUUACCUUUUGCAUUUAUUUUCACAAAGUACCAUAAAUUCAACAAAAAAAGAGGAUUUUGUUUACCUGUUCUACUUAUUUGUCAAAAAAAAAGUACAAAAAGAUUUUUCUUUUUUUUAUAAGCAUUCAUAAUUCAAAAAUUUCAAAAAAAAAUAAAAAUUUAUAUAGUAGUAGAUUUUAUAAAAGAAUAUUCAAAAAAGGGUUGGUAGAAAUUUGUACAUACCAAAAAGAUUUUUCUUCAUAGUUGUUAGUGUCAGUCUUAGUUGAAGUGUCUAAUUAAAAACAAAAAAAAGAUUUUAUUCGUUUGUCUUUGGUUGUGUCUCUUGAGUUAGGGUUAAUCUAUUAAUUAAUUGUUAAUUGUCCAAUCUGGAUGAACUAUGCAAACCUGAUUUCCUUCCCUCGGGUUGGGAUACGUAGGCAACCCUCGGUGGGUCCGGUAAUCUUCGUUUUUGGCCUUUGUCUUAUUCUUAGCCUAGGUCUUUCGUCUCGUAAUCUAGAGUUGUUAGCCAAGUAGAUUGAUUUUGUUCAGUACUACUGUUCGACAAAUUGGAGUCAUGAAGUGUUCUGUCCCAUCGACGUAUGUCUGCGUCAAAAUCCCAAGGGUUGGGAAUCUUCUGCUCCUAUUAAAUUUUUGAGAUAACGUCUUAUGUGUUAUUACAAGAUGGAUUUGUCCACCAAGUCUAGAGUCCUGAUGGUUGUUAAGGUGCCCAAAAAGUUAAUCAAGUGGUGGGGCAUGUUUAACUAUGUUGAUCAGCAGAAACUGAUUAAAAUAUUAGGUGAUCUUAUGGAACUUCUUCAUGUUACCCCUUGUUUAUAUUUAAUAGAGGCUUUGUUGACCUUUUGGGAUCCAAGUAGUUUGGUGUCAGGUUUGGAGAAUGUGAAAUGCCUCCUACUUUGGCAGAAAUAUCUAGUCUGUUGCAUUUGCCCUAUAUCGAGAAAGAUAUGAUUCGAGCUCGAAAUCAUACUGGCACGAGGUUUUUGCAGUCUUGUGGUCUAAAAAGUAAGGGUAUGCAUUUGGGUUGUUUAAUUGAUUCGUGGGUUUCCUUAGAUUUUUUGUUUGCUAGAUUCGGGCCCUCGGAAGAUUUUGAUUGCUUUUGGGAUGAAUUUCAUAUGACUAAGGAGAAGUGGGAGAGAAAGCAUCUUGAAGUCUGCACCCUCGCUUUGUUAGGUACUUUAGUGUUUUCGCUAGAAGAAAGACGUAUUAAUACACGUUUGCAAUAUGUGGUGAUGGCUCUAUUUCAUAAGGAUCAAAUUGACAAGGGCACUAAUCAAAAGGGCAAGGUCGUUAAUCAAAAGGGUAUGUUCACUUUCAUACCCAUGAUCUUAACAGAAAUAUAUAAGGCUUUAACUGAAGUGAAGGGGGGGAUGAGAUUUUUUUAGGGCAGUAACCUGAUAUUGCAGUUAUGGAUGAUGGAGCAUUUGCAUGCGCCUUCUUUAGUUAGACCAGACAUGGUUGAUCGUUGUAUUCCCAAUCGAGUGAAAGCCAUAAACCUCAGGUUGCGUUUGGAUAAAUUCUCGCUACCUGUGGGAGUCAAUGCUUGGAUUAAAUUUCUUGAGUCAAGAACCGGGGAUAAUAUUUUGUGAACUUAUCUGUGGCUUCGACCAAAGAUAAUCUUGUUUGGUUGUCAGAUGCAGCUCCUUCUAGUUAUGUUAGGGCUCAAUUGCACUGGACCAUACAGUCCUUCUAGGGUAAUGCGCCAGUUGGGUAGGCCGCAGGACGUGCCACCAGCAGUGGAUCUUCUAAAGGAUGUUGAGUACUUCAAGGACCAAUACUUAGGUGAGAGCGAAUAUGAGCAGUUCUAGAAGCAUGCAACAAAGCUAGGUGUGGACACUCUCAAAGAAAGUUUGGAUAAUUCGGGGUACACUCAGGGAUAUGGGGUUUGGCUUCAAUCUAUCCCUCGGGGUAUCAGCCAACCAUUACCAGUGUAGUUUAGAUGGAGAACACAUGAAGAAUGCAUAGUUGAUGACCAUCAGAAUGAAGGUGGGGACAAAAGUGGAGACACUAAGAGUUCAGUUAUUAAGUUUGCUCAAAACUGUGGAGGGGUGUCAUAACAAUCUUUUCAAGUGUACUCCUCAUGAGGCAGUAAUACGUGCUAGAGGCAUCUUCCCAAAUAUCGAAAGGUUCUUAAAAGAUAUGCUACAUAGUUUGAAUGGGAGAAAGAGAACUUCACAGGCAGGUCUAUCUCAGCCAGGGUCAUCACGCAGAGCACCAUUCUGAAGGAGCAUUUCCUAUCUUUUGUUUAGUUUGAGUCCUUUACUUUUUUUUCCAUUUGUAGUAUUGUGUCUUUGUUAAGUCGGGGUCAAGUUUUCUUUAACUUUGGAGUCUUUAUUAGGAGCAAUACGUAUGUUGUCCUGUGGGUUUAGAGUGUUGUUUAGCUUUCGUUGUUUAGUUUUGAAGUUGUCUUAAAUUCGAAGUUUGUUUUAGGUGUCUCUUUUAUGAAAUGGUGUGACGUGGCGUUUUUAUUUCUUUUGUUUAUUUUUUAAGAAAAAAAUCUCCAACUUUGUGAUAUUUAUGCAUGCGCUGCCCGAACUACGCAAGAUCUGAUUCAUGUACAACAUGAUACGUAGGCAACCUACUUUUGGGUUCGACCUAAUCAUUUUGUUUCAUUUUUUUUAAUUAUUUUUCCUCCUUUACAUAAAAACAAAAGCCAUAAAAAAUGAUAAAACGAAGGUAGAUAGCAAAAAAAAGAUUAAAAAAAAGGAUAAUGAGAUGAGAAAGGGAAAAAACAGGGACUGAUACAAAAAGAAGGGAAAUGAGGGCGAAAGAAAAGAGGUGUGUUUGGAGGAAAGAAGCAAAUGAGUGUAGAUGAAAAUCGGGAUGAUGUUAAAAUGACCUCGCUACCUUCAAAGGCUGGUAGAAAUGAACAUGAAUCUAGGACAAUUUUACUAAUGUGAUUCCCAUGCUUAUUGUGUGCCCUAAUCCUAAUGGAUGUUGUCUUUGAUGAGCAUGUUCUUUCAGAUAACAGUGGUAGGUUUGCAGUACUCUGGCUAAUCACCCGUACUUUACUAGAUCAAAAGUAAAUCUCACCAUGCUAGCAGGGAGAUUGAAAAUUUGCUCAUUGACCCGGAUCAGGAUCCCAGGGAAGAAAGUUCAUAAUGCAAUGAUGAGGUAGUAAGACUCAGGCAACAAUUGAUAGAUUUGCACCGGGCGUGGGCUAGCGGAAUGCCUCCUCCUCCACUCCCUAAAAAUCUUAGGAAUAUCUCUAAUUUCCCACCACUCUCUCAGGCAUAAUUCUUUACUCCCACUGAGUCACCUGAGCACGCGCCAGGAUUCACUCCGCGACUUUAUUAUCCUGGCACUUCUAGUGUGCCCUUGGCAGUUCCCUAAUAAAGACCUGCUGGUCAGCCGGUGCCACCGAUCACACCAGUGUUCGUGGCUCCACCACCACCUGAAUCUCCCACAUAUGUUAUACAUCCGAUAAUGGUACUUCCUCGGUCUACUAGCAAGCCAGUAUUGAAGGUUUCAGAUAAUGAGUAUUAUGUCCCGGAGCCUACUUUGAUAAUAAAUGAACCGUAUGGGUAUACUCAGCCACCUGCAUUUCCAUUUGAUACGGAUAAACCUAUCGCAACAGUGGAACAGGAGGUCAUAGCGCAGAAAUUAAAAAGUUUGGAACAGGCCAUGAGGAAUUUGCAGGCAUCGGAGGUUAUAAGAGUGUUUCCUAUAAAGAUCUUUACAUGUUCCCAGACGUUAACCUUCCCCUCGGUUUUAAAAUGCCCAAGUUCGAGAAGUAUACUGGGCACGGUGAUCCCAUGGCACACUUAAGACGUUAUUGCAACCAAUUGAGAGUUGCAGGGGGAAGAAAAGAGUUGCUUAUGGCUUUCUUUGGCGAGAUUCUUUCCGAUCUGGCUUCAAAAUGAUUUGUCGAUCAAGAUAUCGACAAGUGAAAAAGCUGGGAUGACUUAGCUUUUGAGUUUGUGCAACAUUUUCAGUAUAACAUUGACCUAAUUUAGGACAAAAAAUCCUUGGUCAACAUGAAGAAGAAAAGCACUGAAGGCUUUAGGUAAUACGUGAUAAGGUGGCAUGAACAGGCUACCAGGGUAAAGCCUCUAAUGAAGUAAAGUAAGCUGGUAGAGGUCUUCAUUCAGGCAUAGGAUGAGACCUAUUUUCAAAAUUUACUUUCGGCAAUGGGAAAGUCCUUUAUUGAAGACCUCAAAAUGGGAGAGAUGAUAGAGGACGAAAUCAAGACCGGCCGAAUAGUGAGUUUUGCCACGUUGAAAGCUACCACACAAGCGAUUCAAGGUUGAUCUGGCACGUUCGAAGGAAAAAAAAAAAAGAGGAUGUGGCAACCGUCGUAGCUGGAACCCAUUCCUAUUCCAAAAGAUCGCCUUGCACCUAUCCUCAAUCCCAAGCCCAAGUCUAUGCCCAAGCUCCAUAUAUUCCUCCCCACCAUUACUAUCCUCAACAAAACCCUUUAUAUUCCAUUCCUCCACUCUCAUACCCAAUAUAUAGUGCAUAGCCAUAUGCCCAAACCCCUUCGUACCCGCAAUGGCGGGCACAAGCUCCACAAAAUCGCCCAUCAGCUCUACCAAAUUACCAAAGCCCCUCCAGACCGAUUUCCAACCUAGGCCCGAGCACAAGAAAGAGAAAGUGGUCAAAAAUCAGUUCACACCUCUUGGGGAGUCAUAUGCUAGCUUGUUUGAUAGGUUGAGAAAGAUGAAGGUCUUAAGCCCAAUUCAAGAAAGGCUUACAAAUCCACCUCCGAGGAAUCUCGAUUAUUUUUUAAGGUGUGCUACUGUUCUGACAUGUCAGGCCACGAUAUCAAGAAAUGUUGGCAUUUAAAGAGAGUUGUCCAAGAUUUAAUUGACAUAAAUCAGAUGCUGGUCCAGGCCUCGGAGGUUCCAAACAUUAACCAAAAUCUGCUACCAACCCAUGUUGAAACCAAUAUGUUAAAAUUGAUAUAUGAUGGGAGUCAUCAAGGUGUUAUAAGCCUAUUGUCAAGAUACAGACCAAUAAGGAUAAAUCGGUGAACGUAGCAGUCUUUGAAAGCACUAUCAUUGAGCCAGAAAGGAAUAAGAGAAGAUAAAGCUCAAGAAAGCACAAAGAAACCCCUGAUCACAGUGCAAGGUGUUAGAAGGUAUGUUGAUGUAAGUCAAGAUAAACCUAAGUUGACGGUGGUAGGAGCUUCGGGUAAGCUUAUCUUGGCGGUGAAAGGAGCACUGGCAGCGCCUAUUGUCCUCAAACCGGUGACCCAACCUCCGAUAGUUGAUACGAAAGGGGUUCCCUGGAACUAUGGGCGGACUCUGAUGGCCUAUCAGGGGAAGGAAGUAGUGGAAGAUGUAGAUGAGGUAGGGGAUUUAACUCAGUUAGGAAGAUGCUUCGUGCCUGAAAGUUUAAGGAAGUCCAAGCCCAUUGUGAGUGGACUUUCAUCUAUCUAAAAGCCUAUCACUAAAGAAGAAGUCGAAGAAUUUUUUAAAAAUAUGAAGUUUCUAGAGUACUCAAUAAUAGAUCAGUUAAAGAAAACCCUAAUCAAAUUUCUCUCUUAUCUUUGUUAUUGUAUUCCAAGGAACAUCGUGAUAUUAUACUGAAGGUAUUAAAUUAAGCAUAUGUUCCUAGGGAGAUUACAGUUAAUCAGCUUGAGAAAAUGGUUGAAAAAAAUCUUUAAGGUCAAUUAGAUCAGCUUUUCUGAUGAUGAAUUGGCUGUUGAAGGUAUGGGGCAUAACCAGGGUCUUUAUAUCACAGUAAAGUGCGAUGAUUUUUACGUCACUCAUGUCAUGAUUACGGAGGUUUAGGUUCAAAUAUCUGCCCUAUUUCUACUUUACAAAAGUUGAAUAUUGGUGCUGAGAGGAUCAGGCCCAACAAUGUAUGGUUAGGGUUUUUGAUGGUGCAAAGUCAAAUUCCAUUGGUGAAAUAGAACUAAUGCUAAUUAUAAGGCCUAUCGAAUUCGCCAUAGAGUUUCAAGUAUUAAAUGUCGAAUCCUCUUACAAUCUACUGUUGGGAAGAUCGUGGAUCUACAAGGCUAAGGCAGUUGCAUCUACACUGCACCAGAUGAUUAAGUUUGAGCAUGACAGGCAAGAAGUGGUUAUUCACGGUGAAGGAGAUUUAUCCACCUACGAAGAUUCUCCCUUGUCUCUUAUUGAAGCUAACAAUGUAGAGGAGAAAUUUGUAUAUCAAUUUUUUGGUACAGUGCCAGUGGAUCAUAUCCUUGAAGGGCAAGUUAUACCGGGACCACAACUGUCUUCCGCUUCUAUCAUGAUGGUAAGUGAGCUUUUAAAAUAUGGAUUCGAGCUAGAAAGGGGUUUGGGAGCAUCUCUACACGGUAUAGUUCGUCCCAUAUGUCCGAAUGAGAACAUGGGCACUUUCGAUCUGGGAUUUGAGCCUACGACUGAAGAUCUAAAGAAAGUCAAGGGAAGGAAAAAGGAAAUAUGGUCACUCCGUCGCCCAAUGCCACUACUCAGUGAAUCAUUUGUUAAGAGCGGUAUCACGAACCAUGUAGAAUUUGAAGCUGAAUUGGUUGAUGACUUCCAUAACCUUUUUAUUGAAGUUGAUAUGGUUGAAGCAGGAGAAGGUACCAGUAAGACAGGUGUGCAGUUCAUAGGCCCGGCUAUCCGUCUCAACAAUUGGGAAGUCACUUCUCUCCCCGUCAGGAGGGAGUUUUGGUAGUUUAUUUUAUUUUUCUUUCUGUUUAUCUGAGUUAUUCCAGGGUUGUACUUCGGAAUUUAGCUUAUUUAUAUUCUGUUGUUUGUGUUUAAACCCUCCUAUCUUUCCCUUUUAAAUGAAAUACAAUGUCCCUCUUAUUUUGUGUCUAAUACAUUUUGUUUUUGUCUUUUUCUUUAUACAAUUCUCUUUAUGCUGAUUCUAAUGACAUGACAUGCAUGCAAAAUUUUUAGCCUGAUCUUAAAAUCUAAACUAAUCAAGAUAUAAUGAAGCAAGGGAGGAAUAUGAUGAAGAAGAGGCACUAGAAGAAAUAAGCAAAGAGUUGGAACAGUUUGAAGAUAAGCCGAAUCCUAAUUUGAAUGAAACUGAGCCAAUUAAUCUAGAGAAUCAAGAGGAUGUUAGGGAAACUAAAAUCAGUAUACAUGCUUUGCCACAGUUAAAAUAUGGAAUGAUUCAAGCAUUAAUUAAUUAUAAGGAUGUUUUUGCAUGGUCUUAUGAUGAUAUGCCUGGUUUAAGCACUGAAUUAAUGGUCCAUAAAUUGCCAACUGAUCCUACAUUCCCUCCUAUCAAAUAGAAGUUGAGGAAGUUUAAAACUGAUGUAAGUAUUGAAAUCAAAGAUGAAAUCAUGAAACAACUUGAAGCCAAAGUAAUUCGAGUGGCUCGUUAUCCCACGUGGUUAUCCAAUGUUGUUCCUGUCCCAAAGAAAGAUGGCAAAAUUUGAGUAUGAGUUGAUUACCGUGAUUUGAACAGAGCAAGUCCGAAAGAUGAUUUUCCGCUACCCAACAUCCAUAUUUUAUUGGACAACUGUGCUAAACAUGAGGUUGCCUCUUUCGUGGAUUGCUAUGCCAGAUACCACCAGAUCAUUAUGGAUGAUGAAGACGCGGAAAAGAUUUUUUUAUCACACCAUGGGGGACCUAUUGUUAUCAAGUGAUGUCGUUCGGUUUGAAGAAUGCUGGAGCAACAUACAUGAGAGCCAUGACCACUAUGUUUCAUGAUAUGAUGCAUAAGGAGAUUGAGGUCUAUGUAGAUGAUGUGAUUAUUAAGUCAAAAAGUUAGGCUGACCAUGUUAAAGAUUUAAGAAAGUUCUUUGAAAGGCUUCGCAGGUAUAAUCUCAAGCUCAACCUGACAAAAUGUGUAUUUGGAGUUCCGUCUAGAAAGCUGUUGGGGUUUCUAGUCAGCCAUCGGGGAAUUGAAUUAGAUCCUUCAAAAAUUAAAGCCAUUCAGGAUUUACCCCCGCCCAAGAAUAGAACAGAGGUGAUGAGUUUGCUUGGUAGACUGAACUAUAUCAGCCGAUUUAUGGCUCAACUCAUAACCAUUUGUGAGCCCAUAUUUAAGUUGCUGAAAAAUUAUGGUAGAAUGGACUGAAGAAUGUCAGAAAGCGUUCGACAGAAUCAAAAGAUACCUGUCAAAUCCGCCCGUGCAGGUACCACCAGAGCCUGGUAGGCCUUUGAUCUUAUAUUUAUCAGUCAUAGACAAUUCUUUCGAUUGUGUCCUGGGUCAAUAUAAUGUCACAGGCAAAAAGGAGCAGGCUAUUUAUUAUCUUAGCAAGAAGUUCAUCGUAUAUGAGGCCAGGUAUACUCUUAUUGAAAGGACAUGUUGUGCCCUAACUUGGGUAGCGCAAAAUUUAAAGUAUUAUCUCUUGACCUACCCUACUUAUCUCAUCUCCCGCAUGGAUCCUUUGAAGUAUAUCUUUUAGAAGCCUAUGCCGAAAAGUCGAUUGGCAAAGUGGUAAAUAUUGCUUACCGAGUUUGACAUUGUAUAUGUGACUCGAACCGCCAUGAAAGUUCAAGUCUUGGCAGAUCAUCUUGCUGAGAAUCCCAUCAUGAAGAGUAUGAGUCAUUAAAGACAUAUUUUCCUGAUAAAAAAGUGUGUGUUGAUGAAGUCGUUAUAGUUGCUAAUCCAGGUUGGAAGUUGUUCUUCGAUAGAGCUGUCAACACAAAAGAAGUCGGAAUGGGUGCAGUUCUUAUCUCUGAGGUGGGGCAAUAUUUCCCGGUAACAACGCAACUUUGAUUUUAUGAUACCAAUAACAUGGCGGAAUACGACGCAUGCAUUCUUGGUUUGAGGUUAGCUGUUGAUAUGGGAGUCCAGGAACUAUUAGUGUUGGGGGAUUUAGAUUUGCUGGGAGAUGUGAGAUUUGAAGCUCAUACCGUACCGACAAUGCUUGCAGGAGCUAUGUCAACGAUUUGUGUCAGUAAAUUUUUGGCAUAUUUCAAGGAUUCAUAAUGAGAUUGCUGAUGCUUUAGCCACUCUAUUUUUAAUGCUCCAACAUCCUGAUAAAACCUAUAUCGAUCCAGUGCAUAUACAGGGUCGUGAUUAGCAUGCUUACUGUAACGUAGUUGAAGAAGAGCUUGAUGGAGAACCUUGGUUCUUUGAUAUCAAGCAAUACAUUCAGUCAGGAGAAUACCCAACACACGUCACCUAUGAUCAAAAAAGGACUAUUAGGUUUUGGCUAGUGGAUUUUUCUUAAGUGGGGGAAUCUUAUAUAAGAGAACUCCAGAUCUGGGACUUUUGAGGUAUGUAGAUGCAAGAGAAGCCUCGGCAAUCAUAGUUGAAAUACACUCUAGAGUAUGCGGGCCGCAUAUGAAUGAUUAUGUCUUGUCAAAGAAAAUUCUUCGAGCAGGUUAUUAUUGGCUUACUAUGGAGCGGGAUUCUAUUCUCUUUGUGCGAAAAUAUCAUCAAUGUCAGGUACACGGUGAUCUGAUACAUUCUUCUCUCAUUGAAUUACACGUAAUGUCUGCUCCAUGGCCUUUCGUAGCUUGGGGGAUAGACGUGAUUGGGUCGAUUGAGCCAAAAGUGUCAAAUGGAUAUAGACUCAUUUUGGUGGCCAUUAAUUAUUUCACAAAAUAGGUAGAAGCAGCAACUUUCAAGUCAGUGACAAAGAAAGCAGUGGUAGAUUUUGUUCAUGCCAACAUCAUUUGUAGGUUUGAAAUUCCUAAGAUGAUCAUUACAGACAAUACUGCCAAUCUCAAUAGUCAUUUGAUGCAAAAAGUAUGUCAACAGUUUAAGAUUGCACAUCGAAAUUCCAUUCCAUAUCGUUCGAAGGCUAAUGGCGUUGUGGAAGCCGCCAAUAAGAAUAUCAAGAAGAUACUGCAAAAAUGGUACAAGGGUCUAGACAGUGGCAUGAAAAGUUGCCGUUUGCAUUGCUAGGUUAUCGCACUGCUAUUCGCACUUCAAUAGGGGCAACUCUACAUUUAUUGGUGUAUGGGACAAAAGCAGUCAUCCCUACAGAAGUUGAAAUUCCCUUUCUAUGGAAGCAGAUAUUGAUGAUGAUGAGUGGAUCAAUACCCGACUGGAACAAUUGAGUUUGAUUGAGGAAAAAAAGAUAACGUCGGUAUGUCAUGGCCAAUUAUAUCAGAAGAGAAUAGCUCGAGAGUAUAAUAAAAAGGUACGACCCAGGCAUUUUAAAGUUGGUCAGUUGGUAUUGAAGCAUAUCCUUCCUCACCAGGUUAAAGAGAAAGGCAAGUUCUCCCCAAACUGGCAAGGUCCCUUCAUUGUGAAGAAAGUGUUGCCCAAUGGAGCCUUAUAUUUGACAAAUAUUGAAGGCAAAAUUGCAGAAAUGGCUAUUAAUGUUGAUGCGGUAAAAAGAUAUUAUGUAUGAUAUUUUAUCCUUUGUUGAUGUUAUUGUAUGUUUAAUACUUGCAUUUUUGAAGAUUGAUAUGAUGAAGGCAUUUUAUUCUUUUAUCCAAACAUUGUGUUAUCCUUUGUUUACCCGUUUGAGCUUAGUUUUAGUUUUCUUUCAUAUCCCUCUUUUGAAAUCAAAAUAGAGUCAAAGAUAAAUGUCAGGAAAAUAAGAAUAAAAGAAAGAGUUCGAAAAAAAAGAGAGAGAAAAAUCAAUCAAACCAAAACAAAGAACAAGCUGAUGGAACUACGUGCGACCUGAUUCUCCUUCCUCAGGAGUGAGAUACGUAGGCUGCCCUAUUCUGGACUCGGUCCAACCAAAUAAAGAUUUUAGAGUCACCCAGUCAAUAAAAACUGGGACAUGAGUUAAUGUGUGGUUUGAGUCGAUUCCAAAGUUGUAAGUCCCACCCCAACUUCAAGUGUCGUUUGAGCCUCUUGCCAUCCUUUUCUAACCUUAUCGAAAAGCCAAGUUACAACCAAAAAAAGUCCUUCAGAUCAAUUUUUAUAAUGUUAAGGCUAAGAAUGCAAUGGAUAUGAUGAUACAUUAUUGGGUACUACUUUUCUUCUUCAACAUAAAAAAUCAGGAAAGAAAUACAAAAUGAGAGAGUCUAAUUGGUGAAAACCCUCGCGGGCACCAUAAGACGAUGGUGAGUUGAGAGAAAUAAAAAUAAGAGAGUCUUAUUGGUGAAAACCCUCGCAGGAACCAUAAGGCGAUAGUGAGUGGAGAGAAAUAAAAAUGAGAGAGUCUUACUGGUAAAAACCCUCACAGGCACCAUAAGGCGAUGGCGAAUUCAAGAGAAGUGAAAAGUGAAAAGAAAGAGAUUUGUUGGUGAAAGUAUUUUAAGAUAUCGUCGAUUGAAUGAGAUAUAUGGAUCUAAUGGAUUUGAAGAAGUGGCCCAGCGGCAAAGGCACGAACUCAACGACAAAUGGGAAGUUUGGAUAGGAAGAUCAGACAACUUAAUCCAAAAUGCAUGUCAUACUCAUUGGAGUUGGUUGUUGUAUUCAGAUAAGUUUUCUUUUUGAAUAAGGGACAUUGCCCUUUUCUUUCAUUUACAUAUUCAUAUUUUGUCUUUUUUUGUCAUUUAUCAAAAUAAAAGUCACCAUCACUUCCUUACAUUUUAAGUCAAGUCUGUAUCAAAACAAGCGAGAAAGGAUUUCAAAACUUGCACCAGUCUUUCCGAUUGUAUGAGAAAAAGCCAAGGACCAACAUAUGAAAUAAAUAUGAUCAUAAUUCAACACGAAGCAAAGGAAGUCUAUCAACCGACAGGCUGUUGGAUUCGUGGGAGUAUUCAAAUUUGGAAAAAGGUGUAUCUCAGAGGCAUGGUAUAAUAGAAGCUGAUUGUUCAAGUCAGAGCUCAUUCCCCCAAUCUGGAUCUGGGUCAAUGACGCGACAAGACAAGGGCAAGUUUCAGUGAUCUGAAAUAAAGGUGAAAAGAACAACAGUUGGAGCAGAUGCCUGGGAAGCCAAGUGCUACAAGCCACCACUAAGUUUUUAACUAACAAAUUUUCUUUGCUGAAACAAGGGCAAUUUAGCAUCACUUAAUUCAGCUACCAUUGGAAAAGCACAUCCGUGGGAUUUUAAUUUCUGUUCAGGACCCUCCUAAAAAAUGAGACUUUACUUUCUAUUCAGGACCCUCUUGAAAAAUGGGACUUUACUUUCUGUCUAGGACCCUCCUGAAAAAUAAGAUUUUAGUUUCAGUCCAGGACCCUCCUGAAAAAUGGGAAUUUUACUUUCUGUUCAGGACCCUCCUGAAAAAUGAGAUUUUACUUUCAGUCCAGGACCCUCCUGAAAAAUGGGAAUUUUAAUUUCUGUUCAGGACCCUCCUGAAAAAUGAGAAUUUACUUUCUGAUUAGGACCGUCAUGAAAAAUGGAGCUUUACUUUCUGUUCAGGACCCUCCUGAAAAAUGAGAAUUUACUUUCUGAUUAGGACCGUCAUGAAAAAUGGAGCUUUACUUUCUGUUCAGGACCCUCCUGAAAAAUGAGAUUUUACUUUCUGUUCAGGACCCUUCAGAAAAAUGGGAUUUUACUUUCUGUUUAGGAGCAUCCUGAAAAAUGAGAUUUUACUUUCUGUUCAGGACCCUCCUGGAAAAUGGGAAGUUUACUUUCUGUUCAGGACCAUCGUGAAAAAUGAUACUUUACUUUCUGUUCAAGACCAUCCUAAAAAAUGGGAUCUUACUUUCUAUUUAGGACCCUCCUAAAAAAUGAGACUUUACUUUCUAUUUAGGACCCUCCUGAAAAAUGGGAAUUUACUUUCAGUUCAGGACCCUCCUAAAAAAUGGGACUUUACUUUCUGUUCAGGACCCUCCUGAAAAAUGGGACUUUACUUUCUGUUCGGGACCCUCCUGAAAAAUGAGACUUUACUUUCUAUUUAGGACCCUCCUGAAAAAUGGGAAUUUACUUUCAGUUCAGGACCCUCCUAAAAAAUGGGACUUUACUUUCUGUUCAGGACCCUCCUGAAAAAUGGGACUUUACUUUCUGUUAAGGACGCUUCUGAAAAAUAGGAAUUUUACUUUCUGUUCAGGACCCUCCUAAAAAAUAGGAAUUUACUUUUUGUUCAGGACCCUUAUGAAAAAUGGGAUUUUACUUUCUAUUUAGGAUCCUCCUAAAAAAUGAGAAAAAUGGGAAUUUACACUCUAUUUAGGACCCUCCUGAAAAAUAGAAAUUUACUUUCUGUUAAGAACCCUCCUGAAAAAUGGAACUUUACUUUCUGUUCAUGACACUCAUGAAAAAUGGGACUUUACUUUCUAUUCAGGACCCACCUGAAAAAUAAAAAUUAACUUUCUGUUCAGGACCCUCCGGAAAAAAAAGACUUUACUUUAUGUUGUGGACCCUCAUGAAAAAUGGAAAGUUUACUUUCUGUUCAGGACCCUCCUGAAAAUUGAAACUUUACUUUCUGUUCAGGACCCUCCUGAAAAAUGAGAAUUUACUUUCUUUGUAGGACCUUCCUGAAAAAUGGGACUUUACUUUCUGUUCAGGACCCUCUGGAAAAAUAGAAUUUUAUUUUCUGUUCAGGACCCUUCUGAAAAAUGGUACUUUACUUUCUGUUCAGGACCCUCCUGAAAAAUAGAAUUUUAUUUUUCGUUCAGGAUCCUAUUGAAAAAUGGGAAUUUACUUUCUGUUCAGGACUCUCUUGAAAAAUGAGAAUUUUACUUUCCGUUCAGGACCCUCCUAAAAAAUAGGAAUUUACUUUUUUUAAAUAGAAUUUUAUUUUCUGUUCAGGACCCUUCUGAAAAAUGGUACUUUACUUUCUGUUCAGGACCCUCCUGAAAAAUGAGAAUUUACUUUCUUUGUAGGACCUUCCUGAAAAAUGGGACUUUACUUUCUGUUCAGGACCCUCUGGAAAAAUAGAAUUUUAUUUUCUGUUCAGGACCCUUCUGAAAAAUGGUACUUUACUUUCUGUUCAGGACCCUCCUGAAAAAUGAGAAUUUACUUUCUUUGUAGGACCUUCCUGAAAAAUGGGACUUUACUUUCUGUUCAGGACCCUCUGGAAAAAUAGAAUUUUAUUUUCUGUUCAGGACCCUUCUGAAAAAUGGUACUUUACUUUCUGUUCAGGACCCUCCUGAAAAAUGGGACUUUACUUUCUGUUCAGGACCCUCUGGAAAAAUAGAAUUUUAUUUUCUGUUCAGGACCCUUCUGAAAAAUGGUACUUUACUUUCUGUUCAGGACCCUCCUGAAAAAUGGGACUUUACUUUCUGUUCAGGACCCUCUGGAAAAAUAGAAUUUUAUUUUCUGUUCAGGACCCUUCUGAAAAAUGGUACUUUACUUUCUGUUCAGGACCCUCCUGAAAAAUGGGACUUUACUUUCUGUUCAGGACCCUCUGGAAAAAUAGAAUUUUAUUUUCUGUUCAGGACCCUUCUGAAAAAUGGUACUUUACUUUCUGUUCAGGACCCUCCUGAAAAAUGGGACUUUACUUUCUGUUCAGGACCCUCUGGAAAAAUAGAAUUUUAUUUUCUGUUCAGGACCCUUCUGAAAAAUGGUACUUUACUUUCUGUUCAGGACCCUCCUGAAAAAUGGGACUUUACUUUCUGUUCAGGACCCUCUGGAAAAAUAGAAUUUUAUUUUCUGUUCAGGACCCUUCUGAAAAAUGGUACUUUACUUUCUGUUCAGGACCCUCCUGAAAAAUGGGACUUUACUUUCUGUUCAGGACCCUCUGGAAAAAUAGAAUUUUAUUUUCUGUUCAGGACCCUUCUGAAAAAUGGUACUUUACUUUCUGUUCAGGACCCUCCUGAAAAAUGGGACUUUACUUUCUGUUCAGGACCCUCUGGAAAAAUAGAAUUUUAUUUUCUGUUCAGGACCCUUCUGAAAAAUGGUACUUUACUUUCUGUUCAGGACCCUCCUGAAAAAUGGGACUUUACUUUCUGUUCAGGACCCUCUGGAAAAAUAGAAUUUUAUUUUCUGUUCAGGACCCUUCUGAAAAAUGGUACUUUACUUUCUGUUCAGGACCCUCCUGAAAAAUGGGACUUUACUUUCUGUUCAGGACCCUCUGGAAAAAUAGAAUUUUAUUUUCUGUUCAGGACCCUUCUGAAAAAUGGUACUUUACUUUCUGUUCAGGACCCUCCUGAAAAAUGGGACUUUACUUUCUGUUCAGGACCCUCUGGAAAAAUAGAAUUUUAUUUUCUGUUCAGGACCCUUCUGAAAAAUGGUACUUUACUUUCUGUUCAGGACCCUCCUGAAAAAUGGGACUUUACUUUCUGUUCAGGACCCUCUGGAAAAAUAGAAUUUUAUUUUCUGUUCAGGACCCUUCUGAAAAAUGGUACUUUACUUUCUGUUCAGGACCCUCCUGAAAAAUGGGACUUUACUUUCUGUUCAGGACCCUCUGGAAAAAUAGAAUUUUAUUUUCUGUUCAGGACCCUUCUGAAAAAUGGUACUUUACUUUCUGUUCAGGACCCUCCUGAAAAAUGGGACUUUACUUUCUGUUCAGGACCCUCUGGAAAAAUAGAAUUUUAUUUUCUGUUCAGGACCCUUCUGAAAAAUGGUACUUUACUUUCUGUUCAGGACCCUCCUGAAAAAUGGGACUUUACUUUCUGUUCAGGACCCUCUGGAAAAAUAGAAUUUUAUUUUCUGUUCAGGACCCUUCUGAAAAAUGGUACUUUACUUUCUGUUCAGGACCCUCCUGAAAAAUGGGACUUUACUUUCUGUUCAGGACCCUCUGGAAAAAUAGAAUUUUAUUUUCUGUUCAGGACCCUUCUGAAAAAUGGUACUUUACUUUCUGUUCAGGACCCUCCUGAAAAAUGGGACUUUACUUUCUGUUCAGGACCCUCUGGAAAAAUAGAAUUUUAUUUUCUGUUCAGGACCCUUCUGAAAAAUGGUACUUUACUUUCUGUUCAGGACCCUCCUGAAAAAUGGGACUUUACUUUCUGUUCAGGACCCUCUGGAAAAAUAGAAUUUUAUUUUCUGUUCAGGACCCUUCUGAAAAAUGGUACUUUACUUUCUGUUCAGGACCCUCCUGAAAAAUGGGAUUUUACUUUCUGUUCAGGCCCCUCCUGAAAAAUGUGAUUUUACUUUCAGUUCAGAACUCUCCUGAAAAAUAAGAUUUUACUUUCAGUUAAGGACCCUCUUGAAAAAUGGACUUUACUUUAUUUUUAGGACCCUCCUGGAAAAUGGGACAUUACUUUCAGAAAAAAUAAAAUCUCUCUUUAUCUUAAUCUUUGUUGGGGAUAAUUUUGUUUCUACUUUAUAUUUUGAUUUCAAGAACCCGCCUGAAGAACAGGGUGAUGAAACUGUAAGUAAGGAGCCCACCUGAAGAAUCGGGUAAAAUGGGAAAUUGAAGAAAUGGCAAGUCAGGAGCCCACCUGAAGAAUAGGGUGAUGAAAUCGAAAGUCUGGAGCCCCGCCUAAAGAACAAGGAUGAUGAAAAAUAGCAAGUCAGGUGCCCAUCCGAAGCACAGGGCGAACAAAUGAAAAGUCAAGCAACAAGGUUAAGAAGGUGAAAGUCAAGCAACGAGGUGAAGAAAUUAAAAGCCAGGCAACAAGUUGAAGAAAUUACAAGUCAGAAGCCCUCUUGAAGAAUAGGGUGAUGAAGUAGCGAGUCAAGAGUCAAGGAAAGCUGCGUAGAUAGAGUUUCUGUAAUUUCAUUUAUGUUUUUAACUUGUAAUUUUCAUUUUUGAUGUAAUGACAAAGCCGCGGAUUGGAAUCUCGAUGGAACCGCGCUCGACACUCCAGAAAAAUGAGAUUUUACUUUCUGUUCAGGACACUCCAGAAAAAUAGAAUUUUACUUUCUGUUUAGGAGCCUCCUGAAAAAUGGAAUUUUACUUUCUGUUCAGGACCCUCCUAAAAAAUGGGAAGUUUACUUUCUGUUCAGGACCAUCCUGAAAAAUGGGAUUUUACUUUCUGUUCAGGACCCUCCUAAAAAAUGGGAUUUUACCUUAUGUUCAGGACCCUCCUGAAAAAUGAGAUUUUACUUUCUAUUCAGGACCCUCCUGAAAAAUGGGAUCUUACCUUAUGUUCAGGACGCUCCUAAAAAAUGGGACUUUACUUUCUGUUCAGGACCCUCCUGAAAAAUGAGACUUUACUUUCUGUUCAGGACGCUCCUGAAAACUAGAAAUUUUACUUUCUGUUCAGGACCCUCCUAAAAAAUGAGAAUUUACUUUUUGUUCAGGACAUUCCUGAAAAAUGGAAUUUUACUUUCUAUUCAGGAUACUCCUAAAAAUGAGAAAAAUGGAAAUUUACAUUAUGUUCAGGACCCUCCUGAAAAAUAGAAAUUUACUUUCUGUUCAGGACCCUCAUAAAAAAUGGGACUUUACUCUCUGUUCAGGACCCUCCUGAAAAAUGAAAAUUUACUUUCUUUUCAGGAUCCUCCUGAAAAAUAAAAGUUUACUUUCUGUUGAGGGCCCUCCUGAAAAAAGGGAAGUUUACUUUCUGUUCAGGACCAUCCUGAAAAAUUGAACUUUACUUUCUGUUCAGGACCCUCCUGAAAAAUUAGAAUUUACUUUCUUUUCAGGAUCUUCCUGAAAAAUGGGGCUUUACUUUCUGUUCAGGACCCUCUUGAAAAAUGGAAUGUUACUUUUUGUUCAGGACCCUCCUAAAAAUGGUACUUUACUUUCUGUUCAGGACCCUCCUGAAAAAUAGAGAUUUUACUUUCUGUUCAGGACCCUCCUAAAAAAUGAAAAUUUACUUUCUGUUCAGGACCAUCCUGAAAAAUGGGAUUUUACUUUCUGUUCAGGACCCUCCUGAAAAAUAAAAUUUUACUUUCCGUUCUAGACAUUCCUGAAAAAUGGGAUUUUACUUUCUGUUCAGGACCCUCCUGAAAAAUGAGAAUUUUACUUUCUGUUCAGGACCCUUCUGAAAAAUGGGACUUUACUUUUUUUCAGCACCCUCCUGAAAAAUGAGAUUUUACUUUCUGUUCAGGACCCUCCUAAAAAAUGAAAUUUUACUUUCUGUUCAGGACCCUCCGAAAAAAUGGGACUUUACUUUUUGUUCAGGACCCUCCUGAAAAAUGAGACUUUACUUACUGUUUAGGACACUCCUGAAACAUGGGAAGUUUACUUUCUGUUCAGGACUCUCCUGAAAAAUGGAAAGUUUACUUUCUGUUCCGGACCUUCCUAAAAAAUGAAAAUUUACUUUCUGUUCGGGACCCUCCUGAAAAAUGAGACUUUACUUUCUGUUCAAGACCCUCCUUAAAAAUGAGAAUUUACUUUUUAUUCAGGACCUUCCUGAAAAAUGGGACUUCACUUUCUAUUCAGGACCCUCUUGAAAAAUGAGAUUUUACUUUCUGUUCAGGACCCUCCUGAAAAAUGGGACUUUACUUUCUGUUCAGGACCCUCCUGAAAAAUGAGAAUUUACUUUCUGUUCAGGACCUUCCUUAAAAAUGGGAUUUUACUUUUUGUUCAGGACCCUCCUGAAAAAUAGAAAUUUACUUUAUGUUCAGGACCCUCCUGAAAAAUGGGAUUUUACUUUCUGUUCAGGACCCUUCUGAAAAAUGGGACUUUACUUUCUGUUCCGGACCCUCCUAAAAAAUGGGACUUUACUUUCUGUUCAGGACCCUCCUGAAAAAUGGGACUUUACUUUUUGUCCAGAACCCUCCGAAAAAUGAGACUUUACUUUCUGUUCAGGACUCUUCUGAAAAAUGGGACUUUACUUUCUGUUCAGGACCCUCCUAAAAAAUGGGACUUUACUUUCUUUUGAGGACCCUCCUGGAAAAUGGGAUUUUACUUUCUGUUCAGGACCCUCCUGAAAAAUUGGACUUCUCUUUUUGUUCAGGACCUUUAUGAAAAAUAGGAUUUUACUUUUAGUUUUGGACCCUCCUGAAAAAUGAGAUUUUACUUUCUGUUCAGAACUCUCCUGAAAAAUGGGAUUUUACUUUCAGUUAAGGACCCUCCUGAAAAGUGGGACUUUACUUUAUGUUCAGGACCCUCCUGAAAAAUGGGACAUUACUUUCUGAAAAAAUAAAAUCUCUCUUUAUCUUAAUCUUUGUUGGGGAUAAUUUUGUCUUUACUUUUUAUUUUGAUUUCGGGAACCCGCCUGAAGAACAGAGCUGAAGAACUGGGUGGUGAAAUAGGAAAUUGAAGAAAUGGCAAGUCAGGAGCUCGCCUGAAGAACAGGGUGACGAAAUCAAAAGUCAGGAGCCCCGCCUAAAGAACAAGGAUGAUGAAAAAUAGCAAGUCAGGUGCCCGUCCGAAGCACAGGGCGAACAAAUGAAAAGUCAAGCAACAAGGUUAAGAAGGUGAAAGUCAAGCAACAAGGUGAAGAAAUUAAAAGUCAGGCAACAAGUUGAAGAAAUUACAAAUCGGGAGCCCGCCUGAAGAAUAGGGUGAUGAAGUGGCGAGUCAAGAGUCAAGGAAAGCUGCGUAGAUAGAGUUUCUGUAAUUUCAUUUCUGUUUUUAACUUGUAAUUUUCAUUUUUGAUGUAAUGAUAGAGCCGCGGAUUGGAAUCUCGAUGGAACCUCGCUCGACACUCCAACUCGGUAUUGUCCUUCUCUUUCAAAUCCUUUGAAAUACCUGUCAGUUGAUUCCCUCAAAACUUGGGUAGGUAGGAUGUCCGUCAAGAUUCGGUUGCCCUUUUUCCUUCUAUUUCUUUCCUCGAAUAAUGAUCGGGCCAAAAUUUUGUCUCAUUGUCUACUUCUUUGUAUGAAAACACUUGGUAUUUACAUUCAAAGGGGGCAUGAUGUAGACACAUAAUUUUAUCCCGUCAAAAAUCAUUCUUACUCCGUUAUCACACACUUUAACCCUACUCUAUAAUUUUCCCACAAAAUGACAAUAAAUAACCACCUCAUCAUUUUAUUUAUUUAUUUAUUCUUAUCUUUAUCUCAAAUAACAAUUUUUAACAAAUUUUAUCUUUUUUUAAAACCUCCCAACAACCCCUCCAAUUAGAAGAACACAUCUAACCACCCUCACCACACCAUACCCUACCCUACAUCACCCCUCCCCCUCUCCUUUUUCUUGUCCAAAAAGAAAAUACACUAAAAAAUAACUUCCAGGAAGUUUUCUAAAAAUAGAUACCCAUACCCCCUUCACCUCUGCCCUACAAGGCCCCUUAAGAUUUUUCUUUUCUCUUUUUGGAAAUAUAUACACCACUGACCAUACACAAACGGAGAAGAGCAGCUCCCAUUUUUUUUCAUUUUAGGCAGGCUUCACUCUCAAUUCAAUGAAUAUACUCUCACACACAUACACAGAUUAACACACACACACCUAUCGGGAUGGGGAGAAGGAUCUGGUGAGACGACCAUUGGAUCCCGUUCGAGCUUCAAGUUUUAUUCGGUGGGGUUUCAAAUUCCCAGCGAAAUUAUUUGUCGGAAUUAGCUCCAGUACGUUAAACGUAUCUGACCCAGUAUUGAAAUCCCUAAAUCUCCUUGUUUCUUUUGAUUUUCAAGCGAAUCUGGCCCGAAAACUACUGAAAUCCGCCGGAAUCUAUUUUGGGUUAAUCAGUUUUCGCGUCUCAUUACCGAAUUCGAGCUUCAGGUUCAUCGGGUUUUGGGUAGAGAUCUGGUUUUUCGUUCGUUUCGAUCAAUUUUGGGUUUCAAAUUCCUAGAUAUCGGAGUUGGAGUUCCUCACUGCUGAGGUUCUAUUCGGAAUUCUAAAGUCCGGGCUUUCUUAAACAUUGUUACCAACGAAAUUGGCUUUUCAAAGGUCCAUCUCUUAACUCUACUCUUUUAAUAUCUCGAAGUUAGUUAAUGUCGUGAUUUUAUAGUAUUUUUUUUUAAUAUUUUGAGUAAAUGUAAUUGUUGUUUUGGAUAUAAAUAACUCUGUAUGCUUGAAUGUUUGAAUUUUCCUUGGGUGUAUGCAUUUGAUGUUGGUUUCGGAUUCUGAAAAGUGAUUUGAUAAUCGAAAAUUUGUUAACCAUUGGUUGAGGAAUUUGGGGCGAAAUUGAGAAAUUGAUAAAAGAAAAAAAAUAAAUUAGAUUAACGUUGGUUUAUUGUGGAUUUUGUUUAAUUUGGAAUAAAGCUUGAAUAUUGUUGAAUUGGAUAGUAUCAUGAUUAGGCCAUUGAAUGAAUAAGCAAAAGUAGGUUCGGGUAGGCAAAGAUUUAGGAGUAAGUGUUUGCUCAUUGAAUUAUUAAAUGCUUGAUAGGUGUGUUGAAAGGUUUGAUUUUAUUGCUUUUUGGGAUCAAAUGUAUCAUUUGGCCAGGGAAUGCCCCGAAGUACUUGUAUUAUUUUUAUCCGGGGAAUGCCCCGAGGUAUUUGUACUCGGAGGACGUUCGCGAUGAAGGUCCAAGGCAUCGGUUGAAGCAGUGGAGCGUAGUAUAGGAUUAGUCUAGGGUAGAAUAGAUUUAUAUUUCUGCAUUAUUUAUUCCUGGACUAUAUAAUUUGGACUGGACAUUAUUUUAAUUUUGAGUUUUGUUUGAUUUGUUUGUUGCUUGUUCUACAUGUCUGUGUGGUUUAUACAUUCGUAAUGUCAAAUUAGUCGAUAAGCUCUACCAAGCGACCGUGGUUGAACCACGAGAUCGAGGGGUGCCUAACACCUUCCCCGAUCAACAGAAUUCCUUAGCCAGAAUCUCUGUUCGCGGAUCAGCUUUAGAGUCAAAUCGUUUUGAAAAGGAUUUUCCGAAGGUGACUUGGCACACCAAAUUAUGCCAAGUGGCGACUCUGAAUAAAAAUGUAAAUAGUCUUUUUUUGAAACAAAUCUUCAUUUUGUCACUUAAUAAUGAAAAUCCUUUCGAAACCUAAAUCGAUAUCUUUUGGUAGUAAAAAAGGGGUGUGACAAUUGAUACCAUUUAUUUGAUUAAAUAUACAAUUUUAUUUAACUGUUUUUUUAAUAAAUACAUAUGCAGUUCCUAUAUGUAUUGAUAUUUGAUUUUGUAAAAUUAUUUUAUAUGUACAGGUCAUAUAUUUCAUUUGGCAUAUGGUGUGAUAGAUUCUGAAAAUGAUGCUUCCUGGACGUGGUUCUUUCAGAAUCUAAAGAAAGCGUACGGGGAAAGACAAAAUAUGUGUGUUGUGUCUGAUCAGAAUCCAAGCAUCAUAAAGGCUGUUGAUGAUGUGUACCAAGAUGUUCCACAUUAUGCAUGUAUGUGGCAUCUAUGGAGAAAUGUGAAAAAAAAACUUUACAGAAAGUCACACGAUGCGUUGUCAGAGAUCUUUUAUACAAUGGUCAAAUCAUAUUCAAAGUUAGAAUUCCACUUGUUAAUGGAAAAAGUUGAGGCAGUUGAUAUUAGGGUGAAGAAAUAUUUGAAAUUAGCUGGUUACGAAAAGUGGGCUAGGUCCUAUGUAACAGUUCACCGUGGAUGGACAUUGACUUCAAACAUUGCAGAGUCAAUAAAUGGAGUACUUGUAUCAGCUAGAGAACUAUCAAUUUAUGAUUUUCUUGAGGAAGUUCGUUUACUGUUUACAAAAUGGAAUUGCAAAAAUAGGCAAGAAGCUUCAUAUACCUUCACAACAUUCAUUGAAAAGUUUAAUGGCAUAAUCAAAGAGAACGAGGCUUUGUGUACUCGUAUGACGGUAUGACCUUUUAGUUUUGUGGAUUUUAUAAUUAUGAAAACAUAAGUAUGAAAAUACCUUCCAUUCAUUUGAAAUUUAAUGAAAAGAUAUACACCAUAAACAAUAUGAACAACUAAAAACAUAAUAUGUAUUCUGCAUAUGUAUUUUUUGUAUUAAUAUUAUUAACACUGCAUAUGUAUUUGGAUGCUCGGUAAAAAAUGAUGUACUCUACAUAUGUAUUUUUUUUGGCAUAUAUAUUUUUUCUUCAAAAUACUAGUGUGCUUACAACAUAUCAUAGAAUAUGAAAUUCAUGUUUUUUUAGCAUUGCAUUUAACUUUUUUUUAAUCAGGUUGUUCCAGCCACAGAAUAUGUGUAUACGGUACACGACAAAUAAAAGCACUUCAUUGUUUGCCUCAAGAAAAAAAAUUCUCAUGUAAUGCAUUUCAACUAUAUGAGAUACCAUGUGCACAUACUUGUGAGGUGUUAGAGAAAAGAAAUUUUGAGAAGGGCCCAUACUAUAGUGAUUUGUUUAAACCAAAAACUGUUUUGAAGACAUAUGAUGUUCCCAUCUACCUGUUGCUACACAUAGAUGACUGGAUAAUUCGAGAGAGCGUAGUUGGUGAAAUAGUGCUGCCUCCAAAAUUCAAAAGACCUCUAGGCAAACCUGCAAAGAAGGAUCAUGAAAAAUCAGGUCGGGAUAUGUUUGAAAAGAAAAACAUCAACUCAUGCGGUGCUUGUGGGGCUAAGGGUCACAAUAGGCGUUCUUAUAGGAAAUAUCGCAAAUGAUACAUUUCUUCUUCCGUAUUAUUUCUUAAAACUUUAUUUUCAUUUUUUAUAAUCAUGAACGAUUUUAUUUUAGUUAAUACAUUUAUGCAUCAUUUGACAAUUGAACACACUAAUAUCUGAAUACUGCAUAUGUAUAUGUUUCAAAAUCUGAACAUUGCAUAUGUAUUUUCAAUCUACAGUUACUAUGUAUUUUUUAACAUUUUGUAUAUAUAUUUUAGGUUAGAGUUGGAAACUUUGAUUAAUCAAGUUUGUAUUUGGUUCCUAAUUGUUCAAAGAUUUAAAUAUAUAUGACAUAUUCUGCAAAUAUAUGUUUGAAUUGCAAAGUCUUUGCACUGCAUAUGUAUUUAUAUGCUAAAAAUACAUUUGAUGUAUAAUCCAUAUGUAUUUUGAAGGAAAAUAUCAACAAAGCAUAUGUAUGUUGUAACUAAUACCUAACAAUUAAAUGUAGAACUACAUAAUAAGAUCAAAUUAAACUUUAAUUCGAAUUCUCAUUUAUAAUGAUAUUGAAUGAACACAUAUGAAAAUACAUAUUACUUUCGAUCAAUGUGUAUUUCUGAAAUCCUUAAUCUUAACACUGCAUAUGAAUAUUUAGGCUUAAUAUAUUUGAUUUAUAAUUCAUAUGUAUUUUUUAGCAAAAUGUCAACACUGCAUAUGUAUUUUGUAAGUAAAAUCUCACAAUAAAAUUUAGAACUGUUUAAAAAAAUCAGUUUAUAUUAAAUUCAAAUUCGCCUUUAUAUUGAAUAUAAAUAACAACAUACUAAAAUACAUAUUAGUUAUUGGUCAGAUGUAUUUUUGGAAUGCUUAAUAUUAACACUGUAUAUGUAUUUUUUUUAGCUAAAAACACUUGAUUAAUACUGCAUAUGUAUUUUAAGCAUAUAAUGAACACUACAUAUGUAUUUUUUCACUAAAUCGCACAUAAAAGGGUAGAACUGCAUAAAAUACUCAUUUCUGAAUUUCAAAACUGAUUUAAUUUCAAGUGCAUUGGGGUCGAACUCAUUCGCAAGAACUUUGUGACCAUAAGAAAGGCACUCUGCAUAUGUAACCAUAUAGACACCACAAUCCCUACAAAAAUAAGGAAAAAACAUAUUAAUAACUAAAAUAUAUUUUUAACAAACAUACAAUUUUUUUAUACGUAAAUUAAAUAACUUACAAGCUUUCACUCGGUUGUUGAGGAAAAUUCUCUUGAAAUAACACAUCAAACAUAUCUGACGAGUCUUUGUUUUUGUAUCUUAGAUGGUUUUCAACCUGAAUUCCUUUCUUAAUGUAGAAAUCACACUGUUGGAGACACAAUGGGAUGAUCAUAGCUAAUUUCUUGAUCUUAGCAAGAACAACCGGAUAAUGACCAGAUGAUUCAUAUGAAUCAUAUAAGAAUAUGCACCUCUCUAAGAAGGAUAAAACUACUAGCACCCAAUGAUGUUUUUCUUUUAUAUUGACUGGAAUAUAAAUAUCUUCCACCGUAUGUCAUGGUACAACAACAUGCAUACGGAACCCAUUUAUGUAUUCAUUAAGAUGGGUCGUCUGUCCUCCCGCAGUAAUACUUGCAUCAUCCACAGAAUAAGCAUCAUGAACAGACCUAAUUAUGUUCAUAAAGUUUCAAUCUACUGUGCUGAAUUUGUAAGACCUGUUGAGGUCAUACUUCAACUUCUUCCUCAAGUAUUAGAAGCAAACAUCAAUUUGCUGUAGUAAUUAACACCACAAAUUUUAGAUCAUUUAAACUAUUUGUAUACUAAAUUUAGCAUGUGUAUGUAAUACAAAAUACAUAUGCAAUUUAAAGUUUAACACAUCCUUUGUUAAAUAAUAGGAAAAAAUAGUAAAAAUACAUAUAAGCACUUACAUAUGAUUUACAAGUAACAUAAUAUGCAUUUUAAGUAGUGCUACAACAGUAAGAAAACAUUGUCAAAAUAAUAUACUAACCGAGUUUGUCCAUGAUUGAUCAGGGAAUCCCAUUGUGUAGAACCAAUUUUUAUCUUCAACAGUCUCAACUCCAAAAUGCAUCAUUGGAAUGGAUGGUUUCCCCCUUUUGUAAUGAUCCGCAUUUGUCUUCCUAUUUUUCUUUAGUAAUCAGUAUAUGUUAAAUCAUAAGAACAUAAUGAAAUUGAAAAAAAAAAAAAGUUAAAACAGUUCAAUAGAAAUACCUUUUAGCAUGAACUUUGAGAAGGUCUUCAGAAAUUCAAUCCAUGAACUUGUUGACAAUCUUCGUAUCCACUAUCCCAUCAAUCAGGUGAUAAAAAAAUGAAUGUUUCUAGGGGAAUAUACGUAUGUGCCCUGCCGAACUCUCUAUCUAGUUACAUAAUACAAAAAUUUAAUUAGUAAAAAGUAUUUGCAUAACAUAUUUCAUUGAAAACUAAAUAUAUAACUAAGUGUACUUACAGGCAGCUGAACCAAAUUUCAUCGUGUAAGGUGACUUCUUGAAUUUGGAUAGUCGCCUAAUUCAUAUUUUUUGAACGGGGUUUGAAGUUGAUGAGAGGGAUGAACAACGAUGCUCUUACUAUUGUCUGCAUUCAAACUAGGAAGCAACUCAUCAGGGAUUGUGCUUUGUGAAUCAGGACAAACUGAUUCAUUUCUUUGUUCAUUAUUGCUUAAUUUUUGUAUUUUAGGAGGUGUCAUAAUUUGUUCCUCCGUAUCAAGAUCAACCUCUCCGUGCAUGUCUGGUUUAGAGCUCGAUCCAACAUUUUUAUUUUUUCUAUAAAAAUGAAAUAGAAAAUUAUUCUGUUAUGUCCAAAAUAACCCACAUACAUAUGUUCAUAAUACAUACCGGACAAUAAUGUUGAACAACAGACUCGGACUUCUUAUCAUUGAAAUGUUCAUCGCUUGGCUCUUCUUCACGGGUUGUCGAUUGUCGUGUCAUGUUGUUUUUUCUCCGAUAUGCAUUAAUACUUGGUAACAACUCAUCUGGGAUUGUAAACUGCGAAUCAGAAAAUUUUAUUCCAUCCAUUUUCUCAUCAAUGAUCUGCAAUAAAAAUGAAAUAAAAUAUAUAAUUAUCCUAUGGAUUGUUAGAAUUACAUCACAUAAAGUAAAGUUCAAUUCACUAUACAUACUAGAACAUCAUGAUGAACAAUCUUCUCAGAAAGAUUAUGAUCCAAAUUUAUACUUUGGAGAAGCUCAUCAGGGAUUAAAUUUUGAGAAUCAAUUUCAACGUUUGUUUUAUCUGGAUGCAAAUCAGUGCACCCCUUGCAAACAAGUAAAAAAAUAUGAAAACAACAUCAAACAAAAAUUCAAUUGUAUAUGUUUAUACAAAUUUAUAUAUAAUAUAACAUAUAACUGUUAAAAAAAACUCAAUUAUAUAUGUGCAUUCAAAUGAAUAAUCAUAUGUUAGUUAUUAUUUACCUUUGUACCAUCCUGAUUUUCACCCAAAUUCUUAUAAACAGUAGGACUGAAUUGUUGUGUGAUGUUUCAACACCAGCAUAAUCCAUCUAUUGGGCUUCAAGAUCUGUAUCUUCAUGUUGUUGCUACAAGUAUAAGUUGAAUAAACUAUUAAUAAUUGAUUACAUUGAAUAUGUAUAUACCAACCCACUAAAAAUACAUAAUGCUAAAAAUACAUUUCUGAAUACACUGUAUAUGUAUUUUUACAUGCACUGCAUAUGUAUUUUUAGCAAUAAACUGCAUAUGUAUUUUUCGAAUACUAUACAUAUGUAUUUUUUAAUACUCUGAAUAUAUAAUAAUAAAAUUUUUACCUUACUUUUUUCAAUUGCUUCGAGCAUUUUUUUGAACUUUUUCUUCACUAAUUGACGAAUUUCUUUAAACUCUUCAUGAACCUGUAUUCAUACAAAAUCAAUAAACACAGAUUUUUUAAUGUAUAACAAAUAUUUGACAAAAAAAAUGACCUCAUCGCGGAAUUCAUCAAAAAAAUUCUUAGAAAUAAAGACUUCUUUCUCAACAUGUCUCUCAGUCUUUGACACGGCUACUUCCUCUACAUGACUAUCUGUCUUUGACUAUGCCUGAGAAAAAAUCCUAUCAUUUUUCUUUCCUUUCUUUAUUUUUGAAGAAACUGCCUGUCUUGUUGAAAUUGACUUGAAAAUUGGUAUCUUCAUUCCAGCAGCCUUUGCAGCAUGAGGAGCUGGUGUCCUCGUUUGGGUAUGCUCGUCAACAAUAUUGAGUUGUUUUUUCCUUGAAGGUUUCUUCACUACUGGGGUUGAUGAACCAACCUUUUGUUUCUUCUUAGAACAUUCGUUGAUCUUUUUUAGUGGUGGAUCCUGGAAGUCAUCAUCAGAAUCAACUGAACGUUCAUCUUCAGGUACAUCCUUCUAUGGUAUUUCAAGAUUCCAAUUUAGUUGGCUCUAUGUUGUUAAAUACAACCUAUGAAUAUGUUAAACAAUAUGUUAAAGAAUAUAUGUUAAACAAUUGUAAAUGAAAAAGAAUAUAUAUAGACUAUAGAAUACAUAUCAAUACAUAAAUAUUUAUUCACAACAAACCUUGUCAUUGUCCUUGAACAUAGCAUUCAUCAAAAACUCAAAACGUGAACGAGGUGCAAUGAUCUUUCAAUUUAAUAAUUGAGAAAUUCGAUUAUCAACCUUCGUUGCAAUAUUUGAUGGGACAUGUGAACAACACUCAUAAUGCAACACUUGAAUAGCUAGUGGCAUUUCCUGGAUCAGAUAAAAUUUACCACCAGCUUUCAACCGGUUGUUCAAACAUCUUGCCAGAUCUUCUAAAGAUAAAGAACCCCAUGAAAAAUCCUUAUAUCUUCCACUAUCUACCAAAUCAAAAUGAAGGCGGGGUAUAACCACAGUUUCAACGUUAGAUAAAAUAAAUAAAUGUAGGAAAUACAGAAUUACAAAUUUCUCAGCAUCCUCAUCAUUGUUAUCCCUUCAUACUUUCUCCGUGAUGCUAGAAAUAAUUAUUUUUUUUGUAUAAUUUAUGUCCACUGAAAUACUUUUCAAUCAUCCUAUCUAGUACACCCUCAUAAAAAAUAAAGUCAUACCUAUUAGACACAUAAUUCAAUCCAGUUAUGAUGGUAAAUUUUCUGGGAGUAAAACUAAGAAAGGUGUCAUUAGCACGAAUCAGAAUCCCAGAAGAAGAACUACCCUUCACCUCAAGCGACAUAACGUAUCUGCACAACUGUGCUUGCACUACACACUGCUUCUUCAUAAAAUAACCAAAAAUGUUAUUGUCGCAAAAGUUUUUAAACUGUUCCUUGUUUAAAAUUGCGCGUAUGCUUUCAUAAAUAUCAUUGUCAUUGUACGAGCACAUGUGUGGUGCAAAUCUUGAAAGUUUUCUGACUAUGAAUAUUUCGUUCCGCAUCACCUAUACAAAGUUAAAUUACCACUUCUUAAUCUGUAAACAAAAUUCAAGCAGACAAAAAAAAAUAUAACAUGCAACCAACACUGAAAAAACAUAUCAAAUAUAAUCAAAAUACAUAUACCUAAUAGCCAAUUAUGAUAGUUAAACUAAAAUGAACUUGCAUAUGUAUUUUGACCAUAUCAAAACUACAACCAACACAAAAAAAUACAAAUCAAGUAUGCUAAAAAUACAACCAACACUGAAAAAUACAUAUCAAGUAAGCAAGAAAUACAUAUAGCCAAUAUAUUGUUCACGAAUAUGUAUUUUGAUAAUAUCAAAUAUAAUAAAAAUACAUAUAUCAAAUAGACUGUUAUGGUAGUUAAACAAAAAGUAACAUGCAUAUGUAUUUUGACCAUAUCAAAACUACAACCAACACUAAAAAAUACAAAUCAAUUAUGCUAAAAAUACAUAUAGCCAAUAUACUGUUCAUGAGUAGUUAAACUGUAAAAAUUAUUAAAUCAGUAAAUAAAUACAUAUAACAUGAAUAUGUAUUUUAAUCAUAUAAAACUGCAACAAAUAGUGAAAAAAAUACAUAUCAACUAUACAAAAAAUACAUAUAGCCAAAUACUAUUCAUGAGUAGUUAAUUCAACAAUAUAUUUUCACAGUUAUACUAUCAUCUUCACAAAUCAGCUUUAUAUAAUCCCUAAAUAUCAUCAUAACAUAAAAUACAUACUAACUACUUGAACACAAUACUUAACAGUCAAAAAAAUAUAUUUACAAACCAAAAAAUACCUCUUCCUCACUUUCUUCUUCAGAUUCAUCAGAAUAAGAUUUGUCCACAUCGUCUUCAAUUUCUUUAGAUUUUCUUUUCUUCUCGUACCGUUUUUUAGUUUUUUGCUCCUUUGGAGAAGCAGUUUUCUUCAACCCUUUUUUUUAUAAUUUCAGUCAUCUUCACUUCGUCGUUGCGAAACUUCGAUCUAAUCUCCUUCGAUUUUUCAGAUUUGUUCAACUGUAAAGGAUUUGACACAACUUUAUUAACUAAAUCUUCUUGAGUUAACUCAAGACUAAAAGAUGGUGCAUCAGACACUAAAUUUAUAUUCCUUAUUCCACUGUUUGUAGGUGUUUUUGUUGUGUGUUCAUCUAUUAAAACACAAAACCCUUAAAAUUUAAAUUUCAGAUGAAUUAAAGUAGAAAAAAAGGAAAAAAAACAUAAAACGCUAACAUGCAAUAUGCGAUUAAUAGUUACCUGAAAUAGGGGAAGCAAAUCCUUAUCACAGAUCGUGCAAAAGGCAAUAAAAUUGACGCGGGAGUAAAGGUUAAUGGCGAAAAAAAAAGAAUAAAAAUUUGAAAUUAAGGAAAGAGAAAGAAGGAGUGAAAAGGGGGAUUUUAGCAUAGUAUAAUUACUUAGGCGGCAAAAAAGUAGGGACCACUUAAAAUAAUGCUACACAUGCCACAUAAUGUAAUUAGGAGAAAGUGUUGCUAUUUUUUAUAAUUUAAUAGUUAGGUAUGUUAUUAUAUAUAUUUUUCCCUUAUUUUUAUAUUUUCUAAUUAAAUUUUAUUUGGCCCACUGACUGCCUCAGCCUAGCCACAUUCAAGGCUAACGGGUCAGCGGAUUAUCUCAGGCCGAGCAUAAAUGUCUCGUUUUAAAAUGUACUUCAAAAAUCUUAGCUCAAUCUUAUUAAAUUACGGGUUGGGCCAGCCCAAUCAAGCCCCUAUUUCUUAGUUAACUAUUUCCAAGAAGUUAAUGAUGUUGUAUAAUUUUGAGUAUGGACAGAAGUAUAUGACUACUCAAAAUUGGUAAGCAUAUAUGUAGAUUAUCCUCUAGGGAAACCCACAACCUUUGUCUUUGUGAUGGGAGCACUUUGUGGUAAUUAACCUUCUCACAAGUUAUACAGGAGAUGUAAACCACGCUAGGCUAGUCCGGUACGACUAGCUCAUUGUUGAGCAGAAGACGAAGGCUGGAUUUGAUCUCAGGUCUCCCACAUGGAAAACCCGGCCACCUCCCUACCACUCAACCAUGCCCUUGCAGGUGAUGAUCCUCAUUUUAUUUUAUUCAACCUCACAAGUCACACAUGUAGAAUUUCUAUUAAAAUCCUUAUUCUAGGUGGAAAAUUGUAGCAUUCAUGCAAUGUAUCUAUUCUUGGUUAUUCUAGUUGGUCAAUGAUAUCAUGCUACAACUAAAUACUUUACCUCUGCUUGAGGGCUCAUAACGAUUCAAGAAUCCCCAACUGAUGUCAUCUGGACCUAGAUGGAGUCGUCUUCAACCAACGUAACGUUAUCAGACAUCGAUAAAUAGGGAAUAUGCAUAUACAUACAUGCACGCGUAUACACACGCGCACACGUAUAUAUACUCUAAAUAUGCAGUAAAUGCACAUAUAUAGAAUAGACUAGUAUCGUUUGAAAAAUAAUGGUACGUAAAAAACUCCAGACUAAAGUCCGUGUACAAAUUGAAUUGUGAUAACAAAUCGACAAGGCUAGUGUAAAAUACUUAGUACGCACGCUGCGUCGAGAAAGUCACAUAGUAGUCUAUUGACUCCAUUGUCAUGAAACUUUGAAUUGUCAAAAUAUUACAGUCAGGCUAAAGGCCUAAAGCAAGUUAGUAUAGUGCCUCUUGAGCAAGACUUCAAUUACCCUGCAGCCAAGUAAUGGAUAUAAAAGGUAGCCCGGUGCACUAAAGCUCUCGCUAUGCGCAAGGUCUGGGAAAGGGCCCCACCAAAAGGGUGUAUUGUACGCAGCCUUACCUUGCAUUUUUGUCGGAGGUUGUUUCCAAGGUUUGAACCCGUGACCACUUGGUCACAUGGCAGCAACUUUAUCAGUUACUCCACUGCUCCCUUUCAAAGAGCAAAAACAACAAUGUAUUCAGUAUAAUCCCAUAAGUGAAGUCAGGUGGUGUGUUACGUAGCCUUACACCUACCUUGAUCGAGAAGAUAGAGAAAUUGUUUCCGAUAGACCUAAUCCUAAGAGAAAUGUCAAUCAAUUUUUCCAAACGAUUAAUGCAGCAAUUAAUUGUAAGGCUGCCUAACAAAUUCCAUAUUUCUCACCAUGGAAAUUUAAGGACUGCAGACUUUUCAAACCUAUGGAAAUACUACAAAUUUCUCCUUUUUUUAAUCACCAUGGGGUUCGGGCCAGCUUUCGCGCAUCUCGACUAAUUUCACGGGAUACCUGUCACCUUCCACCAGCAACAUGUAUCCAUCUAAGCUAGAACAGAUGAAAAGAAUCACCGAGUUUACAUUUUUUUGUCUCCAUUGAACCUGAGACCUCGUGGUUCUUAGCCCACGAAUUUCUCUCAUUAUUAUAAUUUUUGAAACUUAUAAAUUGUAAUAAAUAAGGUGUAACAUUUUUAGCAUGGAUAGACUUGACUUAGCUGUGGAAAUUUGAGUAACAUAGUCCUUCCUCUUUCUAAUUUUCCACUAUAAAUAGUUAAGUAUUCCUGCUAUUUUUAGUCAUAGCUCAAUUAGUCUUUUCUUUGCCAUGGCUUGUACAAAAACACAUUUAGUUACCAUGACGACUCUGCUGGUGAUACUUAUGUUGGCUAUCUCAGAUUUCACAGGUUUGUUUGUCUCUCUUAUAACAUAAAUAGCAAACACUAAGAUAGAUAUCUUAUUAGAUGACCUGAUAGUGUUAAAAAAAUUGUUAUAUUGAUGGUGUGCAGAACUUUUAACUCAAAGGAGACUAAAUUCUAAGCCACUAAGGCAAUGACUUUAGACCUCCAAAAAAAUAAAGCCUCAAAUUAUUAAAUGUUAUAUAAAGUAUAAAUAUUUUUGUAUUUAGUAUUAAUUGAAAUCUUCUUAAUACUUUGUUGUUAAUUACUUACCAAUAAUUAUGCACAUAUUUUCAAAUUUUUAUUAUUUUGUGAAAUAUAAUUGAUCUAAUUAUGAUUUGAAGUUGUAGGCAAUUAAAUUUGCAGUUUCAUUCUACUUCUUAAUUUGUCUAAUUUACUUCGGUUUGAAUCAAUCAUGUUUUAAUAUUAGCUUUGUAAGAUUGUCUUCAAUUCUUUGAGUAUCUUCUUAGACAUUUCAAGGUCAAACUAAUUAUAUUAUCAAAUAAUCAAAUUUAAGUGUCAUUGUAUUGACUUUGAAUUUCUUCUAAAGUGUAAAACUCACUGCAAUAUUAAUGAUUUAGAACUAUUUUGUAACUAAAAGUAAUACAAAAUGUCAUACAAGUAAAAGAUGGCACUCUAAUUGGCAUACUCAAUCAUCUUAAAUUUUAAUUAUAUUUUUAAAUACCAAUUAUAUAUGCCUAUUCGUGUCUUACGGAUCUAUAUACAUGUUUAAAUACUUCUAAAAAAAUAUUGAUAGUUCAUGUAUUAAUUGACUCAAUUGAAAAAGUUAUCAAAAUUAUAAGUAAUAAGAGCUUACCUAAGAUCUAGAGUGUUAUGUAACGUAUAAUUUAUAUAUGUCUAUUCAUGUCUUACGAAACCUUACAAGAAAUGUUAUACUAUCAAUUGCAAAAAAAAAAUAAAAAAAAAUAAAAAAAUUAUCAAACUAUAAUUAACUACCACGUACUUUAAGAAGUUAUAUGAGAAUAAAAUAUUUAAAACAUUAUUAACUAAAGCUAAGGCCUCUUUUCUAAACUUUGGCUUUAGACCACGUAUUCUAGUGAGCCGCCCUUAUUUUAACUCUUCAAUUAUAUGCACAUGUGUCGAUCUAGUAGUAGAUGUAUAGAUUCAUGAGAUAAUAACAGAAAUGUUAUGCAGAUGCACAAACAGGAGUUUGUUAUGGAAGAAAUGGAAAUGGAUUACCAUCUUCGGCAGAAGUUGUAGCUUUAUACAACCGGAAUAAUAUACGAAGAAUGAGAAUCUACGAUCCCCAUCAACCCACUCUCCAAGCUCUCAGAGGCUCCAAUAUUGAAAUUAUGUUAGGUGUUCCAAACCCCGACCUUCAGAAUAUCGCUUCUAGUCAAGCCAAUGCAAAUACCUGGGUCCAAAACAAUGUCAGGAACUAUGGUAAUGUCAAAUUCCGGUAUAUAGCAGUUGGAAAUGAAAUCAGUCCAGUAAACGGUAACUCCCAGUAUGUACCUUUUGUGCUCAACGCCAUGAGAAACAUUCAAAAUGCAAUUUCUGGUGCUGGUCUCGGAAACCAGAUUAAGGUUUCCACUGCUGUUGAAACCGGACUUACCACGGACACUUUCCCUCCAUCAAGGGGCAAAUUUAGAGAUGAUGUCCGGCGAUUUAUUGAUCCCAUUAUCAGCUUCCUAGUAGCCAACCGCUCGCCUUUGCUUGUCAACAUUUAUCCUUAUUUUGCAAUAGCAAACAACCAAGACAUUAAGCUUGACUACGCGUUGUUUACAUCCCCUACAGUGGUUGUCAAUGAUAAUGGAAGAGAAUAUCGAAACCUCUUUGAUGCCCUCUUGGAUGCCACAUACUCGGCCCUUGAAAAGGCCGGUGGUUCAUCUUUGGAAAUCGUUGUAUCAGAGAGCGGUUGGCCUUCAGCUGGAGCAGGGCAAUUGACCUCCAUUAACAACGCCAGAACUUACAACAACAACUUGAUACGACAUGUGAAAGGAGGGAGUCCUAAAAAGCCCUCCAGACCAAUAGAGACUUACAUUUUCGCUUUGUUUGACGAAGAUCAAAAGACCCCUGAAUUUGAAAAACAUUUCGGACUAUUUACACCAAACAGGCAGCCAAAAUACCCGGUCAGUUUCAACUAGCUGGCGACUUAUCUUCUACCUUUAUAAUACAUAUGUUGUCGAAUAAUGGUUGCCAACUUGAAUCGAAAGCUACCCUUUACGCGAUGUACUCGCUCUACAUGCUUAUAGAAUUGCUAAAAAGCUACUAGUUUGAACCCUUUUUUUUCCUCUACUGCUAGUUUAUCUUCCAUAAACUUAGACGUCUUGAAGACUUAUCCUCUAAAAUAGUACGAAGAGUUGUCUAUUUACUCCGAUCUGAAACUAUUUCUCGAGAUGUAAUUGAAUAACCAAAAUACAACAGAAAUAUCCAAAUUGGUUUUCAAUACUAAAGAUCAGUAAAGGAACACAGAGAAGGACUUAAAACAUAGAAAUGAACUUCAGCUAAAGGAAGCAACACAGAGAAGGACUUAAAACAUAUUGUAGGCCUCGGUUCAACUUGUAGAUGAAUGAAUAAUGCGUAGCUGAGGUGUCUAGGUGAAAGGUCAUACCAACGCCUCUCGAAUAAGAUAGUAACAUCUUAGGCUUGACAAAAUAGCCUUGUCAUUUGUAUCCCACAUGCAUCAACGUACUAAUUAGUUAAAUCCAUCACAACCUUGCAUCAACCUCAAUAACUUGCAAACGCCAAAACCUCAUAAUUAGUUCAUUUAUCUAAUACAAACUUUUGAACGCACAAAAAACUUUCCAUAUUUUGAAACCAAAAACAAAAACAAAUUAUCAUAUAUUCAAUUACUCAAUCGAAACACAUCUAGCUUGUCACAUAACACUUUCAAAAAUAUGAAAUCAAAAAUAGAAAUAAGUAAUCAUAUAUUCAGGUGCUCGAUCGAAACACGUCUUGUCACACAAAACUUGAAAUUGAAAAUAGAAACAAAUUAUCAUAUAUUCAGGUGCUCAAUCGAAACACAUUUUGUCACACAAAACUUUCCAAAAUAUGAAAUUAAAAAUAAAAACAAGUUAUCAUAUGUUCAAGUGCUCAAUUGAAACAGGAGCUUUUGAAUAUACUCAAAAUUUUCCAAAAUAUGAAUUUGAAAAUAGAAAUAAGUUAGCAUAUACUAAAUCAAAACAGUCUUGUCACACAAAACUUUCUAAAAUACGAAAUCAAGAAUAGAAACAAAUUAUCAUAUAUUCAAGUGCUCAAUCGAAACACGUCUUAUCACACAUAACUUUCCAAAAUAUGAAAUUAAAAAUAGAAACACAUUAUUAUAUGUUCAGGUACUCAAUCGAAAUAGAAACUUUUGAACACACUCAAAACUUUCCAAAAUCUGGAACUGAUAACAGAAAUAAGUUAUCAUACAUUCAAGUGCUCAAUCGAGACACGUCUUGUCACACAAAACUUUCCAAAAUACGAAAUCGAAAAUAAAAAUAAAUUAUCAUAUAUAUUCAAGUGCUCAAUCAAAACACAUCCUUUCACAUGAAACUUUUCAAAAAUAUAAAAUUAAAAAUAAAAAUAAGUUAUCAUAUGUUCAGACGCUGAAUCGAAACAGAAGCUUUUGAAUAUACUCAAAACUUUCCAAAAUACGAAACCAAAACUAGAAACAAGUUAUCAUGUGCUCAAAUGCCAAUCGAAACCACGUUGUCUCCUAGCUCACCAAAAGUGAGUACUUGAGACCCACUAAUCAACCGAGUUUCCAAGACUUCUGAACAAAUGUCACCGGAACUCAAACUCUUAUCGGCACAAGAAUGGGAAAACCUAAUCGACGAUUACAACCACGGCGGUUCACGGCGGCUCCGGUGGACAACCACCAAUUACGCCGCCGUACCCCUCCUCGAACUUUCUCUCUCCACUCUCCUCCGCAAAGAUCUCCCUCACAACCUCAAAAUCCACCUCUUAAUCUUCAUCGAAGAGCACUUAAACGGCAUCGUUACGCAGUCUUCCGUCAUCAUCCGUCUGAUCGAGGUACUCCGCUCGAUAAUUCAAUCGCCGAACGACGGCGUUUCAUCGUCGUUCGCGUUGAAGGAGCAGGUUAUGAUAACUGCGACUUCGAUUUUUGUUAAUUCUGUAUUUUGCGAUUCCAAUGUUGUUGUAUCUGCGGACUUUGUUAGUCCGCUUGAAAUGUUGAUAGAGCUUUUGUUGAGUGUUGUUAAUCGCCCGAAUCAUAGUGUUGAUAGGCAGGUUAGGGUAAUAGGAUGUGAAUGUUUACGUGAAUUGGAAAUUGCGUGUCCGUGUUUGUUAUCGGAGAUUGGAGUACAUUUAUGGAGUUUAUGUCAAAAUGAACGUACUCAUUCUUGUCAAAGUUAUGCAUUAUUAUUAGCUACUGUUGUGAAUAAUGUUGCGACAUUGAAAUGUAAUGUUUCGUUUAGUAGUUCAGCAAUGUUGGUUCCGUUUAGUGUGCCGAGGUUUUUGGUUGAUGAGAGUGUGAAAGAUGGGUUUUUUUUAGGAGGGGAGUUGUCGGAUUUGAGUAAUCGGGAGUUGAGGAGAGUGGUUGCGUUUUUGCUUGAAUGUACGCAGAAUUUGACUCCGUGGGGGUUGUUGGAGUUUAUGGAUAAAGUGUUGCCGGUUGCUGGAGUUUUGGAUUUGCAGCCGUCUUUGUUGAAAGUUCAGUUUUCGGGGUUGCUUUAUACGUAUGAUCCUUUGUUAUGGCAUGCUUAUUUAGUAAUGUAUUUGAGUUAUAUGGAGUCUUUUGAAGGGCAAGAGAUGGAAAUUGCGAGUAGGUUGUUGUUGUUAUCGAAAGAGUCUCAGCAUCAUUUGUUUUUUCGGUUGUUGGUGUUGCAUUGGUUAGUUGGGUUUAUUGGGUUGGUAUUGAAGAGGGAUUUUGAGAAAAGGAAGAAUGUCGUUGAUAUGAGCUUGAGUUUUUAUCCAUCGGUGUUUGAUCCCCUUGCUUUAAAAUCGCUGAAGCUUGACUUGCUUUCCUAUUGUUCAGUUUUGAUUGAUGAUGUCAAUGGAGUAGGAAUGAGUUCAAAAGGCAGUCCGCAAAUAACUAGGGAAAAGUUAUUUGAAGACGGUCUUGUUUGUGUAUCAGCUUUUAAAUGGUUGCCUUCUUGGAGUAUGGAAACUUCUGUGGCAUUCCGUGCAAUCCAUAAGUUUUUGAUUGGUCAGACAUCUCACAAAGAAAAUGAUUCUAUCUCCAAUAAAAUCCAUUUGGAGCCAGCAAUCUACCCCACUGUGCAGGUACAAAUACUUCAAACUUCUUGUUCUAUUUUUACUUUGGGUUUGUGGCAUUGCUUUGACGCAAUUGGUGCUUCAUAAAAGGAAAGAGUUUAUACAUUCUUUUCACUGUGUCUCUAGGCGUGAACUGUUUUGUUAGAUUUUUUUUUUUCCUUCUUUCCCUUUUUGCUUAAUCUAUUUGAAUUUGAAAGUAUAGAGGAAAACAUAUUAUUGAUGAAAGAAGGUUAGAAGGUUGUAGGAUACUAGAGAGGUAGAGAAGAAGUGCUCCAACAAAAGACAAGAACUUUGGUGAAAGGAAUCUGCAUACAUCGUAACUCUAACAAUAUAUAUUACUCUUUUGAGUCUCUUUUGUUGCAUAAAACUGGGUUGGAUUCUCAAAUGAAACUUUUUCUUCCUUGAGAUCAUCGAUAGGUGCUUUGCCACGUGUGUAACUUUUAUAUCUUCCAUUUCCUUGUCAAAAUCUAGAUGUUGAUUUGUUUAUCUUGGGAGCUAUAUCUUAGACUUGGAGGUGUUAUUGGAGUUUGUCUUAUAGGAGUUUUAGAAAUGAAUGGCAGACUAUGCAUCUCCUCCUGACUUAGCAGUAGUACUGAUACUCUACUCUCGUUUUGCGAAUGAUGUUUCAUGUAUUUUUUGCCUAAAUGUUUCUGAAGCUUGACUUUGGUUUUGCAGCGAACACUAAUAGAUUCUUUGUCUGAACAUCGAGGAUUGGUCCCUGUCAUUGUUGGCUUCACAGACCGCUUGUUGACAUGUUCCAAACAUCGAUUUUUGGGGGAACGCCUACUUAAGACAUUUGAUGAUAACUUGCUUCCAAAACUCAAGAUAGACUACAAAUUGGUAUCUUACUUCUCUAUAUUGGAAAGGAUUGCUGAGAGUGAUAAAGUUUCACCUAGUGGGUUAAUUGAGCUCCUUACCAGGUUCAUGUUAGUUCUUGUUGAAAAACAUGGUCCAGAUACAGGAUUAAGGUCUUGGAGUCACGGCAGUAAAGUUCUUGGAAUUUGUCGAACUAUGAUCAUGCAUCAGUAUAGUUCCAAAUUAUUUGUUGGGUUGUCUCGUCUUUUAUCAUUCACUUGUCUUUAUUUCCCAGAUCUGGAGAUCCGGGAUAAUGCCAGGUAAUUCUAUGAGAAAAUAUCCAUUCCAUUUCUUAUCUCAUUCUGUUGGGAUGUACACAUUAUUUAUAUUCAUCACCUGUUCACCACAAAUGACAGAUGUCAAUAAAAUUAAGAAGCUUAUUUACCAUUAGAUUUGUACUUUGCAGUAUACUGUUGUUUUCUCACAUUUGGUGGUAUUUUGCAGAAUUUAUCUGCGGAUGCUGAUUUGUGUUCCUGGAAAAAAGCUAAGAGACAUUCUAAAUAGUGGAGACCAGCUUCCUGGAAUUUCUCCAUCUACCCAUUCCAGCUCUUUCUUCAGUAUUCAGUCUCCACGAAUUUCUCACGAUCCUAAGAAAUCCAAGAGUAUAUCAUCCUGCAUGCAUCUUGAGCGCAUGGUACCAUUGUUGGUUAAACAAUCUUGGUCUUUGUCCCUGCCAGCUUUGGGACUUGAUGCCAAGAAACCUAGUUAUAUAGAACCCAUCAAGGACAAUAUGUCCCCAAGUGAGCAAAGUGAGUUUGACAAAAUUACUGAUGAUACAGUGAUCUCUGAAGUCAAUAGGCACGAUCAGCCUCCAGAGCCAUUACGUGUGAUGGAUUCAAAGAUUUCGCAGAUUGUUGAGAUCUUGCGGAAGCAUUUUUCAUUAAUUCCUGACUUUAGACACAUGCCGGGUCUUAAGAUCAAAAUACCCUGUGCUUUAAGGUUUGAGUCAGAGCCCUUUAGUCGCAUUUGGGGAAUAAAUAUGCCAGCGAAUGGAGUCGAUACUCUUCCUGCCUUAUAUGCAACUGUUCUCAAGUUAUCUUCUUCUGCGCCAUAUGGCUCCAUUCCAUCAUGCCACAUUCCUUUUCUUCUAGGUCAACCCCCCAAAGGUUUCUACUCUUUUAGCCAGACGAAUUCCCUUGAUAUUAUCCCUGUGGAGGAUGUUUCUGAAACUCCUGGAGAUGACAAACGCUUCAAAGCUCCUGUGGUGAUUGAAUUGGAACCACGGGAUCCAAUACCUGGUUUUGUUGAUGUUUCCAUUGAAACAAAUGCGGACAAUGGUCAGCUCAUUAGAGGACAGCUGCAUAACAUUACUGUAGGAAUUGAAGAUAUGUUUCUCAGAGCUAUUGUUCCAGAAGACAUCCCUGUAGACACAGUACGUGGUUACUAUGUUGAUCUGUUCAAUGCUUUGUGGGAAGCAUGUGGUGCUUCAACCAGCACAGGGCGGGAAACAUUUGUACUCAAAGGAGGCAAAGGGGUUACAGCAAUCAGUGGUACUCGCUCCGUGAAGUUACUGGAGGUUCCUGUGGCAUCUUUGAUCCAAGCCGUAGAGCGAUCCUUGGCUCCUUUUGUUGUAUGUGUAACCGGUUAUCCUCUAACCAAACUCGUUAAGGAGGGAGGAGUUAUAAGGGACAUUGCCUUGGAUGAAAUGAACUCGAGUUCCUCCUCCACUGAUGAUGAAGGAGUUAUAGUUGGGGGGCCCCUUUACCUCAAGUACAACGAUGAUGAAGAUGAGGGAGGAGGGAAUUAUGUACAAAUUAGUAAGAAAAACUUGGGCACCAUUCAGAUUUUGAUAUUCCUUCCACCAAGAUUUCAUCUCCUUUUUCAGAUGGAAGUUUCCGAUACUUCAACGCUCGUCCGAAUUCGAACAGAUCACUGGCCAUGCCUUGCUUAUGUUGAUGACUAUUUGGAAGCUUUGUUUUGCUAAAGAGAAUUGUUUUUGUUCUCAUGUAGCUUUUUACUCUCCUUAUUUAAUUGAGAGUCAUUCUUUUUUCCCAUAGUUCACUUAGUGAGCUUGUGAUAUUAUUCAAUAAUAGGUCUGUUGUAAAUUUGCUUUUCUUUUCAAGACUGCAAAGAUUGUAAACACUUUGUAUACUGUUUUUGAUGAGAGCUGGACUGAUGCAACUUUUUGAAACAGAAAUAAAUCACUCUUACAACAACAUGCUUGGUAUAAUCCCACCAGUGAAGUCUGGGGAGGGUGGUGUUUACGCAGCCUUACUCAUACCUUGAGAUAGUAGAGAGACUGUUUCCGAUGAGCAAAAUUUUACAGAUUUGUAGAGCACGACUACUUGAAAAGGUACAACCAACUUGGAAAUACAAAAUUUGGAAACAAGAAGAGCUGAUUCUAACAAGAACAUGUCAUACAAAGUGGCAUCAUCUUGCUUUCCGAAAUGGAGCAGUUGUGUGACUGCUUGUAUCAUGGAAUUUCAUGUCGUCUACUGUUGAUAUGAGCACCGAUAAAUGGUUCAAUCUUUCCAUUCAACACAGCAGUAAGGUCAGCCAAUUUGACGCCCGUCUUCAUAUCUUCUACCAGUUUGUUUGGGUGAAACACAUACCUUCUUGUCACUUGGUUCCAACUACUAGAGAUAUCACCACUUCUGAUACUAGCCAAGUUUGAGACUCCUUGCUCCCUCAUAACGAUGAGAAGCUUUGCCUUUAAGCGAUUCAGGGCCUUCAGCUUAUUUGCAAAACGGCUUCUUUCACCUGUAAUAGAAACUCUCAUGGUAGAGAAUGGCUCGACAAAGAAGCAAAAGAGAUGUUGUAUGUGUGGAAAAUAAAUGUUUAUCGUUCACAGGCAAAAUCUACUAGUCAGAACCACAAAUUAAGAGCAUAUAUUCUCCUAAGGGAACACAUUUGUGUCGGACACAGAUAUCGUAGACUGUAUCUCACAGCAAUCAGCAAUUCAAUUGAAUAUUGGAAUACAAGACAGUAUCUCCAGCACCUAUAUCAUGAAUCGGCCUACCACAUAGUAUAAGAUCUACUGCAGAAUCUUGAAACGCAAACCUUUUUCUCUCCACACAAAACGCAAUGCAUCACUUUUAUGUGUAGUAUACGAUCUACUGCAGAAUCUUGAAACACAAACCUUUUUCUCUCCAGCACCUAUAUCAGAUCCGUCUACCACAUAAUAGUAUACGAUCUACUGCAGAAUCUUGAAACACAAACCUUUUUCUCUUCACACGAAACGUAAUGUAUCACUCUUAUGUAUAGUAUGACUUUUAAAUAACCAGAGGACAAGAAAAUUUUCGGGAAUGCUACAAACAUUCAAUCACGCAAUUCUUUGAGUUCGCUCAACAGUAGUAUCAGUAGUGACACACUUAAAUAUGGUGUCUACAUGAUUAAGAUGAUAUGUAACAACUUAUAUGUAUUAUUUUAACCUAUUAUGUUCUAUCGGGAGCCCCAUAGACAUUUAACUCGUUUGGUUUGUAGAAAAUGUAGCCAAUCCUAUAACUGGAGACGACCCAUAGAAGAAGUUUCCCUAUGUCAUAUCUCAUACACUAUGAUAAGUGCUUCUUGAGAUAUAAUUCUUCGACAGUUCUCAUAUUGGUCUAACCUCGGGAAAAGGAAAACCAAGAGAGUUGCGCAGUAUUUUCCUACAACAAUUUUCUUUAUCAGUUUGUAUGGUUGCUUAACUUUUCUACAAUAAGGAGGACAAACCGCAAAAGCUUUUCUUUUUCUUCGCUAAUAUUCAGAUGCAUAGGCGCCUCAAAUAGAAUCUCCUUUAUACACAUACCUAUAUAGGGAAGAUUAUGUGUGCAUGUGUGUAUGUAGAAAUCUUAAAUAGAUCAUAGAGCAAAAACAUGAAGGUAAUAUGAAUCACCUACAGAGAUAAUGAUAGUCAACUCAAAUUCUUACCUGUUGAACGGACUUGCAAUCCUGUUGGAAUGUGCUGAAUGAUGAGCGAAGGCGAAGUCCUGCCCUGUUCCUCCGGGGGUGUUGUGAUUUCUAGAUCUUUUUCAUCAAUUUGGAGGUCAGGGGAUGAUUCAAGAAAAAGAGGAAUAACAUCGAUUGCAGCAGUUCCGUCCUGCACAAUCCAUUAAGAUUGACCUGUAAAUUUAUCACUCUAAUGAACAUCUAAGAGGAUACAAGUAGCCAGAGAUAUCAUCGUGUUAAUGUAAGGUACUUAAUGAUUGGUCAACCAAACAUGCGCCGAAUCAUCAUCAUUUAUUAGUCGUUUAACACUUCAAAAAGUUUAAAGUUCCAGUCUUCCCAGUAGUUAAAAGGAAUUUCAGUACUCAUUUUAAAUUCCCUCUUCCCAGUCAAAAGUCUCUGUGACAUCAUGACGUAAGGAGCUCUUUCUGCGCGAAAGCAAUACCUCAUCAUGAAAAUCAAUAGCCGAGGGGUUUAUAUUCCACCCUCUAGGCAAAUUGGAAGGGGGAAGUAGAAGUAAUCAUGUUUUAAGUUCAUGAUGAAUUUAAGCUUGUUUCACAAAUCAUCAAGUUUUGUACUAAUUCCAUUCAAAACUUGUACAUUAUUUUUUUCUAUGCCAUAAUACUCACCAUCGUAUAGUAGUCACGCUUGAUGGUCUGAAUUAGCUUACAUAUAAUUUUUAAACUAACUAUCAGUGAUUGUGAUUUAUUCAUGUCAGAUCAACUAAGCUCCGAGCAGAAUGCAUCAGAACACUGAGAUUUAAGACGACACAAGAAAAAUGUUCUCCUCUUAAAAGGCCUAGAAGAAUAUGCCUAAUGAUUCUCAUAUAACACAUAAAGCGUUGAGGAGUAAAUAGGAAACUAUUGGAAUUUUAUAAUUCAUAUAAUGUACUGAUAGCAACAGACUAAAUUUGAGCUAAGAGUCCUCGGAUACCUUUGAAAGAUCUAAUUUAUUUGCAGAACUUCCGCUCAUGCAAUGGAUUCCUCUUUCCCCUGAAAGAUAGCCGUAUGCUGACUUGAAUUCUAACUCUAUCAUCGCAUAUCUGAUACCACCACUGUCUGAAUCUUGUUUCUCAACUAUCCUCGCCUUAUGACCUUGUUUCUCGGUCCAUUUGAUAUACAUUCUUGUGAGUUGUUCUGCCCAAAUCUGGAUGAAAGUAUAACAGUGAGAAGCAGUACCACCAAAUGUACAUAGGAACCAUACAGAACUAGAUACCUUUUACUUUACAACUCCAGCUAGGCAGAUACCGUAAAAGUCUUGCCUAGAAUGAAAUUCCUAAGAAAAUAUAGCUACAUAAGAUUGAAGAGAAACCGUCUAUUCAACUUUGAAUAAGCAGAACAAAUAGAUGCUUAUGAGUUGAUUGGAGACGAAUUGCUUAUGAUAGUAAAAGUGUUCCAGAGACAUAAGAGUAGAAGGCUAGUAUACCUACUUCCUAAUCCCAACUAUAACUAGUUACCUUAUCCGGCAUCAGGUCUACAAACUACUGACUCCUCUCUGAAAUUCCGAACCAUUUCCCUACCAAUUCCAACGCUUUCCAUCUAUGUUGCUCGGUCUCUUCAAAAAUGUCCGGUCUCUUCAAAAAUGUCAACGGAUGCAUGUCGGAUCCUCCAAAAAUAGUGUAUUUUUGAAGGAUCCGAUACGGGUGCGGCAACAUUUUUGGAGAGUCCGAGCAACUUCGCUUUCCAUAAAAGAACAAAAAUGCUUGGAAGUUCAGAAUCGUUUCCAUGUAAAAUAAGUUUCACACAGUUGAAAUUUAGAUCUUUUUGGGAAAAGAAUCUAUGGUGCAGAUUGACUAUUAACUUUAAGGUUGAGAUGAGUAUAUCAGUGAGCCGUAAUAAGAAGCAAUUCUGCACUUACAAUACUCUAAAGUUGCACUUCUUCUACCUUACCUAAUAGCAUUCUUAUAUACCGGAACACUCGACUUACUUUUUUCAUCUGAUAUGCAUAUGGGUCUUUGCUAUUGACUCUGCAAGUACGUGUGGCAAAAUAAUAAGAGAUCACAGGUAAUACCUUUGAGUAAAUGCCCUCGCUUCCGGAUUCAAUGGUGACACAUGCUCCCUCCAUAUCAUAUGGCUCCCUAAGAAGCUUGGACAUUUCAUACUUAUCUAAUGUCUUAUUCAUAUUGACACAAGCCGUAUAAGCCUGCUUUAAGAAGUCAUAAUUGAUAGAAUCCAUUCCUGCCAGCUCAGUGAUCAGCUUAGCUUCUUCGGCCUGAAGAAUCACAAACAAUGAAACAGAAUCAACUGACAGGAUUGAGUUUGAUGAUUUUUUUCUUUUUAAAGUCUUAAAGAACUAGGCAAUAAACAUAUGCUGACAAGUGAGAAUUAGCUUUGAGUUAUCUUGCAUGACACCUUGUAUCUAAGGUCUUUGAGGGCAUCAAUGGCUUUGGCACUUUCAGCCAAUUGCACAAGAUCUUCAUUUGACUUGGCUACGUCAUCCCACAAAUCAUAUUCACGAAUAAUUUCUUCCUGCUUAAGGCGUCUUGCUUCUUCGAAUUCUAGAGCUGUCGGUGCCAACAUUUCAGCACGCAGUACCAAAUCUUCAAUCUUUUUUUUCAAAGCAAAUGUGCCUACAUCAUGAAACCAUCAAAACCACCAACAGUUUAACAGACUAUUACUUACUAUACACACAUUAGAAUGCAGAGAUUUUAUAGAAAUAACUAGAUGUUGUGUAUAAUUUUUCUAACGGUGACUCAGUCUAGGAACAUGAAUAUGUUGAGGAUUCUAACUCGAUUGUGUUGCAUUCAUAUGCCUCUUGAAAAAGAUUCUUCUCGACUUUUCUGUGCUUCUUCCCUUUAAAUUGUCCGCUUCCCCUUUUAGAUAAGGGCAUUUGCACACCCAGUGGCGUAGCCAGGAAUUUUCACAAGGGAAUUCAAAAUUUUCGAACCUAUGAUCUAAAACACCUUUUGAACCGCCUUUGCCUCUGCAAUUCAAAUUCUCCUUGUGCCAAAAGGGGAUCCAAAUCUUCUCUUUAUAUAUGUAGGAAGAAAUAUUUUUUCCUAUGCACAAUUCUCCAGCGAUUGGUAGUGAAGCCAAUACCCUAGUCACACCUUCACAUUUCUUUCCCAACUCAUUCUUAUUUACGGUUCACUAAGCACUUCGAAAGGUUCUACCUUUCUUUAGGUUAGCUUGCUAACUUGUCUCUCGCUAUCUCACCGAGCAUUCUCUAUCUCCAUCCUCGGAGUCUCAACCACUAAUCUUUGCAUACCAUUGGUAAUACUUCCAAUUUAUACCUCAACACAUUGCACAAGUUAAACCACAACCCAAAGUAGCUAAAUUCAUCUAAAAGUUAUUGAAUCAAGGACAAGUUAACUUAUCUAUAUAGGGUUAUUACAUCCACAGCCCCUCAAACCUGCAAGCAAAUUUCACUUAGACAGAACGUAUCUAAUACGAACACAUAUAUUAUGUGUUCAGGUACUCAAUUGGAACAAGCCAUAGUUCGAGUUCCUAAAUGAAAUCUAAUGGCAAGUUUGAGUGGCUGUCGAUGUAUGAUGCCUUUAUUUUAAGUUUGCAAUCACCUCACUGACAUACCUACUUAAAAGAAUCAUGAAUGACUGAUAAAGAAGAUAUAAUUUCAGCUUAACUUAAACUACUCCCUCGGUUUCAAUUUAUUUGUAUUACUUUCCUUCUUAUUCUGUUUCAAAAAGAACUACUCUUUUCUUUUUUUUUUAAACUCUUUUAUUUCAAAUUUAUACAUGACAUGUUUAAGUAAUGGUAACAUUUACUUAUCUAUAGUGUAAUACCAUGAGAUUCAAAAGUGUUCUUUGAUUUUUUAAACUUGGUGUGAAGUCAAAAACAAACAAUCAAAUUGAAAUGGAGCCCUGCGAAGCCAGGAUUUUCAUAAAGGGGUUCACAAGUAAGUACACGAACAAACUGAGAGGGGUUCAACAUAUAUUAUAUAUACAUAAAAAUUAAUUUUAACUAUAUAUGUGUAUAUAGUAUAAUAUUUCUUCGAAUAUUAUACUAUAUAUACAUAUAUAGUAUAAUAUGUAUAUAUAGUAUAAAACAAGAAGAUGAGAAGAGAAACAGACCAAGCUCUUUGUAGAACCUGUUUUUCUUGUCAUCAAUGUGCUGACUAUGAGCUCGAAUUCUGAAAGCUGCUGUCUUCUUUGAGCUUCUAAGGGUCAAAGGAGAAGAGGAACAACUAGUUUCAGUCCAUACAGAAAAAGGGUCAGCAACCAUUUUAGCCAUUAUGGUACGCAACUUUCCUGUUUUUAUGUUUUUCUAUGGUCUAAUUAGUGCCUUACUUUUGUUGUCUAAAUUUAUUCAUUAAAAUAAAAAUAUCCCAAAAUUAUUACUCCCUCCUUUGUAUGAUUAUAAAUCUCUUGUCAUUAAUGUAAAAGGAAUUUCAAAGUCAUGGGUGAGUUUGGUACGAUGGAAAAUAUUUUUGAUAGAAAAAUGUUUUUCCAAAAAUAAGUUGGUUUUCUACUUAUUUUCUCAUGUUUGGUUGGAGAGUGGAAAAAUAUUUUUCAGAAAAUAUUUUAUGGUGUUUGAUUUAGUGGGUGAAAAAAUAUUUUUUAGAAAACAUUACUAACUGCUAAUAUUUUAUAUUAGAGCCUCUAACAACUCAACAAUUUGUAAGAACUAAUUUAAGUAUAGCAAAUAAUAUUGAUAUCGAAUAUUAAAAUAUUAUAAUUACUAAAUUUAAUUAACUACUAAUGAGCGAAUAUAGGCGACAUUUUUCAACAUUUUGUUAGGACAACCUCAAGAUACUACAAUCAAUAGAAAUACAAUGGAACGACAAGCUUAUUCAACUUUGUGAAACAAGCUACAUCGAUGACAAAAUGAAAUAUUCAAUUAGUAAAAGUAACAUAGGUAAGUCUUCCUCUAUACAUAUGGAAAUGACAAUACAUUCAACGAGCAUUGAAAAAGAAAAAAGUUCGAACUUCACUAUUUUUUAUUUCAAGCAGUGAAAAAUUGAAGCAAAGCACAGUGAAAAAUAUUUUCGAGUAAUGUGAAUUUUUUUAGAAAUAUGAAUAUUAGUGUUGAUGGGGUGGGGAAAAGAGGUGAGGGUGGGGCAUAAGUCACAUUUGUCAUUUUCCGAAAAAUAACUUCCCUUGGUUCAUGAGGAAAGUCAUUUUCCCUCAAAUAAAGAAAAAUAAGUUGUUAUGGAAAAUAUUUUCCCAACAUUUAACUACAACCAAACAAGAAAAAAUAAGAAAACAUUUUCCGUCAUACCAAACACACCAAUGUUUUCAAUUAUAGGAAGAAGAUGUACUUUUUAAAAUAAAUUUAAAAAGAAAGAGACAUAAAAUAAGAUAGAUGGAGAGUUUAUUUGGAUCAACUUAUUUUAGAUUUUUUUUUUGGCUUUUAAACAUUUUUUAAUUUUUAAAAAUGUUUGAUAAAGAUACAAAGUGUUUUUAAACACGUUACUUUAGGCUUGUUUGGAUUAACUUAUAUUUUUAAAUGGUUUUGACCUUCAAGCACUUUACUGUAGGCCUAAAAAAUAUCCACAAAACAAAAAAACACUAAGCAAUUAUUAUCUACUUUUGACUUUUAACUUAUGAGUCAAUUAGAAAAAGCUAAUUCAAAUACCUUUGGAGUAUUAUACAACUUACAGCAAACUAAUAUCACAAGAGUGUCAUGGAGAAGUUCCUGAGCUUGAUGCUCGAAAACAAUAAGGUAUUAGCUGAAGGAAUACUAAAAAAGGUGCUUAAUGGCAGUGGGACUCCUGCAGGUAAUAAGAAGCUUAAAAACUGAAGCCCAUUUUUUUUUUUGAAAUCCCACUAUAGUAAUGCCAAUAAAAAUCGAAAAUGAGAGACUCAAAGUAAUGAGAAAAUGACUUGUAACUGUAAAACUAUAAGGUGUUAUACCCUAGGAAUUACAAAAUAAUGAAAAAGUAAAAGUGACCGAAAUGUGAGGGGAAAACUUUUGUUUAACAUUUCCGAAAAGACCACCUAUUUGUUCUCGGGGUGUUGUGUAUUACCACAAGGGAAUUCAUUUUUCUUGCCGUGAAGAGCUAUCAUUAAAAGGGCAGCUCGGUGCACUAAAGCUACCGCUAUGAGCGGUGUCCGAGGAAGGACCCCUACGCAGCCUUAUUUUACAUUUCUGUCAAAGACUAUUUUCAAGACUUGAACCCAUGAUUUCUUGGUUACAUGGCAGCAACGUGAAGGGCUAACAUUAUUUUCAGUAAAUACUAUUGAUGGAGGUAUGACACAUUCUUGACUUAGAGAUCUCAAGAUUAUUGUUUUUGUCAACUUUUAGCUAUAACUACUUCAAUCUGUAUAUUCUUGUUUUGAGCAAUGGGUAAACUGUCCCAUGCGACUUACAGCCUGUUUGGAUGGUGGUUUCCCAUGGUAUGGUAUGAUAUGGUUACCAUGAGAAUCAUAUUUGUUUUCAUGAUUUUUUAAAAAUGGUGGUAUGGUAUGAACCACCAAAUUGGUGGUGUGUCAUGAUUUUCAUUUUUCUUUUCCAACUAUACCCUUAUAUAAUUUUCUUUAAUCCUAUUUUAUCCUUAUCAACAAAAUACAUACUAAGACUACGCAUUUGUUAACAAGAUCAAAGAUUGCAAGACUUCCUGUUAGCAAUAUAAAAAUUCAAAAGUGAGAAAAAUGAUCACAGUUAUUUAAUAGUAGUAAUUUUUAAUGCCAAUAAAAACUCAAUUCAAUAAAAAAAAGUUGAAAAUUGAAAUGGAGGGAAACAGAUUGAAUGCACAAAAAGCAUAUACAUGGAAAGUGAUUUUUAAACUCUAAAAUACAUACAUGUAUACCAAUUGUUUUAUUGAUUGGGAAGUUCUUCCCGAUUAUAUUAGUUUGCGUUCGUCAAACCUUUGUUUAGCAAAUAUCCUUGUGAAUUUGACGUCUUAAAAGGAUCAUUGGGUAGCUAUGAGAAGCAUCAAGAAAGAAAGGACAACUGGUUACGCUAGCACUGAUAUGGAUAAAAGAGUUGAUAUCUCAAAUGUAUUACAAUUAGGGGCAUUUUAGUAAAUUUAUCUGCUACCAUACCGUACCAUACCAUCAAACCAAACAAAAAAUCUAUUAUUAAACCGCAGUGAACGAUACAGUCCAUCCAAACAUGGUACUGUACCAUACCAUACUAUACCAUACCAUAUAUUAUGAAACCAUGGCAAACCACCAUCCAAACAGGCUGUUAUAGGUCAUAAGUUCAAUCUGUGAAAUCAACCAUGAUGCUUGCUAAGUGUAGAUUGCCUGCAUAGACUUCAUGAACAUGGGAUACCUCAUGUGCCGGGCUGCCUUUUUUUUUUGGCCUUGUGUCACUUGAGAAAUGUGCAUCAGGAAGUGUAUUCAAUUAAGCAUCAAGAAACUUGGUCAAAUUGUACUUAGCUUGAAAAUGAUUGUCAAACAGCAGAAAUUUUGAAGUUGAGAAUAGUACAAGCAUUAUGUCCUAGUUUUGAACAUCAAGAUUUCUGUAUCUAACAAUCUCGACGCCCAAGUAGUCAACAGGCCCUUCGACGGCCACAUGAGGCUUUCCAACUUGAACGCGAACAGCAGAUACCUGGGGAUACUUGGUGAGGGUUGUCGAUGCAAUGAGUUGAGCCACAGAUUCUAGCAGGUCUUUAGGUGGCCCCUCCAUAACCUCUUUCACUAUUCUGCCAAUCCACAGAUAGAAAGAUAGCAUUAAUAAAUGAUCAAGCGAAAAUAAGCAUACGAACCUAGCUAGAUAAUUGAUUCGCGAAAUGUUUACUCUUAAAAGACUGCUAAGACGAGAAAAGCAAACACUGUCCAGGCGAUUUCAGUUAGCGUCAAUAGGCAAAAUACCUUAUUCAGCGUUCGGGUGUUUCUCAUUACCACGCGCUGUUAAGAGAUUUCGGUUGAGUAAUCAGGAAUUCAGGAUCCAGCAAGGAAUACAAAAAGUUUCAUUUUCAAAUGGAUCUUUUGUGGGUGAUACUCAAUAGCAUCAUUGCCAUCCAUAUUCAAAAUAACUUGCAGAAGCUCCAAAAGGUCGAAGGUAGUCAAGAAUGGAAACUAUAGCAUCACCUAACUUCGCUUGGUGCCUUGUCAUCAAGAUCAACCAUAGUAAACAAACGAAAACACUCCAUUAUGAUAUGUAACUAUAACUGACAACUUCACAAAAUUCCUUAAAAGGAAGGAAGUAACGCUUCAAAAGGUGGGGUAUAAUAAAAACACGAAAGUUUUGUUUUCAUCUUUUUCCUCCCUAAGAGAAGAACUAAUUGUCCAUGUGUGGCCGCUCCAAUAGAAACCAAAGAGGGAUGUGAAACGAAACAUGUAAAAACUCAAACCAGUUGUAGCAUCUGCAAGGCGCUUCAUAUAGCCGUAUUAGCGUCUACUCAACGUGACCCUUCACAAUCACAAGGCCUAGUUGAAAAACAGUUUUAUGAAUUGUACCCAAGUAAAUCACGAAAUUUCUUUAUGUUAUUAGCAGGAUAAGAUUCCAAUCUUGUUCCUAGUUCUCAACAUAGAAAUUAACGGCACUUUCUACUUACAUCAUUUACAUUUGACAAAGUAAGAGAUUGUAUUGGCUCGAAGAGACCUGCAGUAGGCUGUCACAAAGAGACAAUACUACGUCUUAACAAAUACUGCACUCUGUUAAUUAUUUUCUCUUUCCAUUAGCGGAUAAACAUGAUGCAAAAGCAAAUAUAAUCACCCCACAGAAUUCCACAUUACACUUUCAUUACCUAUCUUCAUUAGUUCAAAACCAUGGUGUCCGGACCAGCUUGCACUAACCUCAACUAAUUGCACAUGGUACCUGCUACCUCUCACCAGCACAGUUAGGGCACGCCCUUGGGUGCAAAGUGAACUCCCUUUAGAUAAAUAAUAAUAAGGCAAUAGUCCAAUUUUUCCUUAAAAGUAGAGGAUUAUGAGAGCUUCUUGCAGUAGCUUCAAAAUUCCCUUGUAAGAAAGAAUAUCCAAGAAGCUUCAUAGCAUCAAGAAUCUGCUUCAGUGUGCUCUCGAAGAUGUUUCAAAUGAGUCAAGUUCUUACUACAAGAACUUAUAAAAUCGUUAGUCCUUUUACAGCUGUAUAUAUCCCAAAAUUUUGAGGUCUUAUCCGUGCUGUUUUGUUUUGUUCAUCACUUUCAGUUUAGCUUUGGUGAAACUGCUCAAUCCUCAUAUAUUUUCUAUCUGGUGAAAAGGUAUUUAAACUGACCUCUCCGACUCUUAGCAAUAGAACCUUGUUACUUAAAUGUUCAAGAUAUUCCAUUUACUAACCUAUGAAAUCAAAGAUCUUUAUGUUCGUUCAUCUCAACCCCCAAAAAUGCAAAAUAAACAAACUCGAAAGCAUCACUCACUCACCGGUAUAUAUCAGUAUAAUUUAGAGUAUCUGACAAGCAGUCAGAUUCACCAGCAGCUCGAAGAUCCAUCCAAGCAUCAACAUCUACCAGGAGCUUCUGACCAAGCUUCUUUUCUUCUUGUUUCACCCCAUGGUAUCCAUGAAAAUUUAAACCCCUCAACACAAGCUUGUCUCCUUUUGGUAUGUCCAUGUGACCUGUUACUGAAUCCUCUGAAAUAUUGCAAAAUGAGGCAGGUCAAGCAACUUCCAACAACUUUGGCUUAACAUCUAAUGAGAGAAUGAACCUUGGGUUUCACCCAACUUCAAAAGUUAGCUCAUGAGGUGUGAAUUACUUAAUCUAUAUAUGGAGACAAAUGAUUUACAUCCCAACGAAUGCGGGAAAUCAGCAGCCCCUCACACGCCCAGGACUGAAUAUCAAGAGCAUGGACAAUAUAAGAUAGGAGCCUAACAUGACUCAGAUACCAUGAUACUAGAACGGGCAUGGGUUCUAACUCAAACCUUAAAGGUAGCUCAUGAGAUACGUAUUACCCAAGACCAUAUAACGAGGCAAGUAAUCCACAUCCCUACCAAUGUGAUAACUCAAUAACAUCUCAGUUUAGUGAUAUUUCCUUUUGAAGUAACGCAACUUGUGAAAGCAUUGAAAUUUUAUUUCACUUCCUAUCAAAUCGAAGAAUAGUAUGCAGUGAAGUUGAAAUACAUGAAGUCUUGCAAUAAUUAGGGCCCUCCUGAGAUACAACUAGUUAUUUCCACCAAUAGUAUAACAACAUACUAAAUGUAAUCCGACGUGCGGAGUCUAGGCAAGGUAAAGUGUACGCAAACUUUACCUAGAUAGAGAAGUUAUUUCUGAUAGACCCUUGGCUCACUGUAAAUAGUACAACACCAACAACAAUAACGAUAACGUACCCAGUGUAAUCUCAUGGGUGGAGUAUGGAGAGGGUAGAGUGUAUGCAGACCUUACCUCUAUCUUGAGAGGUAGAGAGGUUGUUUCCGAUAGACCCUUGGCUCAAGGAAUCUCUAGCAAUAGUACAUUCUUGAAAAAAUCAUAACUUUUGCUUGGUCCUUAAACCUUAAUCAGUACAUCCGACAGAAAAUUCCUUUUGCUGCUCUACAUUAAAUUCUUAUACAGCCAUAAGACUACCUGUUUAUUUAAUUUUCUUAAUGAUCGUGGUAUUCGGGCCAACUUUCAUCACCUCCCAAUUCCACGAAUAGUUGUCACCUCUCACCAGCAAACGGUUUAAGGUAACUCUAUCCACCAUAUUUAGAACAGAUGGGAAGAAAUCACUUAAUAUUUUUUAGUCAUAAACUAUCAUGAUCUUAAGUUGAUGGUUUUUCAAUAUAUCAUAUAGUUAGCGGGGUUCGAAGUCGAGUAGAGUGUAGGAGCUUUCUUUCGGUUCAUUUAAUAAACCAAUGGUUGAGAUGGUAGAUUAGUUAAUGAACGCCAAAGGUCAGGAUGCAGCCACUGAUAGAAACUAGGGUGAAGAAGAGAGAGAUAAUGAAAUUUUACUGGUUAAAGAAAGUGUAAGGAUCUUAAACAUUAUAUUAAUCAAUAACCAAGUCCGUAUGGAGUGGACAAAUCUCCAAAUACAAAUACAACAACAAUAUUUUUCUUUCUGUCUUUUUCUCUACCAGGUUCUAAUCACCUAUUUAAACUCAGACAUAAGCAGUUACGGCUGUAGAUAACUAAAAAGGGCAGCCCGGUGCACUAAAGCUACCACCAUGUGCGGUGUCCGGGGAAGGGCCCCACCACAAGGGUGUAUCGUACGCAGCCUUACCUUGCAUUUCUGCUAGAGGCUGUUUCCAAGGCUUGAACCCGUGACCUCGCGGUCACAUGGCAGCAACUUUACCAGUUACUCCAAGACUCCCCUUCUAUGGCUGUAGAUAACUACUAUAGAUAAUUACUGACAUCUAGUAAUAGAUAAUUACUGACAACUACUAAUAGAUAACUACUAACAACUACUAAUAGACAACUGCUUCUAUCCUAUCUGAAACUAAGGAACUAAGCUACAUUAUCUUCAUAUGUUAAAGCAGUAGUCUUAUCAGUGCAUUCCCCCUGAAAAAUCGCCUUGUCUUCAAGGUGAAGGAGACUGUGUGUUCUCCUCUUGCAUUAAUUCCAAAGAUGCAAACGUUCUAGGUUUGCAACAAUGACCUGGGGCAAACUUGUCUCCACAACGAUAACAUAGGCCUUUUUCUCGGCGAAUUUGUUGUUCAGAAUUUAGAGGACGAAUGUUUGGAAGCGAUGAUUGUUGAAAAGAGCGUACUGGUUGACGGGAUGACUGAAAAUUAAAGGAUUCUUGAACCAUUGGAGAGGAAGUUCCAAUUGAUGAAGGCCGUGAUAUAGAAGGCCAAUCCGUUACCUUACUGGACUGAUUUGUUCCGUGUUUUCCUUCAUAUUCUAAAGCCAGACCCAUUGCCUUAUACACAGAUCGAGGCUUGUGAAUCCUAACGUCCACGCGAAGGUCUUCUUUGAGCCCGCUAAGAAAAACUCCAAGCAGACAGUGUUCUGACCAGUUUUGCACACGGGCUGCCCGUUUUGCAAAUUCUUGCCUAUACUCAAACACUGAUCCAGUCUGUUGGAUUCCACAUUCAUCAGGAUUUUGGUCCAUAAUUUUCUUGCAUAACUUGAACCAACUCAUCCCAGUAAUAGAUCGUUCUCUCACUGUUGAUCCAAGCAAAAAGAUCUAGUGCAUUUCCUUCCAAAGACAUUGAAGCCACAUCAACCUUACAAUCAUCAAGUGUUUGAUAAUUUUGAAAAUAUUUCUCCGCUUUCAGAAUCCAACCUCUAGGAUUUCCCCCCUCAUACUUUGGAAAUUCCAUCUUUGUGUGAGGACGCCGAUAAGUUUCUUGAUGUUUCCAAGUGAUAUCAACCUCACCUUCUUCCGGUGAAACUUUAGAUUUUCGUCGUUGAUUCUGACUGUUUUGUGUUUUUAAUGCAGCCACGUCAGCAGCCAAAGCAUCCAUGGCUUCCAAUUUUGCUGCUAUGGUAGUCAGUUGUUGGCUGAUCUGAUCAGUAGUCGACAUGAUAGGUUCGCUAUGGGAAGCGUUAGCCCGUGUGUUAACCAUGACAGAUCAAUCUGGCUUUGAUACCAAUGAUAGAAACUAGGGUGCAGAAGAGAGAGAUAAUAAAAUUUUACUGGUUAAAGAAAGUACAAGGAUCUUAAACACUAUAUUAACCAAUAACCAAGUCCGUAUGGAGUGGACAAAUCUCCAAAUACAAAUACAACAACAAUAUUUUUCUGUCUUUUUCUCUACCAGAUUCUCAUCUCCUGUUUCAACGCAGACACAAGCAGUUACUGUUGUAGAUAACUACUACAGAUAAUUACUGACAACUACUAAUAGAUAAUUACUGACAACUACUAAUAGAGAACUACUAAUAGACAACUGCUUCUAUCCUAUCUGAAACUAAGGAACUAAGUUACAUUAUCUUCAUAUGUUAAAGCAGCGGUCUUAUCAGCCACAUCAUCAGGCAGUUAGCACAGUCUAAACCUGUAACGACCCAAAAUCAAGCCAUGAUGACACUUACUGUAACCCUCCAGUAGGUAAGUCAAAACCCAAGCUAUAUAUGGAAAGUAACAGCUAACAUAAGUAAUAAGGAAGAUAAAACGAGACAAAGAGCCAACAUGUACAGAUACAUACAUAACAGGUACAACAAAUAUAGGCCCUACAGAAAAGAAAGGAAGACAAAAUAAUCAGGAUGCCCAACCCUGGACCUGGUGUCACCGCACAAGACCAAUACACUCGAUCCACUACUGCUAAAUCAGCUACGAGAGUAGCUACACGCAUAGGCACAGGCAAAGAGUCACAUGAUAAAUCCAAAUGAGUAGCAAAGUAGGUAGACACAUAAGAAUAUGCAGACCCCAAAUCAAAUAACACAUAAACUUGUUGAUGACAAAUGAAAUUGUAUCUAUGAUAAUGGCAUUUAAAGCCUCAGCCUUCGACCUACCCGAAAAAGCAUAAAAACGUCCACGUUUGCCCCCGGACUGAGUAACCACACGACCACCGGUACGACCUAGCUGAGACCCAUCUCUACCCUGGGGAUCACCCCUAGUACCCUGUGCACCACCUCUGGCCGAAGGCAAUGGAGCCCGGGGAGCUUGAACCUGCUGCCUGCCCUGUUUGAAUCUGGGACACUCUCUAGCAAAAUGCCCCAACUCACCACACUCAAAGCACCCUUAGCUGGUCAUCGGCUGUAGCGCUUCUUGAACAGGUCUACUAGGCUGUAAAUGUUGAUGAUAAUCGCUACCAGAGAAACCCCUACCUUUGGACUGAGAACCACUGAAAGUGCCCUGACGGCGAGGCCUCUUGUCAUUGCCUCCAUAGGUCUCGCGGGGUAUCCCCUCAAUAGUACGCACGUGAUCAACAACCUGAAGGAAAGUAGAUCCCAAUGCCACUAAGUGCUCUGUCGCCAAACGAAGUGGUAAAGUCAACCCCCUAACAAAUCUCCGAACCUAUUCGUGCUCUGUAGGUAUAACCUUAGCAGCAUGCCUAGCCAACUCAUAAAAUCUCGUCUCAUACUCUGAAACAGACAUGGAGCCCUGCUGAAGAUCUAUGAACUCAUCCAACAACUUUUCUCUCAUACUGCGGGCAAAUACUUCUCCAAGAAAGCCUCAGAGAACUGCUCCCAAGACAUUGGAGGUGACCCGACAGGCCUACACGCGAGAUAUGCCCUCCACCAAUGUUUAGCUGGCCCUUCCAUCUGCAAUGUAGUGCAAUCCACCCCGUGCGACUCCAAUAAACCGAGGAUAUGCAACGUUUCCUGACAUCUCAUUAAGAACUCAUAUGCAUCCUCUCACGGAGCACCAGAAAAACUUGGAGGGCCCCAUCUUAUAAACCGACACAGCGACUUCUGCUCCUCAAUAGUCAUCACUGGUUUGGAUGCAAUAGGCUGAGCAAUAACCGGCACUGGCAACGCCUCUAAAUGGGGAGCCGCAGCAGCAGGCUGCGCUCCUAAACCCAGAACACCUUGUGCUGCUGUCGGAGCUGAGGUCUGAGCCUCAUCUCUGACCUGAGACCCACUCAAAGUACCGGGCAACGCUCCGCCUUGUGACAUACCCUUUAGAAGGUUCAUAAUCAUAACCUUAGUGUCUCGAAGCAAUUGUGGGUCCACAAAUCCAGCUGGAGCCUGAGCUGGUCCCAAACCCUCUGUCUAAGGCGGUAAAUCCUCUACCUCUAUCUCUGGAUCAAGUGACGGCUCUCUAGUCUGGCCCCUGGCCGGUGCAGUAGCUAGUGCCCGACCUCGACCUUUGGGUUGACCUCUUCCCCGACCCCUAGUUGGGGCCCUAGCUGCAGGCGCAAGAGCCUCGCUCUCACCUGCUGAAGACCUCGUCCUAACAAUCUGAGAAAGAGUGAAACAAAUGAUAUUUAGAAGCCAAUAGGAGUAAGAACACACGAAAAAGAAUUAAACAGGUAGAAUUUUCCUAAGAAUUCCUUAUGGCCUCCCGAAGAUAGGAUACGAAUCGUGCCAAUUCGCUGGACUCUACUAGGCACUGGUUCUUGUAUCAGUAAGACUGGUGAACCUAAGGCUUUGAUACUAUGCUACCAUGACCCGAUAUCAAGUUAUGAUGGCACAUACUAUAACCCUCUCGUAGGAAAGCCAAAACCCAAGCAAUAUACAGAAAUUAACAAAUAACAUAAGUAAUAAGGAAGCUAAAAGGAGACAAAUGGUUCGACAUGUAUAGAUACAUACAUAACAGGUACAAAAUAUGAAGAUAGAGGCCCUACAAAAAAGGGAAGGAAGACAAAAUAUAUAGGAUGCCCAACCCCGGACCAGGUGUCACCGGUACAAGAGCUACUAAGUAUAAGAAUAGAUACUAAUUUGUCCAAAAUGUACAACAUAUAGAACCCUCAGGAGUUGGCCUGGUGGUAAUUGGCUUGAGCUUUGGGGUGCUCCCUUUCAAGGCCUCAAGUUCGAUACCCACUAGGUGCAAACAAUUUCUGAGAGCCAUCGGACUGGGUGAAACCCUGAAUUACCCGUGGUGCACUUGCGGGAAACUCCUUGCCGAGGGCCUGUGCACCCCCGGGAUUAGUCGGGGCUCGAAGUGUCUCGAACACCCGGUGCAAGUCAAAAAAAAAAAAAAUGUACAACAUAUAGACAAUAAAAUACAAGAAGGAAGUGGGUAAGUUUCUGGAAGCCAAGAGCUCACCGCAGAUCCGAUCAAAAGGAGCCUCCGAACGAAUAGGAUCAAUGAGGAUGACUCGAGCUAGGAUCUGCAUCAAAAAAAGAUGCAGAAAUGUAACAUCAGUAUCAAAACAUGAGGUACUCAGUAGGCAUCAUAAGCCGACGGAGCUCAGAAGGCAAUAUACAAUAUAAAUGACAUGAAAAGAGAACCACACACUGAAAGCUAACCUAGAAAUCAAACAUAACAUGGAUAAAGUGAAAAUAAUAAUAAUAUUACACGCAACAUAAGUAUAAAUAAGAAAUGCCCUGCAGUAUGUGAUGAUGCAAUGCAGUAUGUGGCUAAUGCAAAAGAUGCCACAUGGGAGGAUUAUCAGUUUCUCAAGGCUAAGUUUCCAGGGUUCGAUUCAAAUCCUUGAGGUCAAGGAUUUUUUCAUGUGGGAUGGAUAUUGUCAUGAUCUUAAGUUGAUGGUAUUUUCAAUAAUCAUGUAGUUAGUGGGGUUCGAAGUCGAGUAUAGUGUAGGAGUUUCUUUCAGGUUCAUAUAAUAAAUCAACACCGAGAUGGUAUGCAGCCACGUCAUCAGGCGGUUAGCACAGUAUAAGCCACCUGACCAAAGAGAGAAAAGGCAUCGAUCAAAUUCUUAUUUUUCUCACCUCCUUUCUCUCUCUCUUCUCUUUUGAUUCUCUCCCCGUCUUACUCUCAUCUUCUACUCCUUCCUAAUCUAUUUCUCUUCUGCUUCAUCCAGGCUAUUAGUUCAUCAAUGGCGGACAGUUAGCUUCAUAUUAGUUUCGUUUCGGUAGAAGUUCUAACAACAAUUCAAUUCAGUUGAUAUAAAACCCAGAAAAUUGUCCCAAAAUUGCUUGUGUUGAUUAAUAUUGAUAAGUUCUACAAGUUAGAUAUAGGCCAACUUUCACGCAUGUCGAUUAAAGAAUAAUUUCAACUUUCCACAUGUCAUGUGUUAGACCACAAGAUUAAAGAAAUCACCUAGUAUUCUUGGGUCAUAAAGACUACCUUUUUUUAUGACCACAGUGUUUGGACCAACUUUUGUGCAUCUCAGCUAAUUUCACGGAAACCUGUCACCUCCCACCAACAACAGAUACCAGAUAACUCUGUCCACCAACAACAAGGCUAGGACAGACAGAAACAAAUCACCUAAUGUUUUUAUAGUCAUAAAGACUCUACCUUUACAUGCUUAUAAAUCAAAAUCAAUUGAAACCCACUUCAAACCCAAAUUUCUCUUGAAAUUACAAGGUUUCAUAGACCCAAAUUAUUUAAGAAUAAGGACUCCACCGUUUUGUGUUUUUUUGAAAACCUUGGUUCGAGUCAACUUUCUUACACCUCAACUAAUUCAGGUAUAUCUGUCACCUCCCACCAGCAACAGAUACGAAGUAACUCUGCCCACCAAAGCUACGACAAAUGAGAAUGAAAUCAUCUAGUGUUUUUAAGUCAUAAAGACUACCUUUAAGAAUAAAUACACUUACCUUUUUUGUAUUUCUUUGAUAACUGUAAUAUUUGAGUCGUUUUCAUGCACUUCCAAUAAUUCCACUUAAUACAUGUUACCUCCCACGAGCAACCUCCCACCAGCAACAAAUAACAGAUAACAGAUAUGAGGCAACUCUAUUGAAUGGAUGAAAAUGAAAUCACCUAGUGUUUUUCAGUCAUAAAGACCCUACCUUUACAUGCGUAUCAAUCAAAAUCAAUUGAAACCCACUUGAACCCCAAUUUUUUCAUGAAGAUUUCAGAUAUCCAAAUUACUUAAAAAUAAACAAAUUUGCUCAAGAAAGAACAAGUAAUAAUAAAUCAUACCCCUCUAUUCCAAUUUAUGUGUCACUCUUCAUUUAAAAUAUUUAAAAGACAUGAAAAAAUUAAGGUCAAAAAUAUAAAUUUAUUUUAAUCUCAAAAUUCGAAAGAUGCCACGUAAAUUGAAACGAACAGGGUAACAAAAGGAACAAAGGGAAAAAGCCUUCACACUUACCGGAGCUGAGUUAUACUACUAGUGGUUUAUGCUCGGAAAAGCCGCCGGAAUCUGAAUAAUUUUAAUGGAAAUUUUGGGUAAAAUAUAUUUUAUGUGUUUUAUUAGCACAUUUUGUAGCGUUAUCUUUUAUUAUAAUAGCAUAAUUGUAACAUACUGUCAAAUUACUGUGUGUAAAAUAUAAAAUAUAUAGAAAGGAAAAAAAACUAAAUUUGUUCAUUUACUUUUAAUUAUAUUUUGAAGUUACACUGAAUAAUACUCCCUCCAUUUCAUAAUACGUUAAUUAUUGAAUUUUGACACACAUGUUAAGAAAAAAAUAAACACAUAAAUUUAUCAUGUUUUUUUAUUUUUACCCUCUUCAAAAAGCAAAGACACAUGAUACAUCACUCCCAAUGCCCAUUUAAUGAAAGAUAAAUUUAGAAAUAAAUUUCAACAUUUACCUUGAAUUAUGAAUCAUUCACUUAUUUUGAAAUACUAAAAUUGCUCCAACAAUUUACUUAUUGUAAAACAGAGGAAGUAUUUAAUAUCUUUAAAAAUAUUAUUUAUGCAUAUAUAGUUCAUGUUGAAAUUUUUUUGACUUUUUUCACGUUUUUACUUCUUCAAACGAAUGAUACACGUAAAAAUUUUGAUUUCCCCGCAACUUAGAAUAGCAGUAAUUUGUUAGCAAAUUUGGUUUGUUUUUGUCUUUGUCUUUGUCUGUCUUCUUGAAGGUUUAACCUUUGCUGAUGUCUAUGCAGUACUACUCGUAUUCUUGUAGUUCUUGCUUUUGAUAUUUAUGAUCGUACGUUGACUGUUGUGUCUCGUUUAUCACAUUAUUUUAUUGUCAUUAUUAUUCCUUUCUGGUGGAUUCAAUACUGCUUUCCUUAUUAAUCGACAUAAUUUUCUUCAUUGUUUGUUUUUUCUUUUACUUGAAUUUACUGCGCUCGAAUCGAGAAUCUUUCAGAAACAACCUCUGUAUCUUUACAAGUUAGUGGUAAGAUUUGCACACACUCCAUUCUUUCAAACCCCACGUAUAAAAUUUCACUGAAUAUAUUAUCGUUGUUAUUGUUAUUUUCUACUUUUGAUCAUGUUUUAAUUACCAUAGCCUUAUACGACAUCAAAUUAUUAAGGUGUAAAUCAUUUAAAAUUGCUCUGUAACCACCAACGCAUACAAAUUGGACAAAUCAAAUCCUAAAAUGUACGAUGGGAUCACUUUCAUGUCCUGCUUUUAGUACACUGAAUUCAUACCAAAAUGCAAAUUGUCCACUAGCUAUAGGUCCAGCAAACAAGUGGACUAUGCACUUAUGAUCACCCUAUAACAGCACUUUAACUGAAUGGGAGUAGUUCAUUAUGAUAAAAGGGGAUAGUCGGUCCACAAAGCAUUUCGUCUUUGUAGGCUUUGAAGAACGUUUCGUACCUAAGGAUAAGGAUGUGACGUAGAUAACUUAUAUUAAUGGCUACUUUCGUGAUCGAACCGAUGACCUAUAGAUUACACAUAAACAAUUUUUAUAGUUGCUCCAAAGCUCCCCUACGUGAGUAUAUUCAUUAUGAUAAGUAAUGGAAUUGAUCAUUGCAUGAAAACACACUUUUUCAAGAGUGCUAUCUUUUUCUACUUUUAUGGUGUUGAUAACUUUACCACUCAAGUAACGCAUCUUUUUUGAAGAAUAUAUAAGGGCAUCAAAUUCCACCAUUUUUGGCCGUUCAUGUCACAUUUAACAAAGGUCAUAGUAUUAUUUUGAAAAAAUUUGCCUCUAUAUUCGAACCAUAUGCCAGAAAUAUACUUGCCAAUGCUACAACUAUGCUACACAGAGCCCCUAAAGGCUAAGAGAUCAUUUGAUUCGCAGACUAACUCAUCCCGGGAAUAUGGUCUUGAGAUUAUAGAAUAAAUUUAUACCAUCAAGUGUAAUAUUUUUUCCAAGCGUAAUGCCGAAAUAUCUCACUUCAUCUCACGCACCAAACAAAAACAGCAGAGGAGAAAUGAAACUUAGAAAGGUGCUCAUUUUUAUCAUUUUUGUUCAAGCUAGUUUUUACAUUUUUUUUUUCCCUCUUACACUUUUGUUGUUUACAAGUAGUUAAGUUAGAGAACGGACAUUAGACUAUGAACAAGGCUAGAUACAAGAGUGCCACCUACCUUGCUCUAUACAGAAAGUUACAUGAAACUAAAAACUUAAAAGAGACUUUCUAAAGUGCUGCUUGUCUAGAGUAGCUGCAAACAAAGGGCUAGCAAUUCAGCGGGGCUGCUGGAUGCUGCGGAAGCUGUUCUUCGGGCUCACAAUCUUGGCUGGCUUCUCAAAGUACUUGGGUGGCCCAAUUGGUGAUCGUGGUGAACUCAAUGUUCUUAUCAAUGCAUCAGACGGUAAACCUGUUAGCAAGGGGCGUAAAGUUUAAAAGGGAAUUCAUUCAUUUAACAAUAACAGUAAUAAACAUUGUAAUAAACACCAAAAGUCAUCACAACCUAAGUUGCGCGGACUCUUCGCUUUCGAUGCCACACCCGUGUCGGAUUCUCCAAAAAUACAAUAGCUUUGGCGAAUCCGGCACGCACUCGUUGACAUUUUUGAAGAGUCCAAGCAACCUAGAUCACAACUAAGAUCAGGCAUGUAGGAAUUUCCCCAUCAUGUUUCAACUGGCUAAGCUGAGGAUCUCCUGGAAACAGUCUAUCUAUCUCUACGAGAUAAGGGUAGGGUCUGCGUACACUCUACCCUCCCCGAGGACUGAUGUUGUUUCAACAUGCUCAUAGAAACCCCAAAACCUGCAUGGAUCCUUGGCCUUGUAGAGUUUUUAGUGUAAACAUCUAAUUGACUAAUAAAGGGUCCUCAAAUUAUCUUUAUGCUAACUGUAGAUAACUAUCGUCAUGCUAAAUGUAAUCUGUAGGUAAAGUUAUCUUUAUGCUAACUGUAGGUAGCUAUCGGCGUGUUAACUGAAGGUAUAUACGAAAAAUGGACAGAUUGCGCAUACCAUAUUGUGGCAUCACAUUGACACCAUAAAGAGAAGACUUAAUCCCAUGUUGCUCAUUUUCGGAUGAUUGGAGGAAUUCCUCAAACUGAGCUUCCAUGUUCAAGAUAUCCUCAUCGACAUUGAGAUCAAUAUUUUCAGGAAGCAAAUCAGCAACAUCAUUAUAAGCACCAUAUUCCUCUCCCUGAUUCUGGCUCAUCCAAUAGUCAUGGAACCAUGUUGAAGUUGUCACCAAAUUCCACCAUUCUGGUGAAAAAUCCUCUACCUCGCGCACGAAUGAAGGAACAAAGAGGGGCGCAUUUGGAUUCAAUGUUGAUCUACCUCCAGAAACUAACGCCAUAAUGCUUUUCUUCAAAUUGCUACCUCAAGUUGUCUGACAAAAUAAAAAACACAUUAUGAUAUAUAUAUAUAUAGAGAGAGAGAGAGAGAGUACAUCAAGUUUGAACACGAAUAUUAAAGCCAUCCACAUAAUUUAAAUUUAAGUUUCUCCCUGACCUAAUUUAACCAAGUUCAUGAGCAGAACUUAUCAAAAGAAGCAAACUUAACAAGACAGAGACGGAAAAUUGACAUUCUUGAUGAACGUAGGAUUUCGUAAACCUGAAUUAUCUAAUACACCAAAAUUCACAAAAUUGUUGACACAAUCGGACUAAACUAUAUAAAAUUAGUAAAUAGCAGCUCUAUGAAACAGUAAAUGUCACCCUUACUAAGUACCUCAUACCAAACUACUGCCUUUUUCUGCUUCAAUUUCAACUCUCUACUCCAACCCUAAUUCAUACAAAUCAUAAAUCUAGCUAAUAUACUUCCUUUUUAUUUAGCCCGUUUCAACAAAAAAAAAAAAAAAAAUCUCUUUCCUUCUUUAACAACUCUUUAAUUCCUACUUAAUCACUCGACAAUACUUAAAACCACGCGAUUAAAGAAUAUUUUGGCUCAGUCUAUCUAUCUUUUAUUUAAUUUUUACUCUCUUUUUGAAGUCAAAAUUCAAAAUCAAACAAAAAAAUUGAAACAGAUGGAGUAAUACUGUAAUAAUAACCUCAUUUUCUCGAAAAAAAAAACUCUACGAUCCUUAACAGAUCUACUCAAACCAUAGCUUUAGCUAUUCAAUCCUCAAAAAGUACACGUUAUUGACUCAAAUUGACUACAGAAACCAAUCUAAAACAAACAUCAUAUAUCGCAAAUCAUUCACAAUUUUCAGAUAUAUUCCAUCUAUCAAUCAGCAUAUAUAAUUCAAAAAACAUCUAGAACACCACAAUCUUCACCAUUCAUCAUCAAUAACACGCUAUUUGACUUAAAUUGACUACAGUAAUCCAUCUAAAACAACACAUAUCACAAUUUUUCAUAAUUAUGUGACACUUUUCGCUUAUCCACUCUUAAUUUGAGCGUGAAAUCUUCAAUUUUUUUAUAAUAAAAUCUUUUUCUUCGACAAAAAUAAAAAUAGAUCAAAAAAUUACAUUUAAAAAUAAACUUAUUUAAAUCUCGAAAUGCGAAAAACGUAGUAUAUAAUAAACAGAAUCAAAAAAAAUAGAGAAUUACCUUUAUCGGAUUUUUGUUGAGCUGAAGAAAUGAACUCGUACACGUAUGAAUUCUUAUCUUCGAGGUGUUGCAUUUAUAGGCAGGAAUACCGAGCCUAGUAGGUUUGGAACCGAACCUGAGGUUGGAUAAGAACGAGGCAGCUCACUGAUUGACCUUCGAGAAGACUUAAAAUAUACUAAUUAAAAUAUUGCAGAUAUUCUUUAUACACAAAUAGAUAUUUUUUAGUGCCCGUUUGGAUGAGUUUAUUUUACUCUCUCCAUCCCAUUUUACUUAUUCUAAAUUGGGAUGGUACAAUAAUUAAGAAAAAUAAUAAAUAAUAUGAUUAAUUUAUUAAAGUAUUCUUAUUAAAUGAUAUUUAUAUUUUAAUUUAAAGAAAAGAUAAUUAAUUUAAAGGAUAAAAUAUGAAAAGAAAAGUUUGUCUUAUCUUGAUAAGUAAAAUGGGACAUCAACUUAGCUAAUUUGAAACGGGUAAAAUGAGACGAAGGGAGUAAGUGCUUUGAAGUAAAAAAUAGUUUUGCUUUGAAGUAAAAAAUAGUUUUUAAGUCUUUUGAUAGUGUUUGGGUAAAAUUUAAAAGUGCUUAAAAACAAUUUAUUUUAAGCUAAAAAGGCACAAAUAAAUCAAAAGCCAAAAGCUAGAAUUUCUAACUUUUGAUUUUUGACUUUUGACUUAUAAGCCAAAAACAAUAAGCUCAUCCAAACAUACUGUUAGUAGCCAACCGGGAACCUCCUGUGAAUAAUUUAUUUAUUUAUUUUACUGAUUUUUAUUAUGCUUUAUUUAAGUGGAACUUUUUUUGAAAAUACUCUCUUAACUUUUAUGAGAUAAAGGUAAGGUUUACGUAUAUUUUAUUCUUCUUAAAUUUCAUCAUUGAGCUUAUAUUGGGUAGGUAGUAUUAAUGAAUUCACUAUAGAUAAGGUCUACGUACAUUCUAUUCUUCCUAAAUUUUAUCAUUGAGCUUAUACUGGAUAGGUUGCACUGUUAGAUUCACUAUAGAUAAUAUUUAUAGGGUCGUUUGACGUGAAGUAUAAAGGAUAAAUAGUACAACAACAAGCCCACUGUAUUCCCACAUGGUAGAGUUUGGGAAGAGUAAAAUAUACGCAGUUCAUACUACUACCUUCGAAAAAGUAGAAAGAUUGUUUUCGAUACACCCCCGAUUCAAAACAAAAACUAGUAAACAAAUUCGUAAUAAGGGAUAAAUAGUCUCCGAAUAAAGUGAAGGAUUAUUUUAUUUCAUAUUUGGUGUGUGAAGUAUUAGUUAGUACCGAAAUUAUUUGUUUCAUUAUUUAAAUCACAGCGAUAAAAUAAGUCAUCUUAUAUAUAUGGUGAAAUAACUAAUCGUGAAAUAACUAAUUAAAAGAUUAAUUAUCUCAAAAUAAUUCUUUUUCAAUCAAACGACUCCUUAUGUAUGAAUUGCAUAUUAAUGUCAGGUAUGAUGAAAUCAUCAGAGGUAGAGGUAUGGACUGCGUACAUCUUACCCCCCAGACCCCACUAAGUGGGAAUACACUGGGUUUGUUGUUGUUGUUGUAUGAUGAAAUCAUCUAAAAGUUAUCUUCUCUAAUUUUAUUCUUAAUGUGUAUUACUCACCCCUUUUAGUGAAUAUAGUAAUUUUUAAUCUUAUCUAAUCUCGUAAGCUGCCCAACAUUUACUCUUUACAACAAUCUUUCAUUUUAGUAAAUAUUAUCGUAUUGCAUAAUAAUGUUGUCCUUAAUUUCAACGGUUUGAUUUUAAUCCUACGAAUAAUACGUUCAUAUGCUCGGUGUUAUAGUCAAGGUUCUAAGAUUUCGUCUAAAAAAAUUGAAACGUUCAACUAUCUUUCUCAUUUCAAAAGUACUUUUUCAAACUAUAUAAUAAUUUAUUUUAGAUAAUAUAAUUAUAUCGAGUUUAAAGUUACACAUAGUUCCGCUUCUACCACCGGCUACAGACAAGAAGACAAAAAAAGCAGCCCGUAAAGUGAUAAAAAAGCGUGUAUACAGGUGUUAAAAAUUGACUUGAUUAAGAACCCCUUUGUAGGGACCAUUUAACGGUGAUUGAUUUAUUUUCAUAAUUGUGGUGGGACCCAAUCUUGUUUUAUGAUCAACGGUUGAUUGAUGAGAUUGUUUUGAUCCAACGUUGGAAAAAUGAUUGGAGUGGUUAUGAUGAUGUGUUCAAAUUAAUGGUUUUGUGAGGCCCAAUGUUUAGCUCAAAUACCCUACACUGAUUUUUUUGCAUAACUAUAUUUUCUCCGUUUAAAUUUACUUAUCAUAUUUUAAUUUGAUGUAUAUAUAAACAAUUUCUUUAUCAUAUUUUAAUUUGGCACACAUUAUUAUAAUGAUUGUUCAAAUUAAUGACUUUGUGAGUAGCUAAAGUCCCCCCUAUACUAACUUGUAUGCUUUUCUCCUAUAAUUAUACUAUAUUUAUACUUUCUCCGUUCGAAGUUACUUAUUACUUUUUGACUCUAUACAUAUUAAGAAAAUAAUAAUUUAUAUAAUAAUUUUAUCAUAUUAUUCCUACUAAUUGAUUAUUUAGUUAUAGAUACUGAAAAAAAAAUUUAAAAAAUAAGUAUUAAAUAUUAAGAUUUUUUCUUAAUUUAUCAAAAAAUAAAAAUAAAAUUAAAAAACAAUGAUUAGUAAAUCCGAAUGAAGGGAAUACGUAGUCUCGAUUAUAGCAUAUAUCGAAGCACCACAAAAUUAUACAUUGAUUUACGCCUACCAUCGAUUGCGAACAAGAAGACAAAUCACGUAGUCGAUAAGGUGAUGAAAAAAGUAUGUAAAUAGGUGUUCUGUUUUACCCAUUCAUAGAAAUUUUCAUCCAUUUUACUUUCUUAAUAACUCGAACUCUCAAUUUUUAAAUUAAAAAUGAAAAUGCUUGUCUUACUCCAUAUUGUUUUUUGAUGAACCCCUAGUAGGGACCAUUUUCGGUGGACGGAUUCUUUUUGAUAAUUAUGGUGGACCCAAUUGUUUUAUGAUCAACGGUUGAUUGAUGAGAUCGUUUUGAUCCAACGGUGGAUAAUGAUUGUAGUAGUUAUGAUGAUGUAUUCAAAUUAAAUGGUUUUUGUGGGACCUAAUUUUUAGCUCAAAAUCCCCCAUAAUACGCGUAGAGCACAUGGCUUUGUAGAGGUUGGUAUACCCAAUUACCCACCCACCCACCAAAAUACAUUCAUAAAAAUUUCAAAUGAAUGACUAAUAAUUUAUUGGUUGGUUUCACCAAAAAAAAUAAAUUAUUGGUUUCCUUUAUUGAUUUAAUGGAGUAUAAUCAGGUGGAGAGUCAGAAUUUCGAUCAAGGAGAUUCAAUAUCUAUUAUAAAAUUAUAAAACAUAAUUCUAAUUAUAUAUAAAUAAUAUAUUUUUCGGUUAAUAAGGGUUCAAAUAAACUCCCUAUUAAAAGGACUGACUCCGUCGUUGAGUAUAAUUAAGGUGGUAAGUAUCGGUCACUUUCAAUACGAAGAUUGUGAGUUAAAGUCACUUAAAAAGUAAAAGGAGUGAGAGUUCGUGGGGAGGAGUAGUAAUAAAAGAAAAAAUAUAAUUUAGGUUGAUUAUAUUUAAUUAUUUUUAUGACAACAUUGUUUAUAUGAAUAUUUUUUUUAAUAUAACAUAUUAUAAAUAUCAAUUUUGAACAAUACUGAACUGUUAUAGUGAAAUAUUGUUAUUUGGAGAUGGACUAAAAAUUCCAAAUGAAUGACUAGUAAUUUUUUAGUUUGCUUAACUGAUUGAAUGGAGUAUAAUUUAGGUUGAUGACAUUUAACCUAACCUUUUUAUAAGGACGCUAUUUAUCUGAAUAUUUUUUAAUAUAACAUAAUAUGAAUUUUUUAUUUUAUCCCUACUUAGAUGUUUUCAUAUUUAAUUGUUAUAUUAAAAAUAUCAUUAUAAAUGAUACUAGUUGUUAUUGAGAAAUCUGAAAAACAGCAUGAGACUGUACAUAUUAUUAUUGAGAAGUAAAAUAUUGUUGUUGUUAUGAUGUCAUCAUAUUGUAAAAUUAUGGAAAUAGAUUGUUUGAAUUUCUUUCUUUAAAUAUCACAAUCGCUAAAUAAUUUAUAAAUUCGAGCAUAUUAUACAUUCGCCUAUUUUUUAUUCGAGGAAUGAAGUUUAAAGAAAUCCAUCAAUCAUCAAAAAUAUCAGACUAAAGAAUUCAUCAUUCAUGGUGGCGAAAGUCCCCAAAAUAACAACAAUUUUACAGAUGGAAUUUGAAAAAGAUAACGCAUAUGCAUAUCUUACCUCUAUCUUGUAAGCGUAGAGAGCUUGUUUUCAUAUACACUUACACAGAAAGUGAUGAAAAGAUGUUAAAGAAUGAAACAUUUGGAUGGACAUUCAGUAUUGAGGCCCAGGACCAAUCAGCAAGUUAGAAAUUGGGCUAAAACUAAGUCCAAUGCAUCAGUUGGACCAGUCCCAGGCUUAGCUCAACAACCAAUCCUGUCCUAGAGAACUAAAAGGUAUUUUUUGUUCCAUAUUAGUUGGUCAUCCACUCAUCGUACUAAAUAUAAUUAUCCUAUAUUAGUUGUUGUCUGAACGAGAGUCUUGUAAUAACUGAUAAAGUGAUUGACAUGUGACCAGGAGGUCAGGGACAGAAAUACAAGGUAAGGCUGCAUACAAUACACCUUUGUGGUGGAGUCUUUUCUCGGACCCUGUGCAUAGCGGGAGUUUUAAUGCACCGGGACUACCUUUUUUUUAUAUUAGUUGUUUACCUUACUAAAUCAAGAAAGAAUUAACUAAAUUUCUCUGAUAUAUUAACCCUUGCAACUAAUUCAUUUUUAAAGUAUUCACACUUAUUUGUAAAGUUCCAAAAAAAAAAUUUUUAAGAGGUGAAUUAGUAAAAUUAUCUUCUUAUUUAGGAUUUCUUAAUUAAUAUACGUGUAAAAAAAAGGCCAGCUAAUAUGGAAUAGAGGGAGUAGUAAUUGCAUUUGUUAGCCCAUACUGCAUGUGUUAUUACGUUACAUCUUGAAGCCAUGCAUUAUUAUUAUUAUUAUUAUUAUUAUUAUUAUUAUUAUUUUGGUUAAAAAAUGUUGUGCAAAUUGCCUUUAUGUUCCUCCAGGGACCUAUGGGAACAAAUAAUAUUUUGUCCUUGCUACAAUAAUUGGAAGACCAAUAAUAGUAUCGAAAUUAGAAUUUUCAUAAAAAAAAUUUAGAAUAUAAAAAAAUAAACACAUGAACCAGUCGAAGGAAUUCAAUAUUUACUCUCUCUUUCUAUAUAUAUAUUAUAACUUUUCGUGCUGAAAAGGGUUCAGAUGAAUCCCUGCCCUAAGUUCCUAAACAUGUGUGCAUUCCUUGAUUAGUGAUUAAGAAUUGUGUUUGGUCCAACAUGAUUAAGUUUACUCAUUUCGUUUUGUUGAGAUAAUUAAUUGCUCCCAUAAGAUCAAAUUUUAAUUUGGGUUGUCUCUAUUUUUAAAAGUUGUACAAAUAUAGUUUUUCAGGACAAUAUUAUAGGCUCGAGUCUAAUUUUUGUACACAUGGAAGUAGAGUUAGAAUUUGAACUUUAUGUGUUUAAAAUUCUCGUACAACAACAUCAUGUGUUAGUAAAUUUAAUUCUUGAACAUAUUUAUUGAAGUUCUUAAAACAAAUACUAAAUUUAAAUUAAAAUAUGGUGUUGAGUUCAGCUAAAUUCAUGAAUCGACUUCUAGCUCCGCUCUUUUGCUCAUAUAUUGCUCAAUCUUAUGGAUGAAACAUUACUCUUCAAGAGUCCCAAAGUUCCUUCACAUCAAAUUAUAGUACGAAAUCAUUCCCAAAUAUCUAGAUAAUGCCCAAAAAUAUUAAAGUACACAACACCAAAAGGUGCAUAGUGGAGAAAAGGGAUGUGUCUUUCUAGUGUACAAUGUUGGUUGUUGAAGUCUUUCAAGGACAACAAAGAACAUGUGGAAAUCAAUUUAAAGCCACUACUUUUUUUGGCCCUUUCGAAGCAACUACUAACAAGUCCUACUUAAGUUGCAAGGCUUGAAAGUCAAUCAACAUGCUAUAAGCAGACCUGUUUACCAUGCAUGUGUCAAGGUUCACUUACCUUGAGCCAGUAUUUCAAUUAUAGGUUAAAUUAAUGAGCCAGUAUUUCAAUUAAACACGUUCAAUAUUUGAAGAAAAUCUAGUGAAAGAGGUUCAACAUCUAUUAUACAUACAUAAAAAUAAUUUAAAUUAUGUAUAAAUUAAAUGGUAUAUUUUCCCGUCGAAAGAAAUUCGGAUAAACCCCAACCAAAGGGCUAAUUCCGCCACUGGUUCAAAUCCAGUGAGACAAAACACUAGGUGAUAUCGCUCUAAUUUUAUAGAUAGCAUUACAGGUACUUGUUAUUAAUCGGAGGAGACAAAUAUUGUUUGUUGGAAUUAGCCAUGGUACGUGUGAUUUCGUUCUAUUCAUACGGGUGAUUUCGUUCUAUUCAUUCUAAUCUUGAUAGAUAGAGUUACAAGUACUUGUUAUUGAUGGAAGGUGAUAUAUAUUAGUUGAGGUUCGAGAUUACUGCCGUUAUAAAAAGAAAAUUGUAAAGAAAACAAACAUAUUUUGCAAUAUGGCGUAAUAUUAGACUAAAAGCUAACAAAAUUGCCCAAUUUUCGAUCGUAUAGAGUCAAAUUUGACUUUUUUUUCCUUUCUAAUUUUACAUUCAUUUGGUCAAUUAUGGUGGCUUUGAUGAAAGAACAGACUAAAUAUUAAAGGGGAAAAAAAAAAAGCAAAACGAGGAAAACGAAAAAUCAAAUAAAAUAAAAUUGAUUAUAAAUGAUAAAUAGUACUUUCUCAAUUUUUCUUCAUCAUUCAUGCACUGUUAGUUCUUCUAUGAGUUAAAAUUCAAUAAUUCUAUCAAUGCAAGCAAUAACAACUAACAAUAUAUUCUGCGUAAUUUUAUAAGUAGAAUCUGAGAAAAAUAAGAAAUCCGCAUGUCUUAUCCAAUUUUCGCUGAGUAAAAAAAAUAUUUCUGAUAGAUGAAUAUGAAAUAAAUAUGAUUAGAGUCUAGAGAAACGAUAAUUAUUCCUUUAAUUAUUCGAUUGCAAACAUGCAUAAUACAUCAAACAAAAUCUAACAACUUUUCCAAAAAGCCUCCUAAAUAUUAAUAUACUAUAUAAUACUCAAAAAAAAAAAAAAAAGAAAUAGAAGAAGAGAGAGCAAAGACAAGAAGAUUAUUCUUAAUCAUACAAUAUACAAUUAAUUACUGUAUAAUUAAAAAAUAAUAAGAGCACUUAAUCUUGAUCUUUCUUCUGUUUAACCAAAGCAAAUGAAGAAGAAGAAGAAGAAAUUGCUUUAAGACUCUUCUUGUUGUUGUUGUUAAUGACAAUUUUGCCCUGUGAUUCAUCAAUAAUUAAUGAUUCAUCACUAUUUCUUGUCUUGAUUAAUAAAUUUUGCUUUGAUAAAUUGUCACCAUUAACUGUUUUUUGAAUUGGGAAGAAGAAAUCUGUUGGGAAAAAUUUGUAUUGUAAACCAGCCAUUCAAAGAGAUAAUAAAAAAUAUUGUUGUUUUUUUUUUUUUUUUUUUUUUUGGUUGUGACAAAUUGGAAUGAGAUUUACUUAUUUAUAGAAAAAGUUUAGCCACCCUUGAAGGGAUUUGAAAAGUCAUUGAGUUUGAGUUGGAUUUCUUUUUUUUUUUGUUAUAUGCUUUUUAUGCCUAGAAUAUUC